rnacentral:lncRNA from 1 species
GUUCUUUAAUUUUUGAGCAGGGUAAAUCAAGCUUUUCUAACCCCUCAAUACCUUCUGAAAUCGAUGGAAACAUCUCAAGACUGGAGCAGCCAUAAAGAUUAAAGGUUUUCAGACAUUUCAUAUGAAUGCAGCUUGGAAGACUCUUAAGUUUCUUGCAAUCUUUUAGGUUGAAAUGACUCAACCCCGUGAGAUUAUUAAUUGACAGGGGCAGUUCUUUAAUUUUGGACCCGGAUAAAUUAAGCUCUUCUAACUCCUCCAUACCUUCUGAAAUCUCUGGAAACAUCUCAAGACUGGAGCAGCCAGAAAGAUUAAAGGUUUUGAGAGAUCUCAUACGAAUUUUGCUGGGUAGAAUCUUAAGUUCCUUGCAAUUUGAUAGGUUCAAAUGACACAACCCCAUGAGAUUAUUAAUUGACUCGGGCAGUUCUUUAAUUUUGGACUCGGAUAAAUUAAGCUCUUCUAACUCCUCCAUACCUUCUGAAAUCUCUGGAAACAUCAGAAGACUGGAGCAGCCAAAAAGAUUAAAGGUUUUGAGAGAUCUCAUACGAAUUUUGCUAGGUAGAAUCUUAAGUUCCUUGCAAUUUGAUAGGUUGAAAUGACUCAACCCCAUGAGAUUGUUAAUUGACUCGGACAGUUCUUUAAUUUUGGACCCGGAUAAAUCAAGCUCUUCUAACCCCUCAAUCACUUCUAAAAUCUCUGGAAACAUCUCAAGGCUCACGCAGUUAAUAAGAUCAAGAGUUUUGAGAGAUUGCAUACGAAUUUUACUAGGUAGAAUCUUAAGUUUUUCGCACCCAUUCAGAUCCAAUAAAACAAGUUUUGUAAGAUUCGAAAUAGAUGGGUGAACCUUAACUAACCCUAUACAACCAUGAAGAAUUAGCCUCUCAAGAUUUGGCACAUUUGUGAAGUCAGGGGUUUCCUUAAGGUAUUCACAAUAACUUAAAUUGAUGAAUUUCAACUUUUCCUGCGUCUGUUAAAACAUUCAGGAAAACAUGCAUUACUUAAUAAGACAUCUCACUCAAAGCCCAAACAUUUAAAAGAAACAAAUACAUGUAAAUGAUUGUACAUACCUGGGUUCCUUCCCAAAGUCGGUCAAUGUGGCUAUAUUGCAUGUCAAGUCCAACAAGAUUUUCGAAUUGAAAGUUGGAUGGCAAAGACUUGAGCGGGAAACAAGACCAGGAAAGAAACCUCAACUCACUAGAAACAAACUUUAAGGACCCAGUCAGGUGUUGUAUGCUGAAAGUACCGAUCUUGAGAAGUCUUAGUUUAGUCAUCCUAUCAAAAGCUUUAACAAUUAAGCAUCCCUCAUAUGAGUGCCCCAAAUCUAGGAUUAUGCUUUCAACUGUUUCUGUACCCUGUGCAAAUCAAAGGGAAGGAAAAAGCAGAGAACCUUAGUUUAGAUUAUGAAGUUAAUGCUUGUUUCUUAAGGAGUUGUUUGAUAAUAAUUUUGUUUUCACUUUUCACUUUUGUUUUGAUUAUUUAUUUAGAAAUCUGAAAAUUGAAAACAUAUAACUUGUUUGUAAUUGUUUUCAAUUUUCAAUUAUUAAAAAAAUGAAAAUUUAAAAAUAUAAAUGGAAACAAAAGUGGUUAUCAAACGAGCUUAAGAAAUUGAUUUUGGUCAAAAGUUGAAGCUUUCUACUAAACAUUGCAUAAGAAAAGAAAUUAUCACCGUAUUUUUAGUUAUCACAUGAAAAACAUCUUCAUAACUCCACAACCUACUUCGUCUCCCAGGCUCUUUGAUAGAUUCUUGGUAGACGAUUUUCUGACCCAUUUCCUCUAGUAAAUCAUGCAUCUCCAGUUCCCCCCUCCAUGAGACAGUUACUAGAGCUCGAUCGAUUAGAACUUUUAUUCCAAUAUCAGGAUAGGAACCACAGCUGUGCAGAACUGUGGUUGCAUAGUCUUUUCUCAUUCCUUUAAAGAAACAUGCAAUAUCUAGAAAGAUAUCCUUCUCCGUGUCAUCUAGUCCAUCGAAGCUUGUUUUAAGCACAUCAUGAAUUCCCUUUUGCGGGAUUUUCUUUAUUUUUUCUAACUCAUUUUCCCACUGGCGUACAUUUUUGUUAUAAAGAAAAGCUCCCAAGACUUUGAGUGCUAAAGGCAGACCUUGAGCAUAAUUUACAGCACGACUCGAGAUCAUCAUAAUCUCUGUUGGGUUGGUUUUUUCUAAAGGCGUACCGCCUAAAGAGUUCCAGAGCUCCAUAAUCACUUAAAAUCUUGGGAUUAUAUAUCCCAUCAGCUAUGCUUAGUAAUUGCGAAUCUCUGGUUGUUAUAAUAAUUCUGCUUCCACCACCAAAGGAAUGUGGCUCUCCAAGUAAAGCUUCAAUUUGUUCUAAUUCUUCCACAUCAUCAACAACAAUAAGAACUUUUCUCCGACCUAGACUAUUUAACAUCACCUGGAAACCUUUAUUCGAAACGUCGGAACUCCCCACCCUGUUGUUCGAGAUACUCGAUAGAAGUUCUGCCUGCAUAUGUAGUUUGCCAUGCUUCAUGAAACCUUCCUUGAAAUUUUCAAGAAAGCAACAAGCUUUAAAUCCACCAGAGAUUUCAUUAUAAAUAGCUCUAGCGAUGGUUGUUUUGCCUAAACCACCCAUACCCCAUAUUCCAACAAUGCGAACAUCAUUAGUUUCAACUCCAGGAGGAUGCAGUAAUGAAUGCAUGUUAUGCAUAUGAGAGUCCAUUUCAACCAAGCCAUUAUAUUUGCUUGAGGAUGAUGAGAUGUAUCGCCGACCCCACUUAGUGGGAAAAGGCUUUGUUGUUGUUGUUGUUGAUGAUGAUGAUGAGAUGUGGAUCAAUUUCUUAAAAACAUCUUCUACAAUUUUCUCAAUAAGCUCUGCAUCAUCCCUGUCAAAUUUAAAACACAAUAUAAUUACAACACCAAAUGAUACUUAAUGGGUCGUUUUGAUAACAAUUUCGUUUGCAAUUUUUUUUAAAUCUAGAUUUUAAGUUUGCAGAUUUUGUUUUCAGUUUUUAGUUUCAAUGAAAGUAGUUAUUAAACAAGGUUUCCAAUUUUUCUUUCAUGGUAUACAGUACGUAGUCCCAAAUAUCAGUAGUUAGAUCUUGCAUUUAGAUCUAAUGGGUAUUUACAACCUUUUUUCCUGAGAAUUUUGUACCAUUGUAGCCAGAUCACAUGUUUUCAUCCGUUAGUUUUAUAAAAAUGGAAACUACAAACUUAAAAAAAAAAAAAAAUAUAUAAUAUAUAUAUAUAUAUAUAUAUAUCAAAUGGCCCCUAAAUGCUAUUAAAAAUCUCAAAAAUUAACAGGAAACUAAAACAAAUUAGAAUUUAUUCAUGGUUUCGCAAAUCCCAGCCGGAUAAACUGGUGGCCGUUGUAAGAGAGGACCUCCAGCCGGAUAAACAUUUUCGAGUUAUUUGAUAUUUGUAUAGUAAAAAUACUUUAAUAGCAAGUGCGCGUGAGUGAAGAAAUUGAACUUACUUAUAUUCUUUCGAAUCCCAACCGGAAAAAUUGCAGGCUCUGGGAAGAGCGGACCUCCAGCUCUGCACCUCCUUCACGUCAACGUUAGAACGACCUUCAUGUUUAGCAAAAGCUUCUGCAAAACUUCCCUCGAGUUUACGAAUAUUGGACGGAUCGACUUGGUAGAAAAUGGGGAAUACAAUCUGGUUCUUGGAAUGGUUGCAUUCCAAGAUUUCCACGAGUUCUUUCAAGCACCAUGUGGAUGAAGCAUAGUUUUGAGAGAAAACUACAAUCGAAAUCCUUGACUCUCGAAUCGCUGUCAGGAGCUCGGAAAGGCGGUCGCCUUUUCUGAGGUCUUCGGCAUCAAUGAAGGUGUUGAUUGGUUUCUGACGCAGAGCUUUGUAGAGAUGGCUGACGAAGCCCGUGCGAGUGUCUUCCCCUCUAAAACUGAUGAACACAUCGUAUUCCCAACCAAGGCAAGAAGAAGAAGAAGAAGCAGCCAUUAAUCGAUCUCACCUGGGCAGCGAUGAUCGAGCAGCUAAGACUAAGAGAAUUGUAAGUACAGAAACACUCAAUAGAUCUACAAAUUGGAUCACCAGAAAUUAGUCAAUGAGUCAAUGCAAAAGGGAAAAGGGCAAUUAUGCUUUUUGCGUUUUCACAUCUUCUUCAGGAAAUUUCGGUGUGAAAGGAAUCCGCAUACUUUUGAUUUUUCAACCCAAGAAAAUGCGAAGAAAGGGGACAAAGUAGUAAAUUUAAUCUACAGUUAGUUACCUACUCAAUAACCUCUUGAUUUAAUAUAUAUUUAAUUGGGAAAAGUAGUUUAGAGCAAGGAUGUUAUCUCCUUUUCUUCUCUCUCGAUCAGUCAAUCUUCCCGCGUGCGAUUUAAUCAUGAUUAAAGCUAAGCUUAAUCUUAGGUCGUAUUAUUUAGGUCUAAUUGGAUUCUUAAUUCUUGUGAUAUAGUAGUUGGAAGAUUAAAAAAAAAUUAUGAUUUAAACGUUUGUGAUGAAGUCUGUUACGAUUUAAAUUCAAAAUUGAAAAUUUCGUUAACUCCAUUAAUUGUUAGCACAUGAGACUCACAAAUGAAACUAAAAAUAUAAAGUUAGCCUCACAUGUAAUCUUCACGUGCUAACAAUUAAAAGAGAGUUCCGUUUUAGCUUAAUAUAUGUGACUCACGUGUUAAUAAUUAACAAAAUAUUAACAAAAAUUUUAAUUUUAAGCAUAAAUUCAAAUAAACUUCACCACAUAAGCUUAAAUUCUAAUUUAGAUAUCUUCUAAUUUAGAUAAUUUUUAACUGCAAGAUGUACGAUGAACGGAUAUAAUUCACAAAUCUCCAAAAUCCUUACAAAAAAUAUCCGAAAAAGAGCCAAAUUCAAUGGAAAUAAGCUAAUUUUGAAUCAAAUAACAUUACUUUAUUUUGUAAAUAAAUUAAUUUUGAAUUGAACAACAUUCAUUUAUUAUGUAAGUAAUUCAUUUUGUAUGUAUCAUCAUAUAUAUUAGGCACAUUUUAUCAUAGGUGAUUUUGUGAAAAAUUAAUAAAAAGUUACAAUAUUAACAAUAGAUCAAUAAUAUUUAUGUUAAUUAUAAAUAGGCUAACCAUGUAUUAUGAUACUUAAAUGCAUUUAAAAUAAAUAAAAAUUACAAAAUCUACUACUACAGCUAGCAUUCACUUCAACUAAAGCAAUACGUAGUUUUUAUAUUUGGAAUAAGUCAUACGAAUCAGAGACAUGAAGAGGUGUAAGAACUGUGAAUGUCCAACAACAAAGACUUCGGAGUUUGUUGUCGAAUAUCUGCAGCGCAUCAUUUCUGAUAGAUCAAAUCGAGCCAAUUCCCGCAAACUCCAAUCCCACCACCACCUUUCAAGCCGGACUCAGCCCUCCGGGCGGCAUUUGGCAGGACAGCACUGGAUCAAACAAGAUUGAGACUGGCAGUGGGAGCAAUGAACGAGCACACUCAGCAGGGAAGUCCAUCAUGGGUUCUAACCACACAUUGUUUCUCUACUUUGUGGCUUCCAACACGAUUGGAUUUUUUGUUUCACUUUACAUGAUCAAUGUCCUCACCAGCAAUUUCCCUCUGCAGUUGGAGCUUCAAAUUUGUAUUGUCGCGAUGUACAGCACGUACAACACUGCAGUUUUCAGCAUUGCACCGGAGAACGUGCGCUUCUUCGUCCUUCUGUUCUCUGUAGUUUUCCCAACUUUGGUUACACUUGCUGUCCAAAAUGAUCGUCUUUCGACAUACAUCACAAUGGCGAUCUUUAAUCAUAAUGACUUGUACUGCUCGAUCAAACGAGACGCAUGGAGGCGCGACGUAGGAGCCACGGUGCAGCCCAAACUUUGCAGAUAAGAAAUCUGGUAAUUCACAGCAUCACAAACAUGUUACUGGGUCUCCUGACCAUCGUAGAUGCCAAUGUGUGCACAAGGAAAGGAGUAAGGUAAUCAAAUGCUUGAGUCUUGUGUACCUGUUUCGGUGUUGGUUCGGAUGAACCCAUUGAGUUCUCGAUCCUUAACUUCUGGAAAUGCUCCUGAAAGCAUAAAUAUAUGUACGGAUUUAAACCAAUGGCAAAUGGACAUAAUUUACGGACAAUGAUUGAAGAAAAUACAGAUAUAAACGCCUCAGUAUUCCAUUGACGAAAGUUCUAGAUUUGAUGAAUCAAACGUCCCACGUUGAGACUGCGUUAAGGCAAAUGGUUCUCAAACACAAAGCAAUAGUUUGCUACCGAAAACAACCAAAGUCUGACAAAGGGAACCGUCUUACACCUAACCUGUUUUUCCCUCAUCAAAUGAGCGCGUUGAUCUGCAGGUAUUUUCUGCCAUCUCAAAACCUGUUACAAAGAAAUAUAACGUUGAUGUUGAGCUGGAUAGCAUAUUAUACCAAUUAUGUGUACAAACCUAUUGAAAUAAAGUAGCUGUAGUUGCAUAUUACGACAGAUAUUAACGAAAACAAAAGAAGGCUCGCCUAUUCAAGAUCCUAAAUCCCAUGAUUCUUUUGUUUUUAGUUUCAGAAAUUUUCAGAGCACAAACUGGAAAGUACCAAGAUACUUACAUAUUGGGCAUAAUGAAAUGCAUCUUCAUCUUUCAAGCAAGAUUUCAGUGAGCGCAAACCAUCCUGGGAGUUACAUAAGUCAAUCAGUAAUAUAAAAACGUAGAUGCAUCACAUCCAAACACAAGUAUUCAAACACCAACAACUUCUUCAUGCGGUGAGGCAUGUUAAAAAAUAGGGAAGAACAGUUAUUGAAUAGGAAGUUAAAGGACUAAAUUUAUGACCUUGUGUUUGUAGUUCUUGGCUCGUAUGCGUUCAUCUAUUACAAAACCAAUCUGUAACAGGUACAACAGAAAAUAUAAGCAGUAGUCAGAACAUUAAGCAUCGGCAUUCAAAUUGCCGCCAAUCCAAAGUUAAAAGUCUAAAGGCAAAACAGUAUGAUUCUUAUCUCUCAAACAAAAAUGAAACUAUACCCCGGUCUCAGACAUAAAUGAAAUAAGUUCUACUGCCUCAACUGAGUACUGUGAUUAUAUAUAAAUCCAAUUCACCUUGUCAAGUAAUCUCUUAGGAUCUUGAAAUGCUUGCUUCUUAGCCCAGUCAUUAAAUACAUGCGAGAUAAUCGAUCUCUCAUCCACACUGAAUCUAUUGCACAGUGACAGGAGAAUAAAGUCAAACAUGAACAUAACCAACCAAAAAUGCUAGUUAUAAUAGUACACCCAUAAUUGCAAGCAAAACCUUUUUAAGAAGCCAUUUCCAUGGUUUUCCUCCCCAAAUUCCAUCAAUUCUGCAGAGGCAACGUCAAAUUUACUAUGAUGGAGAUCAUUUUGCACCAUAACAACUUCAGAAGGUAGGAGAUUUGGUUUGAGAUCAUCUGUUGACGGAGUAGUUUCUUUUGAAGUGUCAUGAUGCUUUGAUUGCAAGCCUUCUGUACUUACGUCAGCCUACAAAACAAAAAUUGCAUUCAUCCACACUAGACUUAAUAAGAUUAGAAACACUUCAGAUUCUUCACUAUUUGUAAGUUUGACUAAACAGCAGAACAACUGAGGAUAAUGAACAGUAAUACACACCUGGACUUCUCGUAGAUGAUUUGGAAUUUCUUUCAGAAAUCGCGAAGGUUGAAGCAUCUGAAGGAGCCACCUUCUCAGUCAGAGCAACAACAACAAAUAAGGAGGACAGGAAUUCAAGCUAAAACGAACCUGCCAACUGGAAUCCAUCGUAACAUAAAGAAUGAAAAGCUUUUUUCGAGCACGAGUCAUUGCAACAUAUAAUAGGCGUCUUUCCUCCUAUGAUUAGAGUGGGAUUAUUGAGUUAUUGACCAAAAGAAAAAAGAGUGGAAUUAUUGUGACAAACACUUCAAAGCUCUGCAUAUAACUGAAAAAUGUUGAACAAUUUACCACACACCUCAAUGGAGGUCCCAUUUUCUUUUGCAACGCCAUUGAAUUCAUGCAACAACGGAAUCUCAGAUUCAUUUACCUGUGUUAUUGGCAUGAGCAUUAAAGCAAGCUAAGAUGAUUUGAAGAGGUUGAUAUUGUCAUGAAUAUAGUAGAAUAGAAUACCAAUUUCAAGCCAUCAAUUAGGUAUAGCAUUGGCAUGUUUAAUCCGUAAAUCUAAUGACAGAACACCUCAACUCUACACAUAAAUAAAUAAACAACCUGAAAAAUAUUACAGCCACUUGUUAAGGCAAAUACCUUAAUUAUGAAAACUAUAUCCCACUCUAAACCUUUUGACUGCAAGAGAAUGAAAAAGAAAGACAGUAAGCCAAGAAUGUUUUGUAGAACUCCAAAGGAAGUCCAAUAGGGAAAUCAUCGCAAGUAUAAGAGUUAGCGAGGUUCGCAUAAGAGGAUAUCAAAAAGAUCUAGAACCUGAUGAAUAGUAGUCAAAGUGACAGAACUUUGGUUGUCAUGUCUUCGGGAGUGAAAAUUUUCACUCUCCCGCUCAGAUAUGUAGUCGAUGAAAGCUUUGAGUAAAUUAACGCAGCCUUUUUCUUCUGCUACGACUUCUCUCUCCCCUUUUCCCGCAACAAAAUGAGUUGAUAAGAAAUCAGAUACGUCGUCUAGUAGGUACUGAAGAACCUGCAAUGAGAAUAAUCGCAUCAAAACAACAGGGUUGGACCAAGAUUUAAGUGACAACAAUGAUUAACUAACUAAAAUAGAGAAAUUAUUCAUUUAAGACCUUGUUGACUGAAAAAAGGGUUUUCCAAGCAGCGGGUCAUUUAAGCUUAUUGUAUAAAUGACAAUCAUCACAAACGGCAAACUUACAGAUCUCACGUCAUUGUCUUCAUUCAGCAGUUUUCCUCCAUCUACAUCAACGACUGCACGUUGCUCAAGAAGGUACUUCUAAAAACUGAAAGUCAAACGAUAAAUUAUUAAGAAGCAUUGAAUAUAAGCAUGAAACGAAGAAAAUGUUAUGGAAUGGUGAUCCUCAUCCUCAAAGAUGAUUAAAAGCAAUUUGAUUCAAAAAUGACAUAUCAACUCUGGAGAAAUGGAAGACAAACCUGUGGUACCAUAUUCGCAACUGAGGUUAUGACAGCUGAAAUCGAUUGUUCCUGUGUGCAUUGAUAAGUGAGACUACCAUAGAGAUUCACAACUAAAUAAAGACAGGUAUUCCACAGAACAACCUUUACCUCUUUGGAAACACAGAUCUAACAAAAACUAUAACAUUUUGGAUUAAUAUUGACGAAUCAAGAAUAAUGCAAGGGAGCAAGAGAUACUCUUCCUUCUAAUAACAAGGAGGCGUGAAAAGUUUACAGAGUUCCAACAAUUAGAGAACUAAAAUCAAACUAAAAAAAUCACCAAAGUAGACAGAAUCCCACUUCGCCAAAAAUUUGAAAAUAUAUCCUUUUUAUCCAUUGAGAUUCAUGAACUACUACUACUACAUCAUGCCAAUAAGCAAUGCGUAAGAGGUGCUACAAUUUACCGAAUAUAUUUACCCUGAGAACAAGUUUUGAAAUCAUCUCUAGUGUUAACAGCACCUUGCGUCCUUGGGUAAGCUGAGUCCUAUUAUCAAGUAAAGAGACCAAUCAGUACAUAUCCAAAAGAUCUUAAAUGCUUGUAAUACCAAAUAAGAAAGAAACAUGAGUAUAUCUUGAAUUAACAAUGCAAAAAUGUAAUGUUAAAGCAUCUUGUCAUACAGACCUCUUCAAGGUACCAGAAAUUUUGGCACUAAAGAUGUCACAAGCAGCUGAUAUGAAGCUGCAUUUUCUGUGAGUUGAAAUUUUGUCAAUAUAAUCAAUCACCUGAAGAGAGAGAGAGAGAAAGACAGUGAUAUCCAGAGAUGUGAGCCUAAAUGCUGAGUGUGUAAAAAAAGAAGAUUAAAUGGAUAGCAAGAAUAUACAACUUUAAUGCUGAAAAGAACAUUGAAUAUGAUGCUCAUUCAUCAUUGCCAUUGAACGUGUACCUUCUUCUUUUCCUCUUUCUCAAAAGCAAGUAGAGCCUUGAAGACUCGCCUAUAUGAUCCAUCAUCACAACCAGGCAAAGUUGUUUUAAUCAUAGCAACAAUGGCUCUAACUACCUGCCAUAAGAAACAUGCUACAUCAACAAGAUCACAGAGUGUACCAGAAACCGUAAUGUAGCAAAAUCUUAGAUAAAAUAGCUGGCCAAAAGGGAAUGGAAAAGCAAGCACAAAAAACAAUGAAAAGGACCAGUGAUGCCAAAAUUCUGGUGGAAAAGGUGAAAAGCUUACGUCUAUUACAGUUCUUGUAUGCAUUCUUUAUAACUUAAGUUCUACGCAGCAAAAACCACCUUAUGCACAACAAUAUUGGAAAAAUUAGAUACAUACAACUGAGAAGAUAGGUUUUCAUAGCUGGACAAGUGCUAACUACCUUCUUCCUAUAAACUGCCACUCCAUGAACAUUAAAUGGUAUUUUCCUUUCACGCAAGGCUGUCUGGAAGACUUUUCCUGAUACCUGUAGUAUAAAAUACAAAAGAAAAUGUGAGCAAAAUGUCUUAUAUGAUUCACCUCAUUCACAUUAGCACUAAGGCAAGUACGCUUGACCUGCCUCCGGUAAAGGAUUGCUAUAUUUCCAUAGGAGCACCCUGCUUCUGACCGUUUAGAUGCAGUCUCCAGGAUCUUGUCGACAACAAAGGCGCAUUGUGCAUCCUCAUUGUGACUUUCCUUGAUAAUUACCUACAUUUUGCCAGUAAAACCGGUGUCACUAACUAAAAGGACUGAAAAAUGACAUCAAAUUGUACUUGUUGGAGCAAGGAAAGAUUAAGUACCUUAGACCCAGAAGAAUUGUCCGUGUCAACAUUCUUUAGUUGGCAUCGCUUCUUAUUGUUUUUUAUAACAGAAGAUGCAGCUUCCACAAUAUAGCGUGUGGACCGAAAGUUUUUAUUAAGCCUAAUCUGAACCAUAAAGUUAUGUCAAAUCCCACAGAACCCCAUAAAAUAAAACUUACUUUCCUGUAAUUGUACAAUAUAUUUGUUCUAUACUAUAUAUAAUGAAAAAAGACACUGUGAAUGACAUAAGAUAACAUAGCAGUCAAGUGCGAAGCGAACCUCUUUGUUAUUUGAAAAAUCUUUACGAAAAGAAUCAAAUCCAGAAAUGUCCGCCCCAUUGAAACUGAAAAUGGACUGCAGCAGGAUAUAUGUUAUUUGAUUUAGAAAAGAUAAGGGCUGGAUUAAAAUGAGCUGAGAGAGAGAGAGAGGGAGAGAGGGAGCAAUAACAUUGGAUUUCCAUAAUAAAUCAACAACAUGCCUGAUCAUCAUCACCAACAAUGGUUAUGUGGUUAUGAGAGGCGAGAAUCCGCAAAAGACUAUAUUGCAUAGCACUUGUGUCUUGAAACUCGUCUAUUACAAUAGCUUUCCAUGACUCCUGGCACUCCUUCAACACUAAUUAAAAGAACACCAUGUAUCAACAUUUAGCAUUACUUGUAAAACUAGAUAAAUCAAUGAAAUAUACUUAGAUGAUAGAGACCUUCAGGAAAAUCACUUAGCAGCUUCACAGAGCAGCUAAUUAAGUCGUGGUAGUCCAAAGCGUUGCACGAUUUCAAGAUAUCAUUGUAAUUCCUAAGAAUUUCACCCUGAUUCAGAUUGAGAGCUAAAACUCAUAAGCAAUAGUUUCAAAGAACUGAAAUCAUAUCUGAAAUUCUAGUUCUGAGCGUACUCCUGUCACAUCACCCAUUCUUCGGCAUUCAGCGGGAGUCUUUCCAGAAGCUUUUGCCUGAAACAUAAAUAAAUUUAUUGCCUAAUGCCACAUAUUGUAAGACACACCAUUGUAUUGGUCAUUCUAGCUUGAUUGUAGCUAAUAUUUUUUAAAUCGAAUGAUUAGAGUUCUUAAUCCACAAUAAUCUGAACAUUAAAUUUGGUAUUCAAGACUGACCUGUGUCACAAACUUCAGCCAUUUCUUUGAUGCAUCCUUAAAAUGAUGUGGAGAUGUUACGCCGUUAGACUCUUCCCCAUCUAUAGCAACAUUAAGAUUCGUUUUACUCUUUUCAUCUUCUGAUAAACGCACAGCUUCAAUGAUUGCUCUUCUCUGUUGCCCAUGUCCAUAUAUCAAAAAUUCUGGUCUGCGCUCGAGUCUAAAACACAAGGCAACAUAACAGACUCAGCUAUACCACCAUAUGUAUGGUGUUCAAAAUCAAGGGAGGUGAAUCAAUAGCUUACUUCUCAGCAUGUGAUCGGCAAAGUUGCAAUGAAAAUGAAUGAAAUGUACUGAUUGUUAGUAGUUUGCCGUUGCUUUCCCAGUCACAGAUCCAAUUCGAUCUCUCAUCUCGGAAGCUGCUGCUGUAGUGAAAGUCAUUGCUAGAACGUUCGACGUGCUAAUGCCCUAAGAACACCCAAAAAAAAAAAACGAAUAAGAUUUCGAUCAUAAACAAGAAAUGUAGAGAAACAGACAAUUAUGAAAGAAAAAGUUAAGAGGGAAAGUAGCAACACCUCAUUGAGCAGCAUUAGAACGCGCCCAACUAUCGUUGAAGUCUUUCCACUUCCAGGGCCGGCAACAAUCAUCAAAGGUACUGAACUAUCGCUGCAAGCUGCCUCGAGCUGCCUUUCGUUGAGAGAAAGCAAAUACUUCAAAUACUCAUCCGGCAUGUUAGGCAAUCCAUGGUUAACAGAAUCUGUUUGGUUUUCACUACUCAAAGGCGGCGCUGAUGCGGCACUAACGACACUACCACAACUCCCAAUAUCAUCACGCUGAAUGUCCACACUCGUUUUCUGCUCGAUUAAAGCGUCAAUUUCCUGCAAAAUACUCUCAUCGAAAUCAUCAUCGUUAAGAAUUCCAGAUGCAGAGAAAGAAUCAAAUGAAGUCAGAAACUGCGGUUGUCUGAUUGGAGUUGUGAAAGAAUCCGAUUUUGACACGCUUGAUUCGGUCCGGCUAACGCUUAAGCUCCCGGAACACGAAGCACUGCCAUAUUCACCACGCGCUGAAUUGUACCGGCUUGCGGAAAUCGGAGGCGGUGUUCUUUGAACUCUAUUGAGCUGAGUUGGCGUUUGGAUUCCAUUUCCGCCACAGAUUCUGGAAUUUGAAAAACACAAUUGAAUUGAUUUAAAUUGAAGCAAGAAAACGGCCGAGUAGCAAAAAAAUAGUAAGAAGAUGAAACCUUUGAUUCCUGAACGACUUACUUGGUAUGAGGGAGGUGAUGAUCAGGUGAAACGGCGUCGUUGCGGGGGCGUUUGCGAUCAAUGAGGGCCUUGGCGGCUCUGCAAUUCCGAGAGAUGCGGUUUCUUUGUUCCGCCGUGAGCCCUCCGCCGUACGCCUGAACGUUUUCCUUGGACAUUGCUUCGAAGAUUCCAACGGAGGAUUUGGCCUGACGGCCUGACCAGGCUGAUAACAGUGUAAAACCUUAGGAGCUAAGGAAAAACUAAGAGAGAGAUCGUAGAGAGGGGAAAGUUUUUUGUUUUUUGGAAACUUAGAGAGGGAAAGUUUGUUAAACCUGCAUAAUAUUCUUUUCGUUCAACUUGUCUACAAUAAUUACCACUCUUGGUAUUUAUACAUUUGUAACACACCUCACUAACUAACUAAGACCACUACCAAUCAUACAUAAACACUUGUCAUAAUCCUAUGCACUCAUAGUAUCAUCACUCUAACAUCCCCCUCAAGCUCGUGUGGCAGAUUGCCAAGUAUGAAAUUGGAACAAUUACGAGUGAACUGGGGUGAACACAAGCCUUUGGUGAACAUGUCGGCAUAUUGAUCUGCAGAGGUAACAAACUGCAAAAUAAUUGUCCUUCGAUGAACUCUUUCACGAACAAAGUGGCAAUCAAUCUCUAUAUGUUUGGCUUUAGAGUGCAAUACAGGAUUAGUCGCAAGAGCCAUUGCUGAAAUGUUAUCACAAUUCAAAACUGGAACAGAAGGAUAACCAACAUGCAAAUCUCGAAUAAGUUGUUGUAUCCAGAUAACCUUAGCAGUGGUUGUAGCCAUUGCUCUAUAUUCAGCUUCAGUGGAAGACCUACUCACUGUAUGCUGCUUUUUAGAACUCCAAGAGAUAGGAGUAUCUCCCAAAAAAAUGACAAAACCCGUGGUUGAACGACGAUCAUUGGGAUCCCCUGCCCAAUCAGCAUCUGUAUAAGCUUUCAACUAAGAUGAACCUAAUUUAAAACACAAUCCCAAAGACAUAGUGCCUCUGAGAUAUCGCAGAAUACGUUUCACAGCAGCAAAUAAGUGGCUAAGGGUGAAUGCAUAAACUGACAUACUUGAUUGACAUAAAAAGAAAUAUCUAGUCUUGUAAAUGUUACGUAUUGCAGUGCCCCAACAAUACUUUUAUAAGUGGUAGGAUCAGAAACAGGUUCACUACCAUGAUUCAGAAGCUUCUAAUUAGGAUGACAAGGUGUGGGAAAAGGUUUAUAGUCCAGCAUAUGCAUAUUUUGAAGGAGUUCUUUGACAUACUUGGUCUGAUGAACAAAGAGUCCCUGAUCCUGAUACUCAAUCUGUAAACCAAGAAAAUAAUGCAACACACCUAGAUCUUUCAUGUCAAACUCACUAGUUAACUGACUAAUAACAUUAUGAACCUUCACAUCAUCAUUACUAGUGAGAAUGAUAUCAUCAACAUAUAAUAAGAGAACAAUAAUUGAUGAACAAUCACACUUGACAAAUAAUGAAGGAUCUGCAUAUGAGAUUGAGAGUUACAAGGAAAAGAUAUACAAGACUUAUUAAGUGUUGCAAUGACAAUGGAAUGUGCAGGAUCGCCUAAUCAACAAUGCCACAAUGUAGAAGAAAUCUUUUGACCCACAAAUGCAACUGGAUUAAAAACAGGAGAAAUAGACCUCUGUGGUUUGAUAUGGGAAGUGGAUAGACAACAUUAUUACUCAGCCCUUGGAAUAGCACUCUCCCGAUGACCUUGUCCUAUAGACAGAGAGAAACAUCAUCAAUGAUACAACGACACUAAUUAUCUUUGCACAACUAAUUCAUAGAUAAUAAGUGUUGUGAUAGUUUUGGAACAUGUAACAAAGAGUUUAACUUGAAAUUAUGUGACUUAGUGAGAAGAGAAGAGGAACCAAUAUGUUUGAUAGCUAAACCUUCACCACUAGCAGUGGUCACAGUAUCAUUUGAUGGAUAAAUUUGUUGCCAUGUGCAAGUUUGACAAAUCUGAGGUCAUAUGGUUAGUUGCUCCCAAGUCAAGAAACCAGAAAUCUUGUUGAAGAGUUGAGGAUGAUGCACCAGCUCGUGCUUGCACAGCAAGAGGAGGAUUUUGUGAGGAUAUAAUUGAGAGAUACAUAUGUGGUAUGACAGGAUACUGAAACUCGAAGCUAUUAGACUGUGGAAUCAUGCCUUGUGAAAGACCACAUGGAUUCUAGCUAGGUGCUUCACCAUAUGACCCAGUAGGCAUUGGAGUUGGCAUAGACGAGGAUAAACCCUGAGAGAAAUGCUAUGAUGUGUCUGUGAAAUUCUUAUUCCGAUCAAAGCAAGUAGCAGCAACACGGCAGCCUCUGUGACAAAUUUGACAUCCAUGUUGAAAACAAUUCAAUGCAGAAUGACCUUUGCGAUCACAUAUUUGCAUAAUGGCCUCUGUGAUCACAUAUUUGCAGAAUGGCCUUUGCAACCCUAGAAAGAACAAGGCGCGAAGAAGACCAAAUGUGUACGUUUCUCUUUGUUUUUUUUUCCCUCCUAAUCGUGCUGUUCGAAAUCACGGACCUCGGGCUUGGGCCUAAUGGGCCCAAUUAUGAGGCCUAUUAUCUCCGGUCUUCUCGUUCUACUUCUAGUUACCCAAAUUAAGAACGUGCUGGUUCGCUUUUAGCGCGAGAGAGAAAUGGAGGCCCUGAUUGCCUCGUACGGAAACUCGUCGUCGGGCUCAGACUCCGAGACGCCGGCUCCACCUCCACCACCACCUCCGGAGCUCAACAACCCUCAAGAACCGACCCCUGCGCUGCCUCCACCUCCUCUGUCACUUCUCGACAGCCCCAAUUCCUUCGGUAACCUCUGAUUCCCAUCAAUUUUCAUCUUUUAGCUUUCUGUUGUGAUGGCUUUUUCCGAGUUGCCCACCAAGUGUUUGAUAUUUUGCCUCUGAAGGAUUUCUGGACUUCUCGGCAAGCGUCCAGCCGAGCAGAGUUCGGAACUUUCCUCACGUCGAAGGGAACUACGCAGUACAUGUAUACAUCCCAGGUUAUCAAAAUUCUCGAAAUUUUCAGCUCCAUUAGCAAAUGCGAUCGCUUUGCACUUAGUUUUUGCUUGUUUAAUUGUGUGGUUCCAGUUUAUAUACCACCAGCACCAAGGAAAGAGAUGGCCUUGUUUUUGAACAAGCUAGCUUCUCUGGUGCCUUGUCUCCAUGCGGUUGACGUUGACUUCCCGCUUGACAUUCUGCGUAAGGACGAGCACAAGCUUGAACAAGUUGCUUUAGGCAGAGAGUUCCAUAUAAGUCUCGGAAGAACUGUUCCGAUUCGGGUGCACCAGAUUGAUUCCUUGGUGACAAUGCUGCGGCAGAAGCUUCAGAUUCAGAGGCGGUAUGGUUACAUUUACAUUCUCUUGUCUGCAUUGCGUGAAUUUAGUUCUGUUAUUUAACAUAAUUCUGUAAGCCUGCAAUUUUUUCGUCCAUUUUCGGUUUAACACAUUUUGUUAUUGUGCAACAGGUAUUGGAUUGAUUUUAGCAAGUGGGAGGUUUUUGUUAAUGAUGAUCAGACCCGGACCUUUGUGUCUAUCGAAAUCAUUGCUGCUGGGUUAGCUGAGGUAUGAUUGCUAGCUUUCUCUCUUGGUGCAAUUCUAAAUGUUUUCAGUUGUUAUAUGGGCUUAAGAUUUAGUAAGGACUUGCCGAAAGUCAUGGGAUUUUGAAAUAUCGAUAUCUUGCUUGCUUAUUAGCUUAGAUUUGGUCUUCGAUGCACUUGUAACAUGAAAAACACAAACGAAAACUAAUGCAUGAUAUGCUCAUGGUUUUAACAUGUGUUGUCCUGGCGUAAAUCAUGUUCCUAAUCCUGUCAUGUGAGUAUAAGCCUAUGAAACUCAGGGCAUGUUUGGCGGGCCGGACAAGAUUGGAAUUGGUAUUUCAGACUAGUUAGGUUAGGAUUGAACUGGAUAGGAUAGGUUUUUUUGUCUAAAGAUUGGUGUAGACUGUCUUAACCAGACUAGGAACGAUGGGAUUUAAAACGUGAAACAGAUCCGCGACAUCCCAACGAUGACCCGCCCACCCAACAACUCUGCUCGUGACUUGCAACACCUCUCGUACCCUCCACGCCCCUUGAGGCCCGUCAGACCACUCUGAUAUCCUGGAGGGGUGAAACGUGGUUACUAGAAGCAUACCUGUUUUCGUAUUAAUGCACAGUUGAAGCAGCUUUCAUUGUCUACAAGUCUGAAAUAUUUCAACUUCCAUUGAUUUCAGAUAACAAAGCAGAUUCAAGCUGUGAAUGAGGUGUAUAAGCUUCACAAUCUUCCUGAAUUUUACAAGGUUAGCUUUUUCGUGCUUUUCAAACUCGAAAUUACUUACUGAAUAUAUGACAAUAUAUUGGAGCAAAUGAUUGUGCCUGAAUGCUACUCAUUGCUCAAAAAACUAAAUCACUUCAUGGGGUGUUGGUGAUCACAGGAUCCGCGCCCUCACAUCUCGGUAGCUUGGGCAUUGGGUGACAUCGGCAAUUCCCUGAAGAAAGUGGUUGAAGAAGAAAGACGAAGAUCUACCAUCGGAGGAUCGUUACAGAAAUGUAUUUUUACCAGUAAAUUCAAUGGUAUUGAAUGUAGGAUUGGUAAUAAAACACACAAAAUAUGUAAAUUUUCUGAACAAUAAUGUAGCCAUUUAACUAUAUUGUGAAAUUCCGAGAAUAUAUCGCUGAGCAUUGGAUGAGAAGACAUUUCUUCGUUGGUGUCGAACUUCAUGCCGAAGGUAUAGACACCGUGUAAACGCCAUCAUCCAUGCAGUCUCCUGUGCAUUAUUUAGUAUUGUCUCAGUUUCUCCAAACUUGAAUGCUCCUAUAAACCCACUCUUGACCUUUCCGUCAUCUGCGAUUACCGGAAAGCUGGCAAGGAUGUUGCCGUUAACCUACCUAACCGGCUAGGAUGUUGCCGUCAUCUCCAAACUUUAAAUACCGGAAAGCCGGCUCCAAACUUCAAUGUGCUACUAGUUUUUGUAUGCGAGAGCUCCACCUCCAUUGUUGUAACAGCAUCUGAUGCGGACUAGUCCUUCAUUCCCGUUACUCUUUGCUAUCUCCACUUCGAACUUGGCGUAAUGGCUCCCGGCCUCCUCUCCGGUGAAAUUGAGAAACCCCGGAGCUGGCGUUUUCAUUCUGUUGUCCGUAUAUCUUGUAUUACAAGUAUUUGUUGUGCAAAAUGCAAGCUAAGUUCAAUUUAUGUUUAUGUGUGUGUGUGUGUUGCCACUUUGUCACUUUUCCAACGUUUUCUCCAAAAUUGUGAUUUUGGUGAAUCCUAAUAACAAUUCCCUCGUUAAUCAUUGGGACGAGCACCAAGGCAGUUUUGAUUCCGUGCACAACGGCGAUACCUCGAAAGAAAUUGAUUCUAACCCAGAAAGAUGUUUUAAAUCAAAGUUGAACAAGGGAAGAAAACUUUUGAAUCGCAAUCACAUGUCUGGUCAAAUUCUUGAACAGUUGAUGUAUACAGACGUUCCUUGCUUAUGACACGACUUAUGAGAGGAUGUAUGUAUUGCAUUUGCAUCAAAAAAGAGAGAGAAGGUUGUAAGUGGUAAGGGAACGACUACCGAUGCCGCUCCACUUCUAAUCAAAGGGAUCGAUCCGAGGGUCGUGUUCACUUGCCAUCGCCAUUCCAGUGCAAAGGCAUGUCGGGCACAUUACCUGCCACAUUUACAGACGCAAUGUUAGAUAUAGCUGCCAUUUGGAAGUCACUUCUCAAAAUUUUGCUACUAAAUUAAUCUUAGACUUCAUUUCCAGUGCAAUUUUUUGCUACUAAAUUAAGCUUGUGAAUAUAGUACAUCUAAGCGGCAGGCACUAAAAGGAAUUUAGUAUGCAAUAAACAUUCAACGGACUAACCUUUCCCGCUCCUGAGCAAUUUGAACAUCGUUCAGUUUUUGGCAGAGAUAGGGGUUGGUUUCCGCCAUCAGCUGUCGAUACUGGUUCAGUAAGAACAAGGGUUCCAGUGCUGGAGCAACGAGCACAAGCAAGAUAUCCUGCGUAAGUAUCAAAUACACAGGUAAGUUGACAUAUGAAACCAAUCUGUGUAAACUACACUGUAAUAGCAGAAGAAUAUGCAGUACGAGAGAAAGAGAGAGAGAGAGAUUUAGAGAGAGAAGUUAAUACUUCAUAUGUAAUAUUUUCUAUAUCAUCAAUCUUACAAUAUUAAGACUAUAUACUAUAUGAAACUGCUAACUAACUCUAACAACCUCUCUAACAACCUUUCUAAUCUUUUGACAAGUGUCUUCAUAUUCUACCAUUGGAUUACUAUCCUUAACAUCCCCCCUCAAGCUCAGGAGAGGUAGAAUCCAAACUGAGAUUGCGACAAUGAAUCUGAAAGAGAGGAGCAGAUAAUCCCUUGGUCAGUAUGUCUGCAUAUUGCUCACUGGAAGACACAAACUGAACAAGCAACUGCUUCUUUGCAACUCGUUCGCGAACAAAAUGAAUAUCAACCUCAAUGUGCUUUGUGCGUUGAUGUAGAACUGGAUUGGAUUAAGCAAUUACUGACCUUUGUGCAUCUUACUAUUCCUACUUCACCAGUUUUGUAUUGUGAUAAUAUGUCAGCAAUCGCAUUAACAACCUCUCUAACAACCUUUCUAAUCUUUUGACAAGUGUCUUCAUAUUCUACCAUUGGAUUACUAUCCUUAACAAUCUGAACAUCUCCAUCGUAUAUAUUUAAAGCUACAGUACAUAAAACGAAAAGUCAGAAAUAGAGGACAUUAUCACACCAGUUCCAAGACAAUAUUUGCAUCGUUUAUGCUCCUGCUGUUUCACAUUGUUUAUUUCAACUACCAUCAAUGCUGAGAUCACUCCGACUGCUCCUCCAGAGAAUGACGCCACUAUGGGAUCAACUUGACUGCAGUUUGAAAGUAAAGGAGAUCAAUAAACAAAACUGUUAACAACAUAGUAUCAACAUUAUUUAGCUUCGUUUCAAGAAAUAUGACAUCCUAGGUUUUUCUAAUGUGUAAAAAUUGAGGAUCCUUGACUAUAUCGGUUCCCAAAGCAUUUGAUUCCUACGUUACAGACGGAAAACAGUAACAAUCGAAUUUAAAGAUUCAUAACACGAUAGAUGGUAGGUCUCGGGUUCGAGACUUGGGAGCAGCCUCUCCAUAAAUGGGGGUAAGGCUAGCCGACAUUCACCUCUCCCAGACCCUGCGUAAAGCGGGAGCCUUGUGCACUGGGUACGACCUUUUAUAACACGAUAGAUGGUACAAAUUUUCAAAACGAUAAUUACUAGAGAACAGGAGGGUUAAUAGCCUGAGAUAUGAGCAAUACCUCAACUGCAACGGCAGAUGCAUAUUUACUAUAAAGUCUUUAUAUGAUGUGCCUCCUAUUCCCAGCUUCAACUCCAACUGAAAGAUGUAAAGGUAAUUGUAGGCAAAGAGUUACAAACAUAACCGAAUCCAUGUUUUAUAAGCAACAACUACACUUAUUUUGUUAUGUUUCCUCAUUUUUUACUUGCAAAUUCCGAACCAUAUUGUCGGACCAGUAAAAAGAAAAUAAUGUUUAUGAUAACUGUUAAAACUAAUCACAACAAGUUAAUGCAUAAAGAACUUACGGAGGGUGCUAUGAGGCCACCGAAAAGGAUAAACCCCGCAAUAAUUGAAUAACAAACAGCAUAAUAUUGCUUAAGGUUGUCUGAACUCUGCAAGCAAUGAAUUCACCUUGUGAUUAAUACUUUGCACAAACACUAGUUUUCGCAAUUUUUUAUGAAUCGACAAAAGGCUACAACAAAAUAUGGCUAAAACAUGUGAAAAUACAUGUCUUCACAGGGGCACCAGCUUACCAGGGGAGGCAAAAAUGGAAUGAACGAUGGAAAACUAGGAAGUUCGUUUUCUUGAUCUUCAUUUACCGCUCCAAGCUCUGCACGUUUAAUCCGCUGUUGUAUCCUCAGCCCGCGAACCUACGCAUAUCGAAGCUCAUUCUUAAAGAACACAUUUCUAAUGGCAAUUGGAGAGUAAUUUAAAACAUGCUAAACUGAGAAAGUGGUAGCAACAAGCAAUUGCUCUCACUUCCUCCAUAUGCAAGAAAAUUUUGUUGCGACGACUCCGAAUAUUAUCUUGAAUUUCCUGCAGCUCCAUUGUCGCAAAGUCCUGCACUGUUUCAGGCCCCUCUAUGAUACAAAAUCUGCACAAUUAAGCAUGUAAAAACUAAAAAUUACAGGCUAUAAAACAAUUUCCGUAUCAUUUUUGGGAGCUCUCUCUCUCUCUCAAACCAGAAGGCAGAGCUUUCUGUUUCUCUUGAGGUUUCUUUCACUGGUAAAUUCCAGAGAAGCAGAGAAGAAGGCUCUCUGAGAAAUGGCGAUGGUGCAAGUGGAGACAAAACAAAUGUAUAUCUUGAAGCACCGAAAUUGUGCAGAACACUUGUCAACUACCGAACUCUAGGAUUAGGAGAGAGAGAGAGAGAGAGAGUGAGUGACCGGCAAAAAAAAAAAUGAGGGAAGAAUCACCCACAUUUAAAAAUGAUUUUUAGGGGACCUGGUGUCGUUGGAUUCGAGUAGUUGUUCGGUAUGUCACAUUUAAAAUUUUAUUAUCUGAUGAUAAACGUCGAAACAUAAAGAUAGGUCAUCUCUAACCGAAUGAGGACUAAAAAGUCAUGUUUAGUACUAUAAUCCUGCAAUGAAUUAUAUUUUAAUAAAUAAUAUCAGGUUAUAUUUUAUACCAUAUCUAACCGAGUGGGUCAAAUGAUCAUAUGCCAAACAUAGCCUUUUGACAAAAAACUCAUCUCCAACCGAGGGGGCUAAAUGGUCAUAGACCAAACAUAAUUGCUCAAUAAUUUAUUAUUCUAAUUGAAUUAAUAUGAUUAAUUAAAUUAAAUUACCAUAUUAAAAUAAGAUUUCAUGAUAUAUUUUGAGUGCCACUUGCCACAAUACCGAAGAAAGCAUGGUAUUAUUGCACCUGCCACAAAGUCAAGCUUGACAUUCUGCUGCUGGAGGGCUGGCUGGCUAGCUGAAAAUGGCCAGCCUGCUGGCCUGAUUUGGGAGGUUUUGGCCCAAUGGGGCCCCAAGCCCUUUGGCCUAGCCUUCGGUUGGAAACGGUUUUCGUGUUAUUCUGAGUUAUUUUUAACCCUAUGAUCCUUUGGCCGGAUCGAUUGGAGAUGACCUUAGGUGUGUUGAUUGUCUUUGAGACAUCGGAGGUUCUGUGUGAUUGAAUACUUCACCCUCCUCCAAAGGCGCCACUCUUGAGAAGGUUACUUGCCUCAUGCAAACAUUGUGAAUUGCAAGUGAUGAAUUGUUCUGAUGAUGAGGUUUAUUUUUUAACUCAUUAUGUUUCAAGUUUAAACAUUUUUCCCUCUCUUAGUGUAAAAUAUUGUUUGUGAUAAAAAAACUUAAAAUGAGACACUCUCCUUCAUAUAUAAGAUGAUCAAGUGUGAGAUUAAUACUUUUAAUGAGUGACUCAAUUAACCAUUUUCAUUUCUUACGCGUUCAAAAUUAGACAAAUUCUUUGCAUACAUUUAAAAAAAAAAGAUAUUAAGGAGAGUAUAAAAUUAUUACAUUACGAAGAGAGAGUUUCGAACUCGGGACGUAUGAGUAGAACCCUAACGCCUCUCCACUAGGAUAUUAGACCAAUACUGGUCUUGAAUUUUUUUGGUGCCCGGAGCGAAUGCUCAAAACGUGUCUUUUUCCAGUACAACAUAAAUUAAAAAGAAAUAUUUAUAGAGGGCUAGAACCCAAUCGAAGCUGGGGGACUAGGCCCUUACGCCUAUAUUAUAUUACUUACCUAAUACAAACAUUUCUGAUAGAUUUCAGAGGCUCUAAAUGGUCAAACACUUCGUCCUUCCCAAAACCGUUACUGUUGAGAGGGUUCCUUACCUAAUACAAACAUUUUACGUUUACUUAGAACUAGAAAAAUAAGAAUUGCAGGUGAUGAAUUGCUCUAAUGAUGAUGUUUAUUUUUUAACUUAUUGUGUUUUAAGUUUAAAUAAUUCUGUUUCUUUGAUAUAUAUAUUAGUGUAAAAUCAUUCGUAAUAAUAAAAAAAAAGAAUAAAAAUGAUACUCUCAUUUAUAUACAAGUUGAUCAAGUGUGAGAUUAAUAAUUUUAAUGAGUGAAUUAACUAUUUUCAUUUCUUACGAGUUCAAAAUUACACAAAUUCUUUGCAUACAUUUUUUUUUUAAAUAGAAAAUUUCUAUUAUUAAGGAGAGAGUCCUAAACUAUUAGGUUAUGGAAUGUGAGUAGAAACCUAACGCCUAUCCACUAGGAUAUUAGACCACCAGAGCUGAUCCUGAGAUUUUUGGUGCCUGCGUCAAAAUAUGUCCUUUUCCAGUACAACAAUAUAAAUUAAAAAGAAAUAUUUAAAGAGGGCUGGAACCCAGUCGAAGCUGGGAGGCUAGGCCCUCACGCCCAUAUUCUAUUACUUGAAGAAACAAUAUACAACGGGGGGAAUCAUAGUACCGAAACCCCAACAAUAAAAAACAAAGUCACAUGCAACCACUCCAAGCAGUCAACUUGGCCAUUACAUAUUGAAUCCAAAAGGUUGACGGCCUAUUCUCUGCAUACAAUGCACAGAAGAUAACAAGAUUACUAAUAUAAAAAGAACAUCUGAAAAGAUGAACAUAUGCAUCAACAAAUAAGCAGGGGCGGAUCCACAGUGGGGUCGUCGGGGUCAAACGACCCCUUGGAAACCAUGGAAACAACCUUGAAGCUCCCAUAUGCGACCUCUUGGAGCUGGGGUUGUCGGGGUUGUCAGGAAGAGGAAGAAGAAGACUCGGCAGGAAGAGGAAGAAGAAGCAGCUCGCGCGACGUGUAGGUUCUGUGUAGAGUUUCUGACCUUUAAUUCCCACUUCACAAAGACGAGAGAAAGAGAGAGAGGGAAGGAAAGUCCUCGGGGUGGUGGUGAUGUAGACCUUCGUCGGGGUAGUGGUGUGGGUGUGCGUGGGUGUGGAUUCGAUCGGAGAGAGUGAGAGGGUUAAAGAGUGAAAAAGAGAGAGAGAGAGAGAGAGAGAGAGAGAGAGAGAGAGAGAGAGAGAGAGAGAGAGAGAGAGAGAGAGAGAGAGAGAGGAGAGUUCGGGGAGAUGAGAAGGAGGACAAUGGGGACUUGCCCCGUGGCAAGUUGUGAUAGGUAGGAAAUCCCAAAAAGGGAUCCGGAUAGGGUAAGUAAGUGGGGACCAAAUUGUAAACUUCAUUUAACUGUAGGGAAAUUGUGAAAUUACAAGGAAAUCUUUGGGGAGGGGUUUUACAGAAACCCUUCUCAACACUUAAAAGCAAACUGCGUGCUUUUAAUCAGGUUUGGCUCUAUAAUUGAACUUGUAACCAUGCCUUUCCCUAUGACGGAAUUGUGAUAUGCUUUGCCAGAUAUUCACAAGGAAUUCAUUUUUCUUUUUCCAAUUGCAAAAUAUUAGUGAACAAGUUGUUUCUUCUAUGAGAGAUCCAAGCAUAAUGGUUGGGUAGAUGCAGAUGAGAAAAUCAGCAGUUGCUGUAUUUGGCACAGUAAGAUAUUAACUCUUACAUCUAAAUUGAAAAACAUGAAAAUUUCCUAGUUCUCAAGGUCUCACGUGCAUGCUCAGAUACAUUUGUGCUUCAUAUUUGUGUGUUUGAUUCCGAGAAGGCUGACAAGUUGAAGCAAUCUCUUCCUCCAUGUUUGAACAUUCAGGACCUUUGAACAAGGAUUUUGGAGUAGCUGGUUGCGCUAUCCUACCAAGACCCGAUGAAAUGACGAUAUGCAUGCCGUUUCUGUUAAAAAAAAAUAUCCUUAUUGACCCCCCAAACAUUAUUUCCUGGAUCCGCCACUGCAAAUAAGUAAACCAUUCUAAGUGCAAUUUUAGAAGUGAUACGCUCCAAGUGUGAUAUUGGACAGAAGAGCGGCAGCUUCAACCAGUUCUGCUAUAUCCGGCUGGAUGAGAGCUGCUAAAGACAUGAUUGUUCCCUAAUAACAUGAAUAAAUUGAGUAAACACCAAAAGUAGCGCAGCAAGGGAAGGAGAUUUGAAGUAGAUGAAGAGGUGUAAUACCCGUAUAUGCAGCGCAUCAUUUCUGAUAGAUCAAAUCGAGCCAAUUCCUGCCAACUCCAAUGCCGAUAAUCCUACAGUAAAGCAUAAAUCUUAUUCUCUUCUGAUAAAGAUGUGUGUCCCUGACUCCAACGUGUUUGACGCACAUUCCCUACCCAUACAUUGAAACCUUCAUCUGCAAGGACGAAUCCCAGUUAUUCUUCUGGAGAAUUUAAGAACCAUGAAUCACCUGGUCAAGAAAAGCCAGUAACCAAUUACAAUUGAGUUUGAAGCACAUAAGAGCCUAAUUUAAAAUGUAUCCCAUGGAUGUUCAUCAAUUUACACAAUAGUUAGUUUCAAGAAAGGAAAUUUCAACAGAACCUGAAAACUUCAGAUCAGGGGGCACCAAAUAGUGAGCUAUACAUUCAAAAUUUGAAAUAAUCAACUUAGUGGGACCAAUAUGUUGAAAAAAUUGGAAGGAGCUAUGAAAGUAAGGCUUUUCACUAAUCAGACGUCCAGAGAAUCAAUAUUUUACUCACGGAUCAGUUACGGGGAACACUCCCCACCAAAGCAAACUCUUUCGUCUGAAUCUGGAAAACAAGCAGCAGUGGAUUUUAACAGUCUGGGUAUCUCAAAGUUACUUUAAUCACAAAUUUAACAAUUAAACAUAUAAAUGGGCAUUAUUUAGUGAAAUAUUAGUAUAGUACUCACUGUGUGCUCGGAACAAGAGUACCCAGAAAGCUCAAUGAGCUGCGCACAGAGGACUACAGCGGUGAACGACAGCGACCGAUUCUGUAAAAUUCAGUCGAGUUUUGGGUGAUUUCGGAGGUCAAGAGGCUGAUAAGGAAAGCUGCGACCGAAGGGCACUGGUCUGGAAGAAAAGGCUCAGGUCACUGCUGUCCCAAUUCGCGAAGGAAGUGCCCCCAAAACAAUUUCGGCCCUGGACAGGUGCACUGUUUGCACUGGACCAGGGCCGGCCGGCCCAGGCGAUAACGUCCCCCAAACAGUACAUAUACAGAUGCUAGAAAUAUAUUAAUGUAACCUGAAACUACUAGAACCAUUCAAUUCUAGCGUCUACAGCUUUAGCAUUAGUUGGUACAUGGGACAUUCUUCCAAAGAGGGAGAUGAGCUCGUUGAGGCUCUUAUUUAUUCCCCCUCUUGAUGUGCCCUUCUAGGCUGCUAAUUCCAGACGAUCCAAUCUCAUACAUCUUCCCUGCAAAAGCAUGUGUGCCAGACUUCAAGAUCAAAUUUUUCCAACAAAAGAAACUUAAAGAUCAAACUCGCCAGCGGAAUAAAUGAUGCACAAGGGUGUUAAAAUCUUGACAUAUGUAUAUUUUUGGCAGAUUUUAUGUGAGCAUGCUACUAAAACUGGCAUCACUAAAGAUUGGUGGAAAACUUUAACAGUUUGAGUUGUAACUUCUCCAUUGUAUUUGUUAAGGCAAGAUGGAUGACAUCUAUGCAAUUUUCAGUAGAACUUAAAAGGCUGCAUAGCAGCUCUUGUUCGUUGUAUUGAAUACCGUGGUUUUACUGAUGAAUGCAGAGUUUGUUGAUGAUUCAUACGACAAGCAAUUGAAAAUCCCAUCAUUAUGCCCCACAUAUACCAAAAAAAAAAAGUCAUUUACACAAAUUCAGAGCGUUCAUCCACUGUAAUUUGCAGAUAUAGAAACGUUAAGAUAAAAGGAAAUGCAAAGUACCUUUCACCCAAAUUGGAGGAGCACCGGUGGCAUUAGCAAGUUAGCAACGGGAAUUGACAUACCAAUAUCUUCACAGUUUCUGCACAAGCACAAAUCAAAAGAACCCGGCGGUGGAGUUAUGUACCUCUCCUUGGAAAAUGCCACCUCUUGGGAUUUCAAAAUAUGCAGCCAUGGCUAGCCGUCUGACCACGCCAAUUCCACCAAAGCCACCGCAACGCGGCGUAGUGUCCGAUUGAUUGCUUCAAAACAGAGCUUCGUAUCCAUGUGUUUAUCAGCAGAGAGUACCCAAAACCACUGAAAAUUAUUUCUUUAUUCAGAUAAUAAAAUUUCCCAAAUUUGGAAAUUUAAUUCCGAAUCAAAAGUAGGGUUUGAAUUUUGAUUACCUAGAAAUUGGGGGGUUGGGGUGGAGAGGGACCCGUGCCACGACGGAUCUCUGUGUCUGUUUUAACUCAUGCCAAAUUAUAGAGAGUGUCAGGAAGACUUAAAUACUGAAGCCCCGUAAGCCGUUCAAUCCAGGGGGGAAGCUCUUUGAUAGAUGUUUUAUCCAAGAUAAGAUAUCUUAAUCCUUCCAUAUUUUCUUCAAUGCUUGGAAACACCUCAAAUUUUGUACAACCGGAAACAGAGAGACGGACAAGGGACUUGAGCUGACAAAUGCUGCUUGGAAGGCUCUUUAGUUCCUCGCAGUCGUUUAGCUUCAAAUAAGUCAAUCCCGUGAGAUUAUUAAUCGACCAUGGUAGUUCUUUAAUUUUUGAUCCGGAUAAAUUAAGAAAUUCUAACCCUUCAAUCACUUCUGUAAUCUCUGGAAACAUCUCAAGGCUCGAGCAACCAUAAAGAUCAAAGCUUUUGAGUGAUUUCAUACGAAUGCUGCUGGGAAGACUCUUAAGUUUCUUGCAGUAUAGUAGAUUCAAAUGACUCAACCCCGUAAGAUUAUUAAUUGAUGGGGGCAGUUCUUUAAUUUUUGAGCAGCGUAAAUCAAGCUUUUCUAACCCCUCAAUACCUUUUGACAUCGAUGGAAACAUCUCAAGACUGGAGCAGCCAUGAAGGUUCAAGGUUUUGAGACAUUUCAUACGAAUGCAGCCUGGAAGACUCUUAAGUUCCUUGCAAUCUUUUAGGUUGAAAUGACACAACCCCGUGAGAUUAUUAAUUGACAUGGGCAGUUCUUUAAUUUUUGACUCGGAUAAAUUAAGCUCUUCUAACUCCUCCAUACAUUUUGAAAUCUCUGGAAACAUCACAAGAUUGGAGCAGCCAUAAAGAUUAAAGGUUUUGAGAGAUCUCAUACGAAUUUUGCUGGGUAGACUCUCAAGUUCCUUGGAAAAUUCUAAGUUUAAAUGACUCAAUCCCGUGAGAUUAUUAAUUGACUCGGGCAGUACUUUAAUUUUUGACGCGGUUAAAUUAAGCUCUUCUAACUCCUCCAUACCUUCUGAAAUCUCUGGAAACAUCUCAAGAUUGGUGCAACCUCUUAGAUUAAAGGUUUUGAGAGAUUGCAUGCCAAUGUUGUUGGGUAGAAUCUUAAGUUCAUUGCACCAAUUCAGAUCUAAUAAAACAAGCUUUGUAAGAGUCAAAAUCGACCCGUGAACCUCAACUAAGCGUGUACAACUUUGAACAAUUAGCCUCUCAAGAUUUGGCACAUUUGUGAAGUCAGGGGUUAUCUCAAGGUUUUGACAAUGACUUAAAUUGAUGAAUUUCAACUUUUCCUGCGUCUGUUAAAACAUUCAGGAAAACAUGCAUUACUUAAUAAGACAUCUUACUCAAAGCCCAAACAUUUAAAAGAAACAAAUACAAGUAAAUGAUUGUACAUACCUGGGUUCCUUCCCAAAGUCGGUUAAUGAGACUACAUCGCAUGUCAAGUUCAACAAGAUUUUUGAAUUGAAAGUUGGAUGGCAAAGACUUGAGAGGGAAUUGAAACCAGGAGAGAUACCUCAAGUUAGGUAACUUAAAACGGAGCCCACUCAGGUGGUGUUUCCAGUAAUCACGUUUAAAAACGGAGCCCUCACUACUGAUCUUGAGAAGUCUUAGUUGAGUCAUACUAGCAAAAGCUUUAGCAUUUAAGCAUACCCGGUCUGAGUACGAGAAAUCCACGAUUAUGCUUUCAACUGUUUUCGUAGCCUGUGCAAAUCAAAGUAUUAGAAAAUACAAAGAACCUUAGUUUAGAUUAUGAAAUUAAUGCUUGUUUCUUAGGGAGCUGUUUGAUAAUCAUUUCGUUUUUAGUUUAAUUUUUUUUUCAAUUUUCAAUUAUUCAAACAAUGAAAACUAAAAAUUAAAAAUUGAAAACAAAAAUGGUUAUCAAAUGGCCUAAGAAAUUGAUUUUGGUCAAAAGUUGAAGCUUUCUACUAACAAUUGCAUAAGAAAAAGACUUCUCACCGUAUUUUGAGUUAGCAUUUGAUUAACAUCUUCAUAACUCCACAACCUACUUCGUUUCCCAGGCUCUUUGAUAGAUUCUUGACGGACGAUUUCCCGACCCAUUUCCUCUAAUGAAUCAUGCUUCUCCAGUUCCCCCUCCCCUGAGACAGUUAUGAGAGCAUGAUCGAUUAGAACUCUUAUUCCUAUAUGAGGAUGGAAACCACAAUCGUCCAUAAUUCGGGUUGCACAGUCUUUCUUCAUCCCUUUAAAGAAACAUGCAAUAUCUAGAAAGAUGUCUUUCACUGUGUCAUCUAGUCCAUCGAAGCUUGAUUUAAGCACAUCAUGAAUUCCCCUUUGCGGGAUUUUCCUUAUUUUUUCUAACUCAUCUUCCCACUCACGGAUAGUUUUUUUAAGAAGAAAAGCUCCCAAAACUUUGAGUGCUAAGGGCAGACCUUGAGCAUAUUUUACGACACGCUUAGAGAGAUCAUCAUAAUCUCUGGUGGGUUGGUUUUUUCGGAAGGCGUGCUGCCUAAAGAGUUUCAGAGCUCCAGAAUCACUCAAAGUCUUGGGAUUAUAUAUCACAUCAACUAUGCUUAGUAACUGUGAAUCUCUACUUGUUAUAAUAAUCCUACUUCCACCACCAAAGGAAUGUGGCUCUCCAAGUAAAGCAUCAAUUUGUUCUGAUUUGUCCACAUCAUCAACAACAAUAAGAACUUCUCUGACCAAGGCUUUUUAACAUCACCUGAAAACCUUUGUUCGAUAUGUCAGAGCUCCCCACCUUGUUGUCCGAGAUACUAGAUAGAAGUUGUGUCUGCAUAUGUAGUUCGCCGUGCUUCAUGAAACCCUCCUUGACAUUUUUAAGAAAGCAACAAGUUUCAAAUCGACUAGCGAUUUCAUCAUAAACAGCUCUAGCGAUGGUUGUUUUGCCUAAACCACCCAUACCCCAUAUUCCAACAACGCGAACAUUAUUCGUUUCAACUCCAGGAGGAUGUAAUAAUAAAUGCAUUUCAUGCAUAUGAGAAUCCAUGUCAACCAAGCCAUUCUCUUUCCUUGAUGAUGAUGAGAUGUCAAUCAAUUUCCGAUAAACAUAUUCUACAAUUUCCUCUACGAGCACCGCAUCACUCCUGUCAAAUUAAAAAAAAAAAAUAUAAUAACAACAAAAAAUAAUAAUUAAUAGGUCUUUUUCAUCUGUUAGUUUUAAAAAAACUAGAAAUUAAAACCAAAAUCUUGUUGUGGUCUAUUUUAUCUGACAGAGGGACUAGGGCCGGCGGCAGAGAGAGAGAGGAGAGAGAGGUGUGUUUGUAGAAUUGUAGGGGAAUGUGUGUGUUGUUAUCCCUCCUACAUUGUGCCUUUAUUUAUAGUAGUAAAGGGAGAGAAGAUAUUCCUUCUUCUCCAAGUAAUACAAGUUGUAAUAGGAAAGGAUAACUAGAAUCAAAUCUUAUCUAGGAUUUACACAAUCAUACUUAAACUAGGAAUGUUUACAACACUCCCCCUUGAGUGGGUAAAUACUCAAGGUAGAUUCAGCAUCAUGCAGAAGUUGAGGAAGUCGACUCGUCGGCAUUGAUUCCAAGGAACAACGCUUAUUCUCAAUAAGGUAGGAACUUGCAUAAGUAGUAAGUCUCACUAAAAAACCCUAAGGCUAUGGCAAAAACCCAAGUAGGGACAAAAUCCAUAGUCUAAGGAAAAAUGCGUGAGGAAUGCAAAGUCAAAAGAAACGUCUACAGGACAUCAUCAGGGAUAUGACCAGCCCAAGGUGGGUGCCUCGUUAAAACCUAGUUAGGUAGCAAAAACCCAGUGGGAAAAAUGCUCCUAAUCGUAGGGAAAAAGAGUACAUUAAGAUCAAGCAAGUAUCCAGAAGAAACUCCCCCUGAGUUUGACAUAAUUCCAAAGAGAAAUAGCAAAGUUACAACUCAGAAAGUUUUUACGCAUACCAAUUCCAUGAACAAGCUUCUAAAAACGUCGCCUUCGGUAGUGAUUUGGUGAAGAGGUCGGCCAGAUUGUCUUGUGAUCGGAUUUGCGUGACUUCAAUCUUCUGAUGCUCUUGUUGUUGAUGUGUAAAGAAGAACUUCGGCGCAAUAUGCUUGGUGUUGUCUCCUUUGAUGUAACCCUUCUUGAGCUGUUCGAUGCAAGCUGCGUUGUCUUCAAAAAUCGUCGUCGGGGCAUUAACGGCGGGAUGAAGAUCACAGGAGCUUCGAAUAUGGCCCACUACUGCUCUCAACCAAAAGCAUUCCCGAGUUGCUUCAUGUAAGGCGAGAAUUUCAGCAUGGUUAGACGAAGUGGCAACUAAGGUCUGUUUAGUUGACCUCCAAGAUAUUGCGGUGCCUCCAACGGUAAAGACAUAACCCGUUUGAAGAACGCGCCUUGUGCGGAUCAGAUAAGUAUCCAGUGUCGGCAUAACCAACAAGGCGAGAAUCAACCCGAUGAGCAUAGGGUGCGGCAUCACUCGAGGAUUCGUAGGGAUAAGAUAAAGCCCAAAUCCGUAGUACCCUUAAGGUAACGGAAGAUGUCUUUCACGCCAGUCCAAUGUCUGCGUGUUGGUGCAUUGCUGUAUCUUGCCAAAAGAUUAACAGCGAAGGAGAUGUCGGGUCUAGUGCAUUGAGCUAAGUACAAUAAAGCGCCUAUCGCACUUAGAUAAGGAACUUCAGGCUCCAAAAUCUCUUCAUCAUCCUCCUUCGGACGGAAGGGAUCUCGCUUUGCAUCUAGCGUACGAACGACCAUAGGAGUACUCGAAGGCUUCGCUUUAUCCUCAUUAAAACGGCGCAACACCUUCUGGGUGUAGUUCGAUUGAAGUACUAGGAUUCCAUCCGAACAAUGCUCUAUCUCGAGGCCGAGACAGUAUCGAGUCUUACCUAGAUCUUUCAUCUCAAAUUCCGACUUCAGGUGCGAAGCAGUUCUCGCGAGCUCUUCAGGAGUUCCGAUGAGAUUCAUGUCAUCGACAUAUACUGCAACAAUCGCAAAUCCGGAAUGUGACUUCUUAAUGAACACACAAGGGCAUAGUUCGUUAUUCACAUAUCCCUGACUAGUCAAAUACUCACUUAAACGGUUAUACCACAUUCUUCCGGAUUGUUUCAAACCGUAUAGUGAACGCCUCAGCCGAAUUGAGAGCGUGUUCCGAGGUUUGGAAAUAUUUGAACCAGUCAAUGUAAGUCCUUCGGGAACUUUCAUAUAAAUUUCCGUAUCAAGAUCCCCAUAGAGAUACGCGGUUACUACGUCCAUCAGCUGCAUAUCCAGUUUUUCGGAAACUACCAAACUGAUAAGGUAUCGAAAAGUAAUCACAUCCAUAACGGGUGAGUAAGUUUCGUCAUAGUCAAUCCCGGGGCGUUGUGAGAAACCUUGUGCUACAAGACGAGCUUUGUAACGCACAAUUUCGUUCUUCUCAUUACGCUUCCGAACGAAAACCCACUUGUAGCCAACGGGCUUCACAUGUGGAGGAGUAGGAACUACAGGUCCAAACACCUUACGUUUCGCAAGUGAAUCAAGUUCGACUUGGAUUGCUUGUUUCCAGUUUGACCAAUCAGCUCUACGUCGACAUUCAUCAACGGAACGCGGUUCAAUGUCAUCGCUCAACAUGAUCUCAGUAGCUACUGCAAAUGCUAAUGCAUCGUCGACAAUCAUCUCAUUUCUACGCCACACAUCAUCUAAGCUAGCAUAAUAGACCGAAAUCUCACGAUUCUCGGGAGGAGGAUUCGUCUCUUCAAGGACGCUUCCAUAAUCUAGAAUUUCCUCAUGAGUUGGGUAAAAUGAGUAAGCGAUAGUCGGAUUCACGGUAGGCUCUUCAGGACCUUGUGCCGUGGUUUUCCUCUUCCGGGGGUGUGAAUCCUUUGAACCAAGGGGUCUGCCACGCUUUUGUGUAGGGGCAGAUGAUUGGCUAGCCGCUAAUGUACGUGGAUCACCAGAAUUGGCGUCCCGGGCUUCCAGGAGGGUAGUCCGUCGUACAUUUGGUACAUCCAUCUUUGCAGGCGUUUUCGCAGCUGGAAUAUGUGAUCUUGUCACGCGCGCUAGAUCGGUGAAAGCAUCUGGCAUGCUCUGAGCUAUGCUCUGGAGAUCUAAUAUGCGCUGCACUUCAGCUUCAGACUGAGCGGUGCGGGGAUCUAAAUGAGACAAAGUGGGAGUCAUCCACGAUAAUUCGCGUCGUUCAUUAGGAACGUUGACGUUCUUAUCUCCCCCUAACGACGGGAAGACUGUCUCAUAGAAGUGACAAUCCGCGAAACGAGCGGUAAACAGAUCGCCUGUCAAAGGUUCUAAGUAACGAAUAAUCGAAGGAGAAUCAUAUCCGACAUAGAUUCCCAUCCUUCGCUGAGGCCCCAUUUUUGUACAUAAGGGCGGCGAGAUCGGCACAUAGACCGCACAACCAAAAACGCGCAGAUGAGAUAUGUCGGGUUCGCAUCCGGUGACCAACUGAAGGGCACUAAAUGGUUGUGUCGCAACAGGCCUCAGGCGGACCAACUUUGCUGCGUGCAAUAUUGCAUGGCCCCAAGCAGCGAUCGGGAGCUUGGUACGUAUGACCAACGAUCGAGCAAUCAUUUGUAAACGCUUAAUGAAAGCCUCUGCCAGGCCGUUCUGGGUGUGAACAUGGGGUACAGGAUGUUCAACUUCAACCCCAACCGACAUGCAAUAGUCAUCAAAAGUUUUAGAUGUGAAUUCUCCAGCAUUAUCCAAUCGAAUAGAUUUGAUCGGAUAAUCAGGGUGGUGAGCCCUGAGCUUGAUAACCUGAGCCAACAGUUUGGAGAAUGCAGCGUUCCUUGUGGACAACAAGCACACGUGUGACCAACGUGUAGAAGCGUCAACCAAAACCAUAAAAUAUCUAAAUGGUCCGCAGGGAGGUUGAAUCGGUCUACAAAUGUCCCCCUGAAUCCGUUGUAGAAAAAUGGGAGGAUUCGAACGAAUCUUGUCAUAAGAAGGCUUAGUAAUAAGCUUUCCCAUAGAACAUGUUUGACAUGCAAUUUCAUGGAUCGAACCUAAGCUUCGGGUUAGUGGAUGCCCGUGUGAAGUUUUGAGGAUACGGCGCAUCGCUAUUCGUCCAGGAUGUCCCAAACGAUCAUGCCAAAGUGUAAUUUCGUGCGCGGUCCCUGUGGUAGGGCCGGCCACAUAGUGGCAUUCUAUGGGGCGUAUGGUCGUAGUAUAUAGACCACUCGGGUUACGCGCCAUCUUCUCUAGAAUACGCUUCUGGCCAUAUUCGUAGGAAGUUACGCACAGAAAUUUAACUCCGUUUUCUACGUGGGUUUCAGCGUGGUAAUUGUUAUCUCUAAUGUCCUUGAAACUUAGUAACGUUCUUCCGGAACGUGGAGAAUAGAGUGCCUCAGCAAUGGUCAAGAUUGUACCAUUGGACAACAUUAUACGUGCCUUACCGUAUCCUUCGAUCAGGUUGGAUGGGCCUGAGGGGGUUGUCAGAGGUGCAUUCUUAGGUACGAAGUUAGUGAAAUAGAUGCGUUCACGCAAAACAGUAUGCGUGGUUGCACUAUCUGCCAGACAACUAACUUUCCCACUAUUCAUACCUAGAAUUAAUUUGAAUUGGUCACAUGCAUAAAAGUUUAUAAAACAAGUAUCAAUUCAAAAUAAUUUCAUUUAUUCAAGGAAAAAACUUAAUAUCCAAAAUAAAUCGCCAACUAAUAAUCCAAAACAUAAAGGAAAAUUGUUCAAAAUCAACCAAAAACAAGGUGGGGUUCGGCCACUAGGUGGAAUUCGGCCCCAAUUGUCUUAUUUUAACUGAAAAAUAAGUCUAUGUCUAAGAUUCUAAUCUUCCAUAGGAGUGGUAUCCUCCUGAAAAUCAGAAACCUCCAUCUUUGUAAUCUCCGGUUCGUCCACUUGCAGGAAGUUUGAUUCAAACUUCGUACAACGAGAAUGAUAUGCAUCCACAACCUUCUUGGGAGUACGGCAAAUACGGGACCAAUGGUCCUUGGAACCACAACGAUAGCACAUAUCGUCAUUCAUUGUGGCAGGUGCUUUGCCCUUAUUCUUGAAGUUCGGGGCCUUGGGAGUGAGGUUUGGGCGCUUCUGGGCUUUGUUUCCUCCCUUGGAUGGGCCUUGGCUCUGUUGACCUUGGUGGGAUGGCUUCUGGCCGCCCUUACCACGCCUCUUUUGGCGUUUUGGGUGCUGAUUAGUGCUAUAAUGUGCUUCAGGCACAGCAGUAGCCCCAGUAGGUCGAGCUUGAUGAUUUUUCAUCAACAGCUGGUUCUGCUUUUCAGCAAGAAGUAAAACAGAGAUCAAAUCAGAGAACUUAGUGAACUUCUGAGCUCUAUAUUGUUGCUGCAGGACAAUAUUAGAAGCAGAGAAGGUCGAGUAGGUCUUCUCCAGGAGAUCCUCUUCAGUCAAAGUUUCAUUGCAAAACUUGAGAAGUGAUCGGAUUCGACAAACUUCAGAAUUAUAUUCAUUCACAGACUUAAAGUCUUGGAAGCGCAAGUGCUGCCAGUCGUGUCUUGCUUCAGGCAAGAAUAUGUCCUUUUGGUGAUUGAAACGAUCAGCCAAAGCGACCCAUAAUGCACGUGGAUCCUCCUCAGCAAGGUACUCAGUUUGUAGAGCGUCAUGGAUAUGUCUUCGGAUGAAGAUCAUAGCAGUGGCUUUUUCAGCCUCGCCAACAGGUUUAUCUGUUACUUCUUCAAUAGCAGGACGCAAGUUCUUUGCAGUGAGGUGGAGCUUCACAUCUUGAACCCACUUGAGGUAGUUCCUUCCAGAAACCUCCAAAGCGGUGAAGUCGAGUUUGUUCAAAUUCGACAUGUUCCUAUCACAAAAUGGAUGAACAAGAUGUGGUUAGUGUAAUGGAGAAAAAUCAAUCCAUUCACAUAGGAGUAGAACAUACAGGUUCUAAUAGACAUGUAUUGGUUUAAUUUUGCAUGAAAAACUUCGGGUUUUCAUGGGUGAUAUAUUUAAGUGAAAACUUCGGGUUUUCAAACAAGGCAUGUGUAUAAGAAACUUUGGGUUUCAAAGUAAUUAUGAACUUCAGGUUCAUAUAUUCCUGCAGGCAAACACAAAUAUAUAUGCAAACAAAUAUGCAAAGAAUAUAUGUAGAAAUAUUGUAUAAUGAUAAGUGAAUUAAUUUAUUUUUGGUCUUCGGGGCCAAAUUAAAGUGUGGGUGAAAAUAUAAAAACCCAUAUUAUUUAAAAAAAAUUAAAUAAUAAAAUCUCGGGGCCUAAAAAUAUAGGCCAAGAACCCUCGGGUGGGAUUACAGGCCCACGGGGUGAGAAAAGGGGAAUGGGCUGCUGUGUGCAGCCCUAAAAUUUUUUUUUUCUCGGGCCGUUCCAGGCGAGCCCAUAAUUUUUUUUUUCUUUUCGGGCCGUUCCAGGCGAGCCCAGAAACUUUUUUUUUUUUUUUUUAAUUUAGAUGCAUAUAUAAUUCAAUGAAUCACAUAUUUACUUUGAUGCAUAUGCAAAUAAUAGUUUCAAUGCAUGUACAUAUGUAAGAUUCAAUUCAUGGCAAAUAUCAAAUUCACAUAAUUGUAGCAAUUUUGAUUAUGAAGCAUACACAAUUUAUGUAGAAUCUAAAAUACGUAAAACGUAAAGUUGGGUCAUGCAUCAUGGUGAAUGUUCAUGCUAUCAGGGCUUGCAAAAUAUCGAGUUAAAAGCCGUUGUUUGGAAAGAACCUGAUUGCGUGAUGAUAUGGAUGAACUGGUUUGAUGCAGAAAAAAUCUCCAACGUCAGAUUCCUAAGCGCAACGGUAGGAGCGUGCUGAUAACGUGUUGUGGUCUAUUUUAUCUGACAGAGGGACUAGGGCCGGCGGCAGAGAGAGAGAGGAGAGAGAGGUGUGUUUGUAGAAUUGUAGGGGAAUGUGUGUGUUGUUAUCCCUCCUACAUUGUGCCUUUAUUUAUAGUAGUAAAGGGAGAGAAGAUAUUCCUUCUUCUCCAAGUAAUACAAGUUGUAAUAGGAAAGGAUAACUAGAAUCAAAUCUUAUCUAGGAUUUACACAAUCAUACUUAAACUAGGAAUGUUUACAACAAAUCUAAAUAUUUGUCAAAUUAUCUAAAUAUAUAAAGAGAGAGCCCCAGUUUGGUGAAGCAUUCCAAAAUGCCAAGAAUAUCCCUAUGUUUCCUUCACAAUCAAAAUCCAAAAAAUCCAAAAAAAAGGAGGACAAACUGGUAAAAAACUUAUAACCGAACAUAAAAUUGUAUUGAAAGAAAAAACUAAAUUUUUACUAAAAAUUGAGAGCAAGAAAUACAAAAAAAAAAAACAAAAAAAAGGGAAAUUAAACCGAAUACUGGUAGAACAAGUCCACGUAAUUGAUAAUUGACGAAUGCAAUGUUGGUAACUGGUCUUGAUUUAAAAUAAAAAGUUGAAAACACAAAGAGACAGAUGCAGUAAAAAACACCAAUAAAAAACAAAAUAAAAAAAAAAAUAUUGGAAACUGAGGAAAGAAACGUGGGAGAGAGACUGCUGUUUUCAAACUGCAUUAAGUUUAAAGGCUCUCAUGUUAUUGCUAAUGGAAUAAAACAAAAAAGAAAAUAAAAAGAGACCUAAUACGUUUAGAAUAGAACUGCUAUUCGACAGUUGCAGGCUUGAAGUGUGUGAAGGAAACAGUUUUGAAGAACGAUAAACUCGAACGUUCAUGAAAAUAAAAGCGAACGUGGGAGAGGAACCAGUUUUGCGGGACAUGUAAAUAAAACACAAAAUAAAAUAACCUCAAGAGAAUAAAUUGAAAUUGUUGUGCCAGAGCCUGAAGGAGAAGAUCAAAUUGGCGAAAACCAACAAGAACUGGUAGUUCUGUAGUUCUCAAUUAUUAAAUUUGUGUGUUUUGUUCUCUAUCAAAAUGCUUCUUAUUCCUUAAUCUUCUCAUGCAUUUUCACAUGAUUAUUGAAAAUUCUGCACGUUAAUUGUAAUGGUUUGAUUGUGGUUUUUGUUCUCUGCAGGUUUUUCUUCCCUUAUCUUAUCAAAUAAAUCAAUUGAUAGGUUAGGCUUUCAUUUUUUUUUCUUCACAGGACUUUUAAGGACAUCCUCAAGUCAAAGUGAUGGAAUCAAAGUCUUCAGGUUUGGAUGCUUUUUUCCUUCUCUUUUUAGAGUAAUUUUCGAGUUUCUUCUCGCAUUUUUCGGGUUCCUUUCCCCAGUCCCCCAAAAUAACAAUAACAAAUUAGGCUUCUUCAUUUUUAGACUCUCUUGGGGUUGGCAGAUAAGGGGUUGCUUGCAUUUAAACCUCACCGUCCGGCUUCUUCUUUCUUAUGAAUUUUUAUCCCUUUCCUACGGCCAGUUCGUGAAGGCCGUUUUCAAAUUGAGGUUUUGUAUAUUCUGUCUCUUAAGAUUUGAUUCUUUCUAUUUUGGAUUAUUUUUUGUCUGAUUUCUCAAACAAUUUGGCUAAUGAAGAGUUUAUGGAUAUACAAUGGGACAAUAUUAUUUUCUCUCUGUUUUAUGUGUUUAUUUAGUUUUACUGUAGUUUUCAUCUAUGCCUUGAGUUUUGGCUUCUCUAUCUUUUUAUCUUUUGUAGCGUUCCAGGUAAAUGGUGAGAAUUAUUCAAGUAUGCGACAUCAUUUUAGUUUCAUGUGAAAAAUCUUCUCUUAUAAUUUUGUUUGAGUGAUUGAAUGUGCAUAUGUGAGCUCUAAGGUUUGGUUCCAUAUUUAUUGUUGAAGAAAAACAGGAAGUGAGGAACACAAUAACCCUACCACGAUUAUGUAUGAAAUAAAUUGGAUCUAUUAAAAACUCAUAUUUUGGGUGUGUUGUUAGGAAGAAAUGCCUAAACUCCGAAUUUGUAUGGAACAUACUCAUUAUAGAAUAGAUUAAUUGUAUGUGUUAUUGCUUUUAGUACUAAAAUUGACUUAUUUGCCCUCCUACAAGUCAUAGCUUUGCUAAUAAAUUGAGAACAAUGUCUGAUUUAGUUUUUUUUUUUUGUCGAAAUGUCUUAUUAGUUUAACUCUUUUCAUUUGAUAAUUCUCUUGCCCUUGGUUUGAGAUAUAAAGUAUUUCAUUUCAGUCAUCAAGUGUCACAGCCUGUCCCGAAAUAUUUUAUUGAUGUUGUGAAAUGACGAAACUGCCUUUGAGCGUUUUUUGACAUUUAAACUUUAGGGUUUGUUUUGGUAACCAUGGUUGUGUUUAGGGUUAGGUGGAAGUGUGAGGACACACACAUCACCCUUUCCCUUUCUUUCUCUUCUCUCCCGUGCACUCUCUCUCUCUCGGAAACACUCUCCCUCUCGGAAACACUCUCCCUCUCUUCCUUCUUUGUACGGACAACAUCAAAACCCUCUCAAACCUUGUAGAUCGAGGGUGUAAAGAACACCAUUGGGUUCGUGAGGAUCAUACAAGUCAAAAGGUACCAGUUUCAGGUAAGGAAACCUUCGAUUUCCCGUGAAAACCCUAACCCUCCGAUUUUGUCACUGUUUAUGCUCAUGUAAAACCUUGUGUUUUAGGGGAUUUUAAGCUCAUAGGGAGCUUUAGGAGGUCCUAAGGAAGAUCAGAGUGGUUUGUUGGAAGAAUUUGGACGUCGAAAUAGUGAGAUCGACGAGUUGCAGGGUUUGGCCUGAUUAUCGAGGUUUUUUUCCAGCGAGUUGGAGGUCGAGGCAUGUAUGGUUUUGUUCGUCUUUGUGAGAUCUUCAAAUUGGUUCAAAUUUCAUUGAAAAUGGUGCAAAAAUGAAGAAGUUAUAGGCAUUAGAAAUUUUUCCAUAAACCGGUGACUCACCGGAGAAGAAAGGAGUUGACGGAAUAUACUAACGGCGUCAUGUAUCUUUAACAGAUUCAGUUAGUUUUAACGGAAUAUUCCUGACGGCGUUAACUGACGCCGUCAGUGUGCCAAGCACAUGGGCGCACGUGGGGGCGCAUCUGGCCGUGCCUUGGCCACGUGGGUGAUCAGAAAAUUAUUCUAAAAAUAUGGGGAUGUUUCUGAGGUUGUGUAGAUCAUUUUGGUAUAUUCAAACACCCCGAUUGAGCAUUGUAUGAGAAGUUGUUACCAAGUUUUGUGUUUGUGCUUUAAAAGUAACGUUUAUAUAGUUGUUUCGCAUAUAGGUGAGACCUAUCCCGAGGACGAGCGAAGUCAGGGGCAACUCGGGGGUUACGACCCUUCCACAUACCAGUGAGUAUAUAUAUAUAUUGAAUAUUUUCCUAGAAAAGCGAUUUAAAUGUGUGAAAUCCCGUUUCUGGAUUUCAUUGUUAUCACCUACAUAUUUGUAUUAUUGAGAUUUUAUAUUAUUUCUCGAGAAUUUAUUUUAAUUUGUUUGAAUUUAAAUUUAAAUUAAAUUAGUUAUUAACGUUUGAAGUUUGAGGCAUUUUAGAAAUAAAUAGAAAAAUCUGAAAUUUUCUUAUGAAAUCUGGUGUGCCACAUGGGUGGCCCAGAUUCAAUGGAAAGGAAAAUGGAUGGUGGAGAUGCAAAGGAAAGGAUUUAAAAGAGAGUGGGCGCUGCCCAGUUAGGAGGGGGGAGAGAAAGAGGUGACCAAUUGGGCGAAGAGGAAAGGAGAGUAAGGAGAGAAGAAGAGGAAGAGGGAACCGGCCGGGGUUUACUAUGGCCCAUGACCCGACCCGGUUAUAUCUCCCAACUCCGGCCACCAUGGACGGCUAGGAUGGUGUCAAAAUGAUCCUUAGCUCGAGGCCAAUCGAUCUCUCUUCCAUUUCUACACUUAAAACGACGAGGGGGAGUCCAAUUUUGAGGAAAUACCACGGUGGGUGCGUCGGGCUUAUGUGGAAAUCCAUUAAAUCUUGAAACGUUUUCUUCCAAUUACAACCACCCAUAGCAUCCUCAUGAGGCCUAGAACAAAGCCCAGACAAGUUUGGGGGCGGCAGAGUUGUUUUCGAGUCGGAUCGAACACACCUAAAAACAAGGGUUCCGUACGGUUCGAGUGAAAUUGGGGAUUUUCCCGGCCAAAUUGGACUUGGCCACAGGUAUAAAAAUUGCUAUACUCAUUGAAAUCUUCAUUUCUGUAAAUUUUGAUAAUUUUUAAAAAUAGUUGAAUUUUUCCGGCAAGUCGGGGCGGCCGACGGCCACCCGUGGCGGCGAGUGCGGCGGUUUCCUGGCCAGUGGGCCGAAAAUAUCAUUUUAAGUUCAAUUAGAUGUCUUGAUUUCAUAAUUGAUAUCCUUAUGAUAUGGUUUGAUUGUUUGAACCUAAUUUCAUUACGAUACGUGGUUAGGUCAAAAUAUGAUUCGACGAUCCUACCGUUGGAUCGUCACCAAACCUUAAUGCGUGAUAGAACAUAAUAUUUUUGGAUCAUAGAAACUUACGGAUCGAGAAUCUGACGUACGGAUCUUCCCUAAUUGGAUUUCUAAGUUUGUAAAAUUAAAUGUCGACCGCCACUUGAAUUUUGAAAUUGGCGGAGAUCCAACUGUCGGAUCAUGUUGAGAUUUCAGUAUGUUGUUAUUUGAGCAUAAUGUGGACUUUGGAAAGUUUCGGAUCGGAAAUCCGAGGUGCGGAUCUUCCGAAUCAAAUUACAUAAGUUUGUGGACCCUACUGUUGAUCGAGAGUUGACUUUUGCUCAACAUGUCAUGAAACGUCCUAAUUACUAAAAUUAGUACUACAGGGGAACUAGGUGAAGUCUAGUGGGCAUGCAUUGAUUAGAGAGUGACUUGAAUAUAUGUGAUAUGAUUAUUACCUUAAUUUCCUAUUAGUAUCCUUUGUGAAGAUGAAUUGGUUUUAUAAAUGUGAUUUCUAUUGAAAUGUGAUUUUUAUAUAUUUAGCCAUAGGCCUAUGAUUAUUAAACAUGAUUUGGCUUGGUACUGAUGAUGGUUGUGACAUAUGUGAGUUAAAUUAUCUUUUUAGUAAUGUGAAUGAUGUGUAUGAUUAUUUUCAUGACAAUGUGAUCCUAGAAUCCUAUUAAAAGUAUGUUGUAGCACUUAUAUGCUUGGGUGCCAUAUUAGUGGUGACCUUGAGAAGUUGAUGGUGUAGGUGACUACGUUGUAACUCAUAGGGUUGAGAUGUGAUGUGGAUAAGUUGAGGUGUUGAAAUUACUACACCAUGUAGUAGUUGUACAUUGAUGGUCCUGCUUGGUAUAUCCGCAUUGGGGGACCAUACGCAUUCUAGGAGUGAUCAUGCUUGGUAUAUCUGCAUUGGGUGAUCACUACCUACCUGAUUAUCUUGACCCUGCUUGGUUAAUCCGCAUUGGGGGGUCACAAGUGGUCCUGCUUGGUUAACCCGCAUUGGGGGACCAUACUUUAUAUGGAUCGCGCUUGGUUAAACCGCGUUGGGCGAUCCUUAUGGCCAUGUAUGCUUAGGAGUGAUCAUGCUUGGUAUAUCCGUAUUGGGUGAUCACUGCCUAGGAUAUUAAACUAUGCAUACGGUUUUGCUUGGUAUAUCCGCGUUGGGGGACCAUAUGCAUUCUAAAAGUAAGGAGGAUUAGUUGUGUUGAUGCACAAAAUCAGCGAAGACUUUGGUACAACAGAAAGUGUCAGGUUUUGUGACCUUCGCUUGGUUGCUUCGGUCACUAGUGAGGAUAAAUACGUAAAUAAAUAGAGACAGAGAAGCAAACACAGGAUGUACGUGGUUCACCCAGAUUGGCUACGUCCACGGAGUAGAGGAGUUCUUAUUAGUAGUGAAGGGCUUACACAAGUACAAAGGAUCAAGCUCUCAAUUUAGUGAGUUCUUGUGAAUGAUUUACACAAAAUGGCAUUAGGCAAUAUUGUGGGGGAAUGACCCCUAUUUAUAGAAAAACUUGUAGCUUUGUCACAUUGACAUGUGUCAUGUUAUGAUUGGUUCUUGAUGUUGACACGUGCUGCGCUCUGAUUGGCUUCUAAUCCUGACACGUGUCGAGUAGUGAUUGGCCUCCUGGUCGGAGGGGAACUCUUCUGGGUCCUUGACAGUAUAGCGUUGGCUGGUACUCGGUAGUUUCGGGAUUGGUCAAGUAUGGUACAAACAGUGCUCCCCUAAGUUCCCGAGUGAGGGAAACUCCUCGGUUGGGGACUUGCAAGAUCCAAUCCCUUGAGUAAUCACGAAACUUCUAAGUACCGAAGUGUGGUCUGAUCUUCAUCUGCCCUUCUCUGGAAGUACCUUUCCUCCAUCCGGGAAUGGUGUAUUUAGCUGAUGUUGACGCACAAGCUAAUGUAUCAAUUUCACUUGAAGCUUAGUUGUAGUUUCGGGCUUAGUCAAGUGUGAUACAAACCCUAUAGUAGGAGUCCCCCAAGUCGCCGAGCUAGGAGAUCUGCCGAAAGAGGUGACAGACAAGGUAAGCAGUCAAACUUCCAAGUAAGCAACCCAGGAUCAGAGGUUUGACUUCGGCUUCCGGUUGAUUGUUCUCAUUCUCCUUGUCUCUCAUUCAACUGCCAGGAUAAGGAGAAGCAAAUGGAUAAGAGAUGAUAUGAGAUACUUUUGCUUUUGAAGAAGUAACUUUCCACAGGCUUAUUCUUGAACUGUGCUGGAGGGUUUUCUGGUGCCCUUCAGAGUAUAAGGCCAACUCAAAAAUUUGAGGGUCAAAACAAGUCCAUCAAAUCUAGAGUACGUUCGACCUUGAUGAUAUGGGAUACUUUUGCUGUUGACGGAAUAAUGAAUGUGGUAUGGAAAGGUGUCGUGCUGUAGUGAUCUGUUUCAGCUCACCGUUUGAACCUUCUGCUUCAAUCUUUUGCAUGGCAGAAGUGGUGUGCAACCUUUGCAUUUAAAUGGUCCUUCAGAACAUUCCUUCAUAGUGACUCAUCCACGCUUGGCAGCUUCAGUGUAAAGAGCCAAUAUCUGAUCAACUGUCAUGAGGUAUUUGCCGGUGGAAUUCGUGACCUUGACAGCAGUUGAGGAUGAGUACUCGAGAGCAAUGCUAAGUAAGCAACCAGGCAAAGGCUCCAGGCAGUCAGUUCCAAAUUGGAGGUUUGAUUUCAGGUUCCGACUGACUGCUCUCUUUCUCCUUGUCCUGCAGGUGUGGACAAGGACAAAGACAAAGACAGGGAGAAAGCAUGAUAUGGGAUACUCUUGCUUUCGAUCCUGAUGAUAUGAGAUACUCUUGUUCUUGGUGUGGCUUAUUUGCUGAGGUAUUAUCGGGGGGAAAUAAAGCUGAGUAUUUCGAGAGGUUAUGUUGAGGGUGCCUUUUCGAAUGCGAGAAAGGGUUGAGCAUUUUUGCAGGUUUGCCUGUCCGUUGAGGAGGGAGGUCAAUGUAUAUAGGGAUUUCCCAAUAACAAGUAGUAAUGCUAUUCCUUUACCCUUCUUGGUCACAGCAAUGUAGUGGGAGCUGCCAGCUUCACGUGUUUUAAUUUUGUCAGAGCACUUUGAAAAAAGUGGUAUGUGGUAUCUGGAAAGCUGAUGUUACGUGUGAAGAUUACAGACAAGCUUUAUCUAAGGAAAUCUGGCUCUCGAAGUUCUGAGAGUUGUGCCUCUUCGGUUUUCGAACAAGCAAUCCCGUCGAGGAUCUGACUCUCGAGAUUCGGAAAGCGGUGCUACUCCGGUUUUUUAGAAAGUAAUUAUGUUGGGAGUCUUUUCUUGAAUGUGAGUAAAGGUUGGACGUUCUUGCCAACCUGUCUUGCCGCAAAACACGGAGGUCGACACACAUAGGGACUUUCCAGUUGUCAAGCAGUGGUGCUGUUCCUUUACCCUUAUGGGUAAUAGUAGGGUAGCUGGAACUUCGAAAUUCUCGUGCCUAAACUUUGUCAGAGAUCUUUGACAAAGUUAUAUGUGGUACCCGAUGAGUUGAUGGUGCAUAUGGAGAGCGGUGAUUGAACAGUAAGAUUCACGUGCUUUCUACUUCACCAGAAAUCUUCGACAGAUUGCCCGUAAUUUCUGCAAAGCUGAGUGUGCAUGUGACAGGUGCUGACGAGGCUGAAAAAGCAGGUGCUUCUUUGAUUUCUGAGAUCGGCCCUCGUGGUCUCUGAGCAGCCCAGCUUUUGAGAAAGCAAACGCCUCUUCGAUUUCUGAAGCUCCGUCGAGUGCAGAUUUUUAUAGAGGCUGGCAUUAAGUUCCACAGCACACUUGAAUCUCUACCAGUAGAAGCUCAUUUCUUGCACUUCUAAGAUCUUGAUUUGUCUGACCUCUUCCCUCUUCAACACAUUUGAAAAUGUCUGGACCCUCCGACCGUCGUUUUGACUUGAACCUUGGAGAAGAGACAGCCACGCCUUCUCCAGACAACAUAUGGCGCCCAUCAUUCAUAUCCCCUACCGGUCCUCUUACCGUUGGGGAUUCUGUGAUGAAGAAUGAUAUGACCGCUGCAGUGGUGGCCAGGAACCUUCUCACUCCCAAAGAUAACAUACUACUUUCCAAACGGUCUGAUGAGUUGGCUGUUAAGGACUCUUUGGCCCUUAGUGUUCAGUGUGCAGGUUCUGUGUCUAAUAUGGCCCAACGCCUAUUUGCUAGAACCCGCCAAGUUGAAUCAUAUUGGCUGCUGAAGUGAUGAGUCUCAAACAGGAGAUUAGAGGGCUCAAGCAUGAGAAUAAGCAGUUGCACCGGCUCGCCCAUGACUAUGCUACAAACAUGAAGAGGAAGCUUGACCAGAUGAAGGAAUCUGAUGGUAAGGUUUUACUUGAUCAUCAGCGGUUUGUGGGUUUGUUCCAAAGGCAUUUAUUGCCUUCGUUCCUCUGGGGCUGUACCUGGUAAUGAAGCUUCAAAUGAUGAACCUCCAAUGCCUCCUCCUUCUGGGGUUUUGUCAAGUACUGAGGCUCCGGAUAACCACCCUCCGGUGCUUUCUCUUUCUGGGGCUCUACCGACUGCUGAGACUUCCCCUAAGCAACCUUUGUGAAGGCUCCCUUUUGUUUGUUUAUUUUGACUCAUGUAUAUGUACAUAUUUGUGGCUUAUCGAAAAUAUUAAUAAAAUAAGCUUUGCUUCAUUUCAACAUAUUGUGUUAAAUACACCAAAGCCUUCUUCAUAAAGUUCUUUGAAUUUUUGCUUUUGUUGAAACCUGUAUUGUUGAAGCUUUGUGAGUGAAGCAUGUAGUUUGAGGUAGUGUUCCCUUAAUUUCUCGAGUGAGGAAAACUUCUCGGUUGGAGACUUGAAAAAUCCAAGUCACUGAGUGGUUGUGAGACUGCCGAGUAUCAAGGUGCAGUAGCAUAUGGUGGGAGUCCCCCAAGUCUUCAGGCGAAGAGAGUUGCCGAAUGAGGUGUCUCGCGUGUUACUAAUUUGUCAAAGUAACGAAUUCUUGUUUCGAUGUCACACAUUCGUAUAUGCUUUAUCUAAAAAAUAUUUCCAACUUUUGUGUGUGUUUGAUGCUGCAUGCUAUUGACUAGACAAGAUCAAGUGCAAUUAGUAGCUUUCUCUCUUUUUCAUCUUUUCUUUGGUGGAAUUGCUUUUCGUUUCCACUAAUCAGCCUGAGUGGAUGCAAGAUAACACCUUUCUCUAUAGCUCAGAUUGCAAAGUCGUCUUCAUGAAAGUUUUUCCUUAUCUUGUGAACUACAAUAUAUCCAAAUUUGAGAUCCAUCGGAGUAGUACAACUUCAGAAAUUCAAGUAUGAUGAGUAACUGUUCAUCAAUGUUCUGUUAAUCCGUCAGACUUGUUGUGAGCUUCGAAACUCCAUUUUCUCUUGUUCAGAUCAACAUACUUUCUUUCUUCAUCGAAGUUGUUCCUCAGCUUGUGAACUACAACAUAUCCAAAUUUGAGAUCCCUCGGAGCAGUAUAACUCCAGAAAUCCAGGUAUGAUGAAUGACUGGUUAUUAUUUUUCUGUCAACCCGUCAGAUUUGUUGUGAGCUUCGAAACUCCAUUUUCUCUUGUUCAGAUCGGUAUGCUUUUCUUCAUUGAAGUUGUUCCUCAGCUCGUGAACUACAACAUAUCCAAAUUUGAGAUCCCUCGGAGCAGUAUAACUCCAGAAAUCCAGGUAUGAUGAAUGACUGGUUAUUAUUUUUCUGUCAACCCGUCAGAUUUGUUGUGAGCUUCGAAACUCCAUUUUCUAUUGUUCAGAUCGGCAUGCUUUCUUCAUUGAAGUUGUUCCUCAUCGUCUCUUUCAUAACAUAUCAAAAAUUCAGAAUGAACUAAUGGUUAAAUAUUUCCAGAUCUUUGAAACAUCACAGCAGCUUCGAAAUCUGCAAGAAUCCGACUGUCAUGUUUGGAACUUCAACACUUUAAUUUCCGUCGCUCAAACAGAAAUGGUUCCUUCUUGAAAGUUGUUCAUAUGCUCAAGAACUAUAGGGUGUCCAAAAUUCAGCUCCAUUGGAGAAGAGCAGAGGUUGCAGAAAUUUGAUAGAUGAAAGGAGGCGGAAGAGGGAGAGAGAGAAAAAGUCUCUUGGGUUGGAUUUCUAUUUUGGGGCAGAUUCCAAUUUUUGUAGCACCUUCAUUAUUGAUGAAUUGCUUGUACUUUUGUCCAUUAUGAAACUUGGGACUUUGGCUUGUUGUUGGAUCUAUUAUAAUAUGUUUGGGAACAUAUAUAAGUGAAUAAAUAAGAAGGAAAAUUUUGGGCCCUUGUGGGUGUAAAACAAAAAAUGUUUAUGUUUACCCAAGUGGUUUUGUGAACAAAAUUUGUUUAUUUGGAGCAAGGUUUUGUGUUGAAGCUUUGUAGGUGAAGCUUUGUAGAUGAAGCUUUCGAGGUGAAGCUUUGAUGGUGAAGCUUUGUAGAUGAAGCUUUCUGGGUGAAGCUUUGAUGGUGAAGCUUUGUAGAUGAAGCUUUCGAGGUGAAGCUUUGAUGGUGAAGCUUUGUAGAUGAAGCUUUCUGGGUGAAGCUUUGAUGGUGAAGCUUUGUAGAUGAAAGUAUGUAGAGGGAGCUUUCUAGGUGAAGAUUUUUUAGGUGAAGCUUUGUAGGUGAAGCUUUUUUAAGUGAAGCUUUUCGGGUGAAGUUUUUGUUGGGUGAAGCUUUGUGGGUGAAGCUUUUUAGGUGAAGCUUUGUGGGUGAAGCUUUGGAGGUGAAGCUUUUCGGGUGAAGCUUUUUGGAUGAAGCUUUUUUUUUUUUUUUUUUUUUUUUUUUUUUUUUUUUUGGCGCUUGACACGGUCUUCAUUUGCUUGUUUUGUAGUGACUGUGGAAGACGGAUUGCUUUCUGAAUUGAGAAGGGUUCCGGCAUCGCUUGCUAUGAAUGUAAAAGAGUGAGGGCUGAGUUGGCUAAAUUACCUCUUUAUUGAAUUCAUUGCCAAAUGGCCUUCAUUACAUAGGAUGCCGAACGGCUAUAGCUCAACACUUGUACAUCGUGAGUCUAUUUGUAGUAGUACUUCAAGUGAUCAGCGUUCCAUGGAUGGCCAAGGGUCUUGCCAUCGGAGCUUCUAAGUGUGUAAGAGCCAGGGCGACUGAUGCCAAUGACUUCAUACGGUCCAUCCCAGUUUGGACUAAGUGUGCCUUCACUCGGGACUCUGUCGCAGAGUAAUCUUUUCUUUUAAGACCCAGUCUCCUAUUUUGAAAGAACGAGGCUUGACCCUAGAGUCAUAAUAGUUGGAGAUGCGCUGCUUGUAGGCGACAUUCCUCAAGUGAGCUUGGUUUCUGUGUUCCUCGACUAAAUCCAAGUUGAGGGUGAGUUGUUUGUCAUUUUCACUUUGAAUGUAGUUCUGGACUCGGAAUGUUGCUUGCUCGAGCUCAACAGGGACAACCGCCUCUGUGCCAAAGGCAAGUGAGAAUGGAGUUUCUCCUGUUGAAGUCCGAUAUGAAGUGCGAUAUGACCAAAGAACUUGGGGUACAAAUUCUGGCCAACAGCCUUUAGCUUUGUCCAAGCUGGUUUUCAAAGUGCGCUUGAUUAUUUUGUUGAUGGCCUCAACUUGUCCAUUAGACUGGGGAUGAGCUGGAGAGGCAAAGCAUAAGUUGAUGUUGAACUUAGAGCAGAACAACCUGAACUUCUUGUUGUCAAACUGUCGCCCAUUGUCAGUGACUAUCGCAUUGGGAAUGCCGAAUCUACAAAGGAUGUUCUUCCACACGAAGUCUUCUAUCUUUGCCUCAGUAAUGGUUGCCAAGGGUUCUACUUCGGCCCACUUUGUGAAGUAGUCCACUGCAACGACUGCGUAACAGACUUUGCCCUUCCCUGCCGGCAUUGGGCCGAUCAAAUCAAGUCCCCACUGGGCGAAGGGCCAAGGGCUGAUCAUAGGAGUAAGAGGCUCUGGAGGGGAAUGAGGAAUAGUUGCAUAUCGUUGACAUUUGUCACAUGAGCGGGAUACUUUGAUGGCAUCCUGGUGGAGUGUUGGCCAGUAAUAUCCUUGGCGAAAAGUCUUGUGUGCUAGGGACCGAGAUCCAGCAUGAUCUCCACAGACUCCCUCAUGUAUUUCCCGAAGGACGAUUUCCGCCUCGGCAGGCGUAAGACACCUUAAGUAUGGCAGGCUAAAACCUCGCUUAUAGAGUUGAUCAUUGAUGAUCAGGUAGCGGGUAGACUUGUAUCGAAUUUGCUUAGCCUGGACUUUAUCAUUUGGGAGGGUGCCAUGAGCAAGGAAAUUAUAGAUCGGGGUGAUCCAACUAUCCCCCUGUUGUAAGUUGCAUACUUCUGCGGCCAUGGUGCUUGGUGUUGCCAACAGUUCGACAUGAAUUUUUCUUCCAAUCUUGUCUUCCACAGCUGAGGCGAGGCGAGCCAGGGCGUCUGCAUGACUGUUUGCCGCUCGAGGAACUUGGGUGAUCUGGUAGUGGAAGUGCUUGAGUAAAAGUUGUGUUUGCGCAAGAUAUGCUGCCAUGGAGCUGUCCUUAGCAUCAAAGUUGUUGGUAACCUGGUUGACCACUAAUUGGGAGUCACUGAAAAUAUCAAUUUGUUUAACCCCGAGGUGUUUGGCCAAACGUAAUCCUGCUAGAAGGGCUUCAUACUCGGCCUCAUUAUUUGAUGCCUUGAAUUUGAAACGAAGAGCAUACUCCAUUGCUACUUUGUCGGGUGUAGUCAAGACUAGUCCCGCUCCACAGCCCUGUUGGUUGGAUGAGCCAUCAACAUACAGACUCCAUGCUGGGGUUGUUGGUUCUAUCUUCUGAGCUUCCGGGGGUAAUGAAGCCACUGUUUCAGGUGUAGAAGCAAUGUCAACCGGAUAUGUGAAGUCGGCAAUGAAGUCUGCCACUGCUUGGCCCUUCUCAGCUGGCUUUGGUUGGUAGGAGAUGUCAAACUCACCCAACGCUAUUGCCCAUUUGAUCAUUCGCCCUGAAGUGUCAGGACUUUGGAGUAUCUGUCGAAGAGGAUAAUUGGUAAGCACGAUGAUGGAGUGCGCUUGGAAGUAAGGGCGGAGUUUUCGAGCAGACAUGACCAAUGCCAGAGCCAAUUUCUCAAUGUUAGAGUACCGUGUCUCCGCAUCUUGUAAGGCUUUGCUAGCGUAGUAGACAGGUCGCUCAAUAUUCCCAUCCUUUCGAAUGAGAACGGAACUUACGGCUGAAGCUGAUACCGAUAGGUAGAUAAUGAGAAUGUCUCCUACCUCGGGCUUGGUGAGUAGAGGGGCUUUACUCAUGUACUCCUUGAGGUUUUUGAAUGCCUCGGCACAUUCAUCAGUCCAUGUAAUGUACUUCCUACUUCCCUUAAGUGCUUUAAAAAAGGGAGCACAUUUGUCUGUGGCCUUAGAAAUGAACCUGGUUAAGGCUGCCACCUUGCCAGUAAGGCUCUGGAUGUCCUUUGAAGUUACCGGUUCCUUCAUGUCGAGGAUUGCUUUGAUCUUCUCGGGAUUAGCUUCAAUGCCUCGUUGGCUAAUCAUGAAACCUAAGAAUUUGCCAGAGCCUACGCCGAAGGCACAUUUGUUGGGGUUUAACCUCAUUCGAUACCUCUUCAAAAUAGUGAAAGUUUCAGAUAGGUUGGUGAUGUGUUGGUCAGCAUGUUUGCUCUUGACUAACAUAUCAUCAACGUAAACUUCCAUGCUCUUCCCAAUCUGCUCGGCGAACAUUGAGUUGACUAGUCUCUGAUAAGUCGCUCCUGCAUUCUUUAGGCCGAAAGGCAUGACUUUAUAGCAGUAUAGUCCUCUGUCGGUAGUGAAGGCUGUGUGUUCUUGAUCCGAAGGGUUCAUGAGGAUUUGGUUGUAUCCUGAGUAAGCAUCCAUGAAGCUCAGGAGUUCACACCCGGCCGUAGAGUCUAUAAGUCUGUCAAUAAGAGGAAGAGGGAAGCUAUCUUUCGGACACCCUUUGUUUAGGUCGGUGUAGUCAACACACAUUCUCCACAAGACCUUUUGAAGCGAAAGACUUUCUUUGGUCGGAUUUUUCCUAACAAGGACCACAUUUGCUACCCAUGUCGGGUAAUUGACUUCGCGGACAAAGCCUAUGCCUUUGAGUUUUUCAACUUCUGCUUUCAUUGCCUCGUAUCGUUCAGCGUCAUAAGAUCUUCGCUUCUGUCUCACCGGCUUGAUCUUGGGGUCAAUACUCAAACGAUGACAGAUGACAUCGGGAGAGAUGCCUGGCAUGUCCUCGUAUGACCAGGCGAAGACUUCAGUGUUCUCUUUCAAAAAAGAUAUCAAUGCUAACCGAAGGGGUGGUGACAAUGUGGUGCCAAUCUUCACCAUGUGAUCUGGAUAAUCUCUUGAGAUAGGUACCUUCUCCAACUCUUCAGCAGGUUGGGCUUGCUGGGUGAAAGAGUCAUCUCGAGGAUCAUCGGGUUGAUUGUUGCUAUCAGGAAGAUCCAAGUUCGCUUCAUCUAGGCUGGUCUUUGUGACUUGGUCAUGUACAGACAGGGUUUCCUUGGGUCCGGGCAAGUGUUGUUGCUUAACUGAAGUGUUGUAACAUGAUCGUGCACUAAGCUGAUCUCCUCUGAUGUAGCCGUUGCCAUGGGGGGUUGGAAAUUUCAUCAACAGCAUAUGCGUGGAUACCAUAGCCUUGAGAUCAUUGAUGCCUGUGCGCCCAAAGAUGACAUUGUAUGCCGUUGGGCAGUCAACCACUAGGAAGUUAGUGGUAAUGGUAGCCGUGUAAGGGCCUGUACCAAUAGUAAAGGGUAAAUGUAUGCUCCCUAAGGGUUGCACGAUAUCACCGGAGAAGCUUAUCAGAGGAGAAAUCGAGCGAUCGAGCAAGUGUUCAGCUACACUGAGUGCCCUGAAAGCUUCGGCAAACAUGAUAUUGACCGAAGCCCCUGUGUCUACGAGGAUUCGUCGAACAUCAAAGUUGGCUAUGUGAGCCUCCACGAUCAAUGGGUCGUUAUGAGGGUAGAUGAUGCCUCUUUCUUCCUCAGGGUAGAAACAUAUCGGAUCCCAGUUAGGCUUUUGAUACUUCCCUCCCCUGAUGUCUUCCACGUGAAACACUUGGUGACCAGGCCUCAGAAUUCGUUCACUGUUUUUCAUGGCCCUAUUGGAAGAUUCAGAUAUGGGUGUGCCGCCGCUUAUGGAAUAUAUGACAUUCACCUGGCGUUGGUUACGGUUAUCCCUUUGAGGGUGAAGGAGGAAUUGAUCAAUUUUUCCUUCUCGUGCCAAAGCUUCAAUACGAUCACGGAGGAUGAUACAUUUCUCGCUAUCAUGGCCGUUAUGCUCAUGGUAGCAACAAAACAUGCCCGCGUUAUUCGGGGGCGUGUAAUCUGGGUGCCUCGGCUUUGGCUUUGGUAUCAGGUGAGCUAUGCUGGGGUAAAUGGCCGCGCAUGUGGCAUUCAAGGGCGUGUAUGUCUCAUACCUUGGGGUAGGGGGUAUCUUGACGCGGGUUUGACCCACUGCAUUGACUGCCUGGGGGCGAGCGUUAUUGUGGCGAUACCCUUGGUUAUCGGGAUAGUGUCCCUUACUCUUUUUUACUGAAAUGAGAGUGGUGAGGAUGGAAAUCCUUCCUCUUGCCUUGAAAUUGAUAUGUCUGUUGAUUCGGCGAAGCAUUAUGCAAGGCAUGGGGAGGUGCCACUGCUGUUUGGAAAGUCGAGGUCUUCUCAUUUAGGUGAGUCUGGCUUCCACCUCCCACUUGUUGAUAAAGGAUGGUUGUAGGGGGUUUCUCCUGAUAUGUCUUUGCCUCGGCGGAGGCAUGGUUAUAAGCCUGCGCCAUCACCUCAGAGUAAGUCUUCCAAGUAUUGGCAUUGAUCAUGUAUUUAAAGAAACAAUCACGUAGGCCUGCCGUGAAGGCUUUGAGGGCAGUCUUGUCGUCUGCCUCGGCACACCGGGAGUAUUCAUGGCUGAAGCGGCCAGCAUACAUACGUAAUGACUCGUCUGGCUUCUGGCGGAUAGUGUACAGGUCAUCUGCAGAGUGCAAGCGAUCGGUUUGGAAAAUGUGUUGGGAAACAAAUAGUUUCCUCAAUUCCUCAAAUGAGUCUACCGUCUCAGGUGUAAGACGACAAUACCAAUUUAGAGCUCCGCCAGAGAGGGUGGAGGGGAAGAGAAGACAUCGCUCUUCGUCGGUGUGCAUCCGGUAUGCCAUGGUGGACUCAAAGAGGUUAAGGUGCUCAAUCGGGUCCUCUUUUCCAGUAUAAAGUUGCAAGCCAAGCUUUUUGCUUUGUCUUUGCUUGAAGGGGGGUGUUGAGGAUCCUCCUUGUAAGAGGGCCAGGCCUGGGUUGGUUCCAGUCAGGUAUUUCAGCCUGACGUUCAGCCUUCAACUUGUUUACUUCCUCAAGAAGUUGUAGGACAAGGGGGUCCUGAGCGGAGUUAUGUGCCACUGGAGCUUUCUUUCGUAAAUCUCCAUCUUCUCUUGGAAUUAGGAAGGUUUGAUCAAGGGCAUGUGAUUUUUCCCUGGACUCGCUGUACUGGCUUCCAGGGUAUGUCUGUCGGAACACCUCUGAGUCCCCUGUACCCUCAUGUCUCUCUAGGACUUGUUGCCCCUUCCCCAAAUUGGUGGCCGGCUUGGGCCGUGGCAGGGGACCGAGUCUCUCAGAAAUCCUUGGGUCAUUAAUCUUUGAGCUUAUAUGGAUGGAAUUCUCUCGACGUUGCUUCAGGAAAUCCCGACAAUAGCGAAAGACAGCUUUCGAUCCUUCUGCCCCUUCAGCAAAGAGGUGUCUCCCUCCACUUCUCAUGGUUCGGGUUGAAGCAACUGGGUUAAGAGAAGCCUCAUGUUGAUUAUCAAGUCGAGGGGUAAUCUGUUCCCUAUCAGGGAUAUCUAUGUCGAAUGCAUGUGACCCUCCAUGUUGGAGGGCACCCAGUUGAUGGUUGACUUCCACGGGGGCAACAAGCUCGCGUGUCUGAGCUUGCCUAGCUUCGUGGAGUGUCUCGAAGAGCUUCUCAUAUUGCUCCUGGAGGACCUCAUUCCUCAUUGCUAUCUUGUUGUUCUGAGCUUCCAACUCAUCGACUUUAGCUUGAAGAAGAACUCGUUUUCCUUCCUUCUUUCGUUGUUUCGCACUAUGUGCAAGGGGGGUGUCAUUCUGUGUGCUGUGGCUUCCUUCGCUUCCCAUGUUGGAGAGGGAUGCCUGGUCAAAAGAAAGUGUACGAAUGAUAGAAACCAGCUUGACACAGCUGAAGAGAGUAGGAAUAAGUGUCGUUUCCCACAGACGGCGCCAAAUGUUGAUUAUCAAAAUCAGCGAAGACUUUGGUACAACAGAAAGUGUCAGGUUUUGUGACCUUCGCUUGGUUGCUUCGGUCACUAGUGAGGAUAAAUACGUAAAUAAAUAGAGACAGAGAAGCAAACACAGGAUGUACGUGGUUCACCCAGAUUGGCUACGUCCACGGAGUAGAGGAGUUCUUAUUAGUAGUGAAGGGCUUACACAAGUACAAAGGAUCAAGCUCUCAAUUUAGUGAGUUCUUGUGAAUGAUUUAACACAAAAUGGCAUUAGGCAAUAUUGUGGGGGAAUGACCCCUAUUUAUAGAAAAACUUGUAGCUUUGUCACAUUGACAUGUGUCAUGUUAUGAUUGGUUCUUGAUGUUGACACGUGAUGCGCUCUGAUUGGCUUCUAAUCCUGACACGUGUCGAGUAGUGAUUGGCCUCCUGGUCGGAGGGGAACUCUUCUGGGUCCUUGACAGUAUAGCGUUGGCCGGUGCUCGGUAGUUUCGGGAUUGGUCAAGUAUGGUACAAACAAGUUGUACUUAGUACAUUUGAUGGGCAAUCAUAUUUUAGUUGGUUCCGUUGAGUGGUCCGGAAUCCUUUUUGGUGUCUUGGUUCCGUUGAGAGGUCCGGAACCCGAUGCUGAUGGAUUUCGUUGAGGGGUCCGAAAUUGCAUCAUUUGAUUCAUUUAAGACAGCUUCAGCAAUGUAGACUUAUGUCGAAUUGUGUCGCUCUAACCCGGCAUUCCGAUGAAUUGUAUGUGUUAUUGAUGAUAUGGUGAUUGGCAUUAUUGAUUGAUGUGAUAAUUGGAUGGUAAUGGAAUGCAUAUGUGAGGAUGAAUGACGUUAUGAGUAGAGAUUAUUAUUGUGCUUUGUUAAAUGUUCCUUAAGGUGCUACAUAAUUGAAUUGUGGUAUUAUGUUGAGACCUAGUGGUCUAUGUGACGAAUGUUCGAUAGUAGUGAAAUGUGAACUACGAAUGACUUGAUCCCUGUUGAGGGUACGUAGGUAGUCUAACGAGGAGGUUAGAUGCAGUCAUAAAAUACACAAAAAUUACAACGAAAUUCGAAUAUUGAAUUAUGCUUUGUAAAUAUUUCGGGCGGGAUAUGUGAGAUAUACGGGUUUUUAAUGACGUCACGUGCUGAUCUUGGACGUAUGUCGGGAUCAGGGCGUGACAAAAUGAGUUUUAUGAAAUGAAAUGGCAUGCCAAUUAUAUUUAUAUUAAGAAUGUGCAUAUGUGAUUAUAUAUGUUGUGAUUCGAUGCUAUGGGCGCUCAGGUAAGUUUCAAGUAAGUUUAUGUGUUGAGUUUAAGGUGUGGAAAAAUGAUGAUUGUUGAGAUGUGUUGAGAGCUCAUUAACCUGCACCCGGGUGUUAGUGCUCCUGCCCAUGGUUAGGGGCACAGUCUUUCACGUGAUGUUUACCUCCCGUAGCACACGCUCAUCUUGGAUCCAAGUUAGGUGCACAAUCCUGUUGUAUAGACCACUUUCAGUGGGUUCGACUCGUUGGUGACCUGCAAUCAUUCGCACAGUCUUCACGUGAUUGUAGCAUUAGAGCAUAUUUGUUUUACACCCAGUCAUGUCGUAUAGACCACUAUAGGUGGGUUCGACUCGUGUGCAGACAUGAUUUAUGAGAUAGAAUUCAGUUGAUUUGAUAUUCUCACAUGUUAUCACUCCUUGGGGUACUUACCUUGUUAUUUGAGAUGAUUGGCAUGGUAUAUUCACGUUUUGACUUUGGAUUUUGAUAUUGCUGGAUAUGUUGAGAUUACGAGUAUAUGUAUAUGCUAUUUGCUGGGAAAUUAUACAGGUUUUACAGAGAGGGGUUAUACUUUUGAGAAAUGAAAUGAUUUUGAAAAGUUUUGUUUUUUGCCCACUCACGCGUUUUGUUUUGCGCCCCUCUAGGUUUUAGGUAGCGUUGUUGGUGGCUUACGAGUUUUCAGCGGAGGUUCUGACAGACCAUCACUUAUGUAGAAUCACCUUUGGGUGUUGUUAUUUAGUACUUUUAUGCUUGACUGCACUUAGGCUAGUUAAGCUCUGAUUGUGUAUUCACACUUAAUUUCCACUCUUGCAUCUUAGUCUUGUCUAGUACUAUCAGGAUUUGGUUUCUAUUCAAUUGUAUUUCUCUAUAUUAAUCUUGCUUCCGCACUGUGCAUAUGGCUACGUCACCCUCACGUGACGGUUAGCAUGUCUCGAUCUUGGUCGGGGUGUGUCAUCAAGUCACCUUUUAACUUCUAUUAUGUUGAUUUUUGUCUGUAGGUACACAAAAAUAUGCAGAUUUGGCUUUCAAAUUGAGAGGCCUAAGGACAAUCUCUGUUCAUAGAAAAAAAAGUUGGACAUAGAAGGCAUGGGUAUGGGAACAUGAUUGGUUGUUAUAUUGCUUUGGGACGUUUUGAUAUUUUAGAGAUUAAUGAGUUUGUGGAGAUUUUGUUUUUCACAUCUUGCUUUGUAUUUGAACUUAAGCACUAUAACUGAACUUACUUUAAAAUUAUAGGACUUCAAAACGCGACCGCGGUUAGGAUUAGAAAGGGCCAAGUAUAUAUGUUGAGAAACUAGGCAUUGCAAGCAUAUAAAUUCCAAUUUUAUUAUUGCUAAACCAUAUAUCAAAUGUAGUUAGGAAUUAAAUUAAGUACAAACUACAUGGGGAUGGAGAAAGUUAUGUAUAGGUGAGAGCCUAAAAAUACUUGAGAAUCAAAUACUGCACAAAUUUGUGAUAAGUUAGAUGAGUAAAGAUCGCCUUUUGUCAAGCAGUUUUUGACUUUUCUGCAUUCUUUUAUAUAGUUUUUUCUUUUUUUCUUCCUAUUUUGUCAGAUUAGAUAGAUAGGGGCGCUAAUAAAAAAAAAGAAAGAAAGUAUUUUUGCAUUUUGCUGCACGUGAUGAUGUUGAUGAUAUACAAUAUUCAAUGACUAAACCCUAUUCCCUAUACUAUAGCAAAAAAUGAAGCAUAAUUAUACAAUAGCUACACACAAAACAUUGAAAGUAUACAUGCGUGCAGUAAGAAUGAAUGGUAAAAAUGCCAUGUUCCUUUUAACAUUGCGAAUUACCGAGCUUUAUGGAGGGAGUAUAAAUACGAAUGCUCUUGGUGGUCUUCAUCUAAUUUCUUAUUAGUAUCAUCUCGAUGUUUUGGAACUUUUGACAGCCCUCUCACCGAACAUAUAAUUUUUAGGGGCGCGCAGCGCUCGUAAUUAAAAAAACGCGCAUGCGGAGAGGCUGGUAUAUACUAAAGUCCUACGCCCAAAAAUGCUGUUCAUAAGAGCAGUGUAAAGACGCAAAUACCCCUCCUCAACUGAUCUUUUCCUUCCUAUAUUUCAUGAGGCUACAGUAAAAAGACGAAAAACCAUGUUGCACACGUGGCGUGCUAGCGAGAUUUCUCUCUUCCACCGCUUCCUUCCUCUGCAGUCUACACCUCUUGCGUUUUUGCCUUUCCUCUCCAGCUGUCGGCCAUCACAGAGUCUUAUGGCAUCUUCCCGUUCUUUUCGCUGUUUUUCCUUCGGUUGCUUUUCACUUCUUUUCCUCUAAUUUGACUUCGUUUGUUUUGUGUUAUGUGGUUUUUAUUGAUUUUCAAUGUGUAUUGAUUGAUACUAACAAUUACAAGAUGAAACUUAUAUAUAGGGAAAGAAAGAUGACAUAAGCCUAACUUGCCUAACUUGCCUAACUUACACAAAGAAAGUUGACUAGCCUAACUUCACUAGUCAUCCAAUACAAUUGUUCCAACAUGUUUAUUUCAUGCAUUUUAACACUCCCCCUCAAGUUGGAGUGUGGAUGUCAAUGAUACCCAACUUGCUAAGUAAGACCUCAAAUUGCGCCGAGCUUAGUGGUUUGGUGAACAAAUCUGCAGGUUGAUUCGAGGUUCGUAUGUAAGCUGUUUGCACCAUUCCCAUCUGAAUCUUCUCACGUACUAAGUGACAGUCGAUCUCUAUAUGCUUCGUUCGUUCAUGAAACACUGGGUUCGAAGCAAUGUGCAUGGCAUCUUGAUUAUCACAAAACAAUGUGACUGGUUGUGCAUGAUUCACUCGUAAGUCCUUCAAAAGGUUUCUUAGCCAUAUAACUUCACAACAGGUGAUAGCCAUAGAACGAUAUUCUGCCUCUGCACUAGAACGAGAUACUGUGCUUUGCUUCUUUGUUUUCCAAGAUAUCGGUGCUUGCCCAAGGAAGAUACAAUAACCGGUUAUUGACCUUCUAGUGUCUUUACACCGAGCCCAAUCAGCAUCACAAAAAGCUUGUAAUUGUAGUGAACCUGUAGAAGGCAAAAGAAUUCCCUGGCCAGGAGAUUGUUUGAUGUAUCUGAGAACCUUAUACACUGCAUCAAGGUGUGGUUGUCGCGGCUUGUCCAUGAAUUGGCUUAACAUAUUAACCACGUAAGUCAGGUCAGGCCUCAUGAUGGUUAAGUAAAUUAGCCUCCCUACGAGUCUCCUAUAUGAAGAAGGAUCAUGUAGGAGCGUCCCUUCAGUUUAUGUAAGGGACAAGUUUGGUUCCAUGGGCAAUCGUGAGGGCUUCGCACCAAGGAACCCAACAUCUUCUAGUAUCUCCAACGCAUAUUUGCGUUGGCACAAGGCAAUCCCUUGUUUAGAUCUUGCAACUUCUAUCCCCAAAAAAUAUUUGAUUUUUCCCAAAUCCUUUAGCUUAAAAUGUUGGGAAAUGAAGAGUUUAGUCUCUUCAAUUUCUCUCAAAUUGUUACCUGCAAGUAUUACGUCAUCAACAUACACAAGUAAUGCCAUGAAACUGCCUUGAUUGAUGAAAACCAGCAGUCUUGAGAGCACUAGACAGCUUAAUAAACCACUGUCUUGAGGCCUGUUUUAAACCAUAAAUGGAUUUGUGUAAUUUGCAUAGUUGUGUCUCCCCCUUUCGUCCGAACCCAGGAGGUAUAUAAACCUCAUCGUAUAAGUCACCAUGCAAAAAUGCGUUGUUUACAUCAAGUUGGUGAAGAUGCCAACCACAGAUGAAGGCAAUACUGAGGAGGACAUGGACGGUGGUGAGCUUGGCAACUGGAGCAAAUGUUUCCCGAUAAUCAAGCCCUUCAAUUUGACUAUAGCCUUUAGCAACGAGACGGGCUUUGUAGCGUUCAACACUGCCGUCAAGUUUAAGCUUCACCUUAUAGAUCCAUUUGCAGCCUAUGGGAUGUUUGUGAGGUGGUAAGGGCACAAGAGUCCAAGUGCGAUUGUCAUGGAGGGCAUCAAUCUCUUUUUGCAUGGCGUCACGCCAUUUUGGAUCCUGAACAGCCUGCGAAAAACUGGUGGGUUCUUUGAUAAUGGUGAGGGUGGUGAGAAAGGUUUUGUGAGGGGGGAUACAUGGUCAUAGGAUAAAUAACGAGAUAGGGAGUGAGAUGUACCUGAGGACUGAACCAUGCUUGUGGAAGAUGUGGGUGCAACACGGGAUGGGAGGGCCACCUCAACAUGAAAGUCUUGCAAAAAUAUGGAAGUUUUGGUUGGUCGAGUGCUAGGACGGAGUGCAGGGGUUGGAUCUGGUGAUGGAGUGGUUGGAGGUGGGGAAGAGUGUAGGGUAGGUGAAGGUGUUGAUAAGGUAUCUGGUGGUGGAGUUGUAGAGGGUAAAGGAGAUGAGGGUGGUGUGAUGUCGGCAAGUGUGGGAGAUGUGGUGUUUAUGUCUGCUGGUGCAAGGCUUGAAUGCGACUCAAUGGGAGAGGUCGAGUCAAACGGGAUAGGUGUAGUGUUUGAUGGAGACGGGGCAACGGAAGUGUUACAAUGUUGGAAUGGAAAAUGAUCUUCAAAAAAUACGACAUCCCUAGAAACAAAAGUCUUAUUGUGUUUUAUAUCAAACAAUUUAUAACCCUUUUGACCAUAAGGAUACCCAAGAAAAAUGCAUUGGAUUGCACGAGGGUCAAAUUUAGAGGGCCUUUGGGCAUGUGUAGAAGCAAAACACAAGCUACCGAAAACCUUCAAAUGAGAAUAGUUAGGUGCUUUGUGAAACAGUUUUUCGUAUGGUGUUUUACCUUGGAGAAGUGGAGUGGGUGUUCUAUUGAUGAGGUAGGCUGAGGUUAGGAUUGCAUCUCCCCAAAAACAUUUUGGCAGACAAGCUUGAAAGAGCAAAGCCCGAGCAACAUUGAGCAAGUGCCGGUGUUUACGUUCGGCAACACCAUUUUGUUGUGGUGUGUUGACUCAACUAGAUUGAUGUAUGAUGCCUUUGAGAGCAUAAAAUUGCUCAAGUUUAAACUCAGGGCCAUUGUCACUUCGUAUGAUUUGAACUCUGGUAUUGAAUUGAGUCUCAAUCAUUUGAAUGAAUUUGACUAAAAUGUCUUUUGUGUCAGAUUUAUGUUUCAUCAAAUGAACCCAAGUGCUUCUAGUGUAGUCAUCUACGAUGGUAAGGAAAUACUUGGCACCUGAAAUAGAAGCAACUUGAUAACCACCCUAAAUAUCAAUAUGCAAUAAUUCAAAACAUGAUUUGGUAGAAAUAGAGCUCAAAGGAAAGGGUGAUCGUGUUUGUUUGGCCAAUGGGCAAAUUGAACAUUUUUCCAAAUCACAAGCUUUAUUGUUAAAGAAAGGUAAUAACGAAGUGGCUUUAUGAGAUGGGUGUCCUAGGCGUUGGUGCCAAAGCUUUGGUGCGAUGGUUUGAAUAUUGUUGCAUGUUCUUUUCCUUGAUGAGUCGAGGUAGUAGAGUCCAUCCCUUUCAGUUCCCAUCCCAAUCAUCUUCCCCGAGCGAAGGUUCUGAAUGACACAAAAUUGGGUGAAGAAAAUUGUGACAUAUAAGGAAUCAUAGGCUAGUUUACUGAUGGAUAUUAAAUUUAAUUUAAAGAAUGGCACACAUAGGACAUUGUCAAGGAUAAGAUUAUGAGAGAAAACAACUUGUCCAAUGUGAGUGACUUUGGCAACGGAACCAUUUGGCAGUUCAACUGUAUGAUUUUCAACAGCUCGUGAGUGUGUAAAGAGACUAGGGUUGAAAGUUCUUCAUGACUAGAAGGAUUACCGACUUGAUUGGCAAAUGAUGAUUUGUUCUUGUUCAACAUUUGAAGGAUUUGCUUGCAAUCCUCCUGAGAGAACGGGAAAUUGGGCAACAUCUCUUGCUUGUUACUUUGUGAAACUUGAUUCCCUUUUGAAGAAAAAGGACGACUGCUUUCCGUUUCUGUGGCUGCUUUUCGUUUUCGACAGAAAUCGAAGGUGUGACCUUUCCAUCCACAAAAAGUGCACUUGAGAUGUGCACGACAGUUUUUGGUGAUGUGAUUUGUUCUAUUGCACUUUCCACAUCGCAUCUCUUUGUCUUCCGGUGUAGGUUCUUGCGACAAAUUCUUCACUCCAAAGACAACAGCCUCUGGUUGUGUACUCUUCCCAUUGGAAACCUCUGCCUGGCGUUCAUGUCGAAGGACCAACGCAUAUGCCUUGUUCACCGUAGGCUGUGGUUCAAGAAGAAGGGUAUUGCUUCGAACCGUAGCAUACGAUUCGUUCAAUCCCAUAAGGAACUUCAUGGUUUUCUGAGUUUCAACAUAUGAGUUCAUCUCAUUCUUUGUUCCACAACUGCAUGCUGGAAUGGAACACAAAGUAUCACGUUCAUCCCAUAAACUUUUAAGUUUAGUGCAGUAAGAACUUACACUCAUAUUGCUUUAGACGCAAUCAUGGAUCUCGUUCUUAACAUGGAACAGCUGAACUAUAUUCACAUGUGAGAACCUCUCCUGCAGAUCGGUCCACAUUUGUCGAGCAUCCUUGUAGUUGAUGACACUCCUUGAAAUCUCCUUUGACAUGGAGCCUAGUAGCCAUGUCUUGACCAAGUUGUUGCAGCGAUUCCAUUGUUGCAACUCCUCAGAAUUGUCCUCACUUGGUUUGUUGAUUGUCCCAUCAACAAAACCAAGUUUGUUCUUGACCGUUAAGGCCAUACUCAUGGAUUGAACCCAUGUGCUGUAGUUGUCUUCCACCAAUGGUUGUGGUACGAGGAUUGCACCAGGUUGGUCCGAGUGGUGGAGAUAGAGUGGGUGGUUGGGAUUUUCCCAUUUUGAAUGAGAAGCCAUGCCUGGAAUGGUUGACCUCAUGACUGCCUUAGAGCUUGUGUUUUGUGGUUUUCCCAGAUCACAGCUCUGAUACCAUAUUGAUUUUCAAUGUGUAUUGAUUGAUACUAACAAUUACAAGAUGAAACUUAUAUAUAGGGAAAGAAAGAGGACAUAAGCCUAACUUGCCUAACUUGCCUAACUUACACAAAGAAAGUUGACUAGCCUAACUUCACUAGUCAUCCAAUACAAUUGUUCCAAUACAAUUGUUCCAACAUGUUUAUUUCAUGCAUUUUAACAGUUUUGGUUUCGUUUGCUCUCUUUCCCUUCUUCUCUGUUGGUUUCUGUUGCUUCUCCAUCAGUUCACCCAAACCACCGCUUGCUUCUCCACCAGUUCACCCAAAUCCGACGAAGGGCGCCACAACAAACGUGCCAAUCUUCCUGCACCACCGGUCUCCGCAACGUUUUCCAAAACCCGCUUGACCGAAGGUAAGCGAAUUUGGUGUUCUGGAUUAUAUCGGAAUUGAAAUAGGUUUGGUUUCAUUAACUUUUUGGGUUAAUAAAUUUGUAUGCUCUGAUUCUUUUGAAUUUGAGUUUGGAUUGGAAUUUAAUUUUGAUUUACAAAUCUCUGAUAAAACCUCAACAAGAAACUUAAACCCUCAGCAAGAAACUUAAACCCAAUGCAUCAUCCUAUUAAUUCCAACAUCUCCUCAAUAAGUAUUCUAAGAUAUAAAUAUUACAAUUCUGGUGAUCAUAGAAAAAUGCAUAUUUGAGUGAUCAUGGAACACUGUUAGUAGCUACACAUAUCAUAAUAAUUUAGGAUAUGGACGUUAAAUUAUCUUAAACUGCAGAAUGUGGCUUUUACAUUGUUAUAUGGAAUUUCCCCUAGGAAGAAAUAGCAUUGAACUUAUAGGAUGGAUACAUAAAUAGCCUAUGUACGCAUUACAAAAUGAUUUAGUUGUUUGGGAUUAAACAAAGUUUGGUUUUUCAUGGUGAGUUCUCAACUGGGUUUUACUUAUUUUUUUGCCUCCGAUAUAAGUUUUAGAUGCUUUUCUUUGUUUUUCGCUAAUUUUUAAAUUUAUUUUUUUUACUAUUUAGUGUGAGAAAAUGGCUUCAAAAUUGGAUUUCCAAUGUCUGGGCAGAGGAAAACAGGAAGAGAACACCAAUGGUGGUUACGAAGGAGAAUCCCUUCUUUGCGGUGGAAAUUGACGGUCCAUGUGCAACAUUCAACCCAGUUUAUAAGAGCAGGGGUCAAUAUGAAGAACCAAUGACAUGGGGUUUUGUUUAAUUUUAUUAAGUUUUGUACUGAGGUAAAAUUCUCCCCAUUUAACAUAGUUUUAAAUGUUGAUUAGUAUAUGUGUAAAUAGGAUUGUGAGUAUGGUUGUAUAUGUAGUAGUAGAAUUGAAAACAUUGUUGUAAUUAUGUGUAAGUAGAGUUGUAAACCCGACGCAUCGCGCGGGCCUUUUUGCUUGUUACCCCUAAACGUUACAAAAAUCCCAAAAAUUAAAAGGAAACUAAAAAAAAUUAGAAUUUACCCAUAGUUUCGCGAAUCCCAGCCGGAUGAACUGGUGGCAGUUGUAAGAGCGGAUCUCCAGCUCCGAACCUCUUCUAUUUCAGCGUUAGAAUCAUGGUCGUGCUGAUCAAAAGCUUUCGCGAAACUUCCCUUUAGUUUACGACAUCAGACGGAUCAACUUCAUAGAAAAUGGGGAGUACAAUCUGUUUAUUGGUAUCCUCGCAUUCCAGGAUUUGCACGAGUUCUUUCAAGCACCAAGUGGAAGAAGCAUAGUUUUGAGAGAAAACUACAAUCGAAAUCCUUGACUCUCGAAUGGCUGACAGGAGCUUGGAAAGGCGGUCGCCUUUUCUGAGGUCUUCGGCAUCAAUGAAGGCGUUGAUUGGUUUCUGACGCAGGGCUUUGUAGAGAUGGCUGACGAAGCCCCUGCGAGUGUCUUCCCCUCUGAAAUUGAUGAACACAUCGUAUUUCCAACCAAGGCCAGAAGAAGAAGAAGAAGCAGCCAUUAAUCGAUCGAGCAGCUAAGUCCUAGAGUAAUGUAAGAACAGAAAUACUCGAUUGAUCAAUAAAUUGAAUCACAGAAAAAACUGGUCUGAUCGAUACGAAGUCAACGAGGACAGAAAAUUAUGCUUUAUGUGUUUUCACAUCUUCUUCCGGGAAAUUUAACGAAAAUAAUUUUCUUGCCGGCAAAAUUGACUUCAAAAUAUAAAAAUAUUCUUCCAGGUAUGGACAUAUGAAGUUUCAGUGUGAAACGAAUCUGCAUACUUUGGUUUGGUUUUGACCCAAGAAAAUGCUAAGAAAGGAUGGUUUAGCAGCUUUGCAUGAGGGGACUGGGUCAAAGUACUCUGUUGAAUCUGCCCUUGCCUACCCAACAACUUCUUUGUAAGUCGGAAAUAAAUCCCGAUCUUCCUAUUCACACGAAAAAUGAGUGGGGUGACAGGAAAUAUUUCUUGUUAAAUGUAAGCAUCUCACACAUGUGGUAUAUUCAAAGGUAUUGAGGCGACAAACGAGCGAUUAAUAGUUUGGCUUUUAAUUUGAUGUCACGGUAGUAACGGUACUUACUAUGAAAUCUUUGAUAUAUUUGCUUUUAGCUACAAAACAACUAAAACUCCACAAAUUGCUUAUGAAAAUAAAAAAUAUUGACAAGAUUUGAACUUGUAUUAUCUACAUCUUCACUACACAUUGUUGCUCCGCUCGUGUUCUGAAGUUGACAAUAGCUAGAAGGUCACAGCAAGAAGCAGAGGAGGCUAACUGUUACAGAAAAUUUGUUUAUUCAAAGCAUUAAUAAAAACACAUUGAAAUUAAUUCACGCAAAAAAUAAAUAAUACAGUGAAGGAUUUACAGUGGUGGCAGCCACACUUCAAAAAUAGGGCGUCUCACCCUGUGGAGAAAGCAUUUUUUGCUAUGAAUAAAAAUUCCACUGCGUAACAAAACAGGAGAUUAAUGAUUGAGUGAUAGCUGAGUUGUUUGCAAUGAGAGAGAUGUUUUUACUUUUAUUGAUAAGGAGUCUACAUAUGCGAUGUUCUCAUAGUAUAAAACUUCGCCGACAACAAUUAUAACUUGUUUGUGUUGAUAAAUUUUGAAUGACAUUAAUAUUGUCUAAUAUCUAAAAGAAUUUGGAUGGCUACAUUUUUUUUUUUUGGAAAACCUUUUAACCUUAUAAAUUGCGGGCUUCUUCCGACAAUUCCUAACUUCGUCACUGCUUCAGUCAACUCGAAGUCCUAGUGGUUCUUGUCCAUGAUAUCAAUAUCCCUACAAUAAACGGUGACUUCAAUAUGAGCUACACUCAGUCUAACAAAAAGUUUGUAUAGAGAAGAUAUGCAUGAAAAAAUGGCAAUGGUUGUGUUUGUGUUGCUGAACGAAUGAUACUGAAAUACCUAAACCCAAGUCAAGCUCCUUUAGUCCACGAAAACAAAAGUUUAGAAUACAAUAAUGUUUGCAUAUAGACUAGAGAAACGACAUACCGCAGGCCAGGAAGGUGCAGUGAAAGAGAGAGGAAGAGAGGAAAAGAGGAAAGAAACAAACAUGAAAUGACAAAGACUAUCAAAUAGAUUAUAACAAUGACUUCUUAGCGAUGGUUACAACUAUUUAACUAUCGAUAAUGCAUUAUUUUAGUUUGAAACGUGGAAGCAUUUGAGAAGUAGCAUGUCAACAACCAUUACACAAUAAUAUUGUCUAAUAUCUAAAAGAAUUUGGAAGUCUACAUUUUUUGGAACCUUUUACCCUUAUAAAUUUUGCGCCUCUCCUGACAAUUUCUAGUUUCGUCGUUGCUUCAGUCAACUCCAAGUUCUAGUGGUUCUUGUCUAUGAUAUCAAUAGCCCCACCGUAAAUGGUGACUUCAGUAUAAGCUACACUUAGUAUAAGUGUAUGGGGGACAUAUAUGUAUGAAAAAAUGGCAGUGGUUGUAUCUGUGUUGACUAACGGAUGGUACUGGAAUACCUAAACCCAAGUCAAGCUCCUUCAGUCCACAAAAAUCAAAAGUUUAUAAUAUAAUAAUGUUUGCAUAUAGACUUGAGAAAAGACAUACCGCCAGCCGGGAAGGUGCAAUGAACAAGAGAGGAAAAGAGGAAAUAAACGAACAAGAAAGGACAAAGACUAUCCAAUAGAUUAUAACAAUGACUUCUUAGUAGUGAAGUGAUUAAGCUAUUCCACUAUUAAUAAUGCAUUAUUCUUAGAUUGAAAUGGUUCAGAAAUUUAAAAGCCAGAAUUGACUUAUAUAAAAUCAAUUUUUAAUUGGGUAGAUGUAAUUUGUAAAACAAAAAUGUUUAUAAAAAAAAAUUUCUCUUGAAAAUGUAUUCUGGUGCCAGGAUUUAAACCUGGAUGAAAACUCUUAACCGUAAGACUUUUUGUAGUGAGCAACACUGGACUAGUUGAUAGACUAUGAUGAAAUAAACCAUUUAAAUGUACUCCUUACGUUAUGCAGUGCGCAUACUGGAUAAACAAUUAGUGCACAUAAUGUGGUUAUCUGAUUUGUGGGGAAUGGUGAUGCUCACCGCUGACUUUUGGUUUACUGACAGGCUCUCAAAGUUAAAUAUAUCAGAUUUUGUUUGACAUUCGUAACAUAUUUUAAUAUUUUCACCACAACAACAACAACAACAACAAAGUCUUUUCCCACUAAGUGGGGUCGGCUAUAUGAAUCCUAGAACGCCAUUGCGCUCGGUUUUGUGUCAUGUCCUCUGUUAGAUCCAAGUACUCUAAGUCUUUUCUUAGAGUCUCUUCUAAAGUUUUCCUAGGUCUUCCUCUACUCCUUCGGCCUUGAACCUCUGUCUCGUAGUCACAUCUUCGAACCGGAGCGUCAAUAGGCCUUCUUUGCACAUGUCCAAAUCACCGGAACCGAUUUUCUCUCAUCUUUCCUUCAAUUUCGGCUACUCCUACUUUACCUCGGAUAUCCUCAUUCCCAAUCUUAUCCUUUCUCGUGUGCCCACACAUCCCACGAAGCAUCCUCAUCUCCACUACACCCAUUUUGUGUACGUGUUGAUGUUUCACCGCCCAACAUUCUGUGCCAUACAACAUCGCUGGCCUUAUUGUCGUCCUAUAAAAUUUUCCCUUGAGCUUCAGUGGCUUACGACGGUCACACAACACGCCGGAUGCACUCUUACACUUCAUCCAUCCAGCUUGUAUUCUAUGGUUGAGAUCUCCAUCUAAUUCUCCGUUCUCUUGCAAGAUAGAUCCUAGGUAGCGAAAACGGUCGCUUUUUGUGAUCUUCGCUAGAUUACUCCGGUCAUUAGCGUGGAUAAGUAUAUAAAUGGAUAGAGAUAGGAAAGCAAACACAAGAUGUACGUGGUUCACCCAGAUUGGCUACAUCCACGGAAUAGAGGAGUUCUCAUUAAUUGUGAAGGGUUUACACAAGUACAUAGGUUCAAGCUCUCCUUUAGUGAGUACAAGUGAAUGAUUUAGUACAAAUGACAUUAUGAAAUAUUGUGGGAGAAUGAUCUCGUAAUCAUGAAACUUCUAAGUAUCGGAGUGUGGUAUCGUCUUGACUUGCCUUAUCUGUCUCAUAGGUAGAUGUGGCAUCUUCUCUGGAAGUACUCUUCCUCCAUCCAUGGGUGGUAUCUUUAACUGGUGGAGAUGCAUAAGGUAAUGUAUCAAUUUCACUUGAAGCUUACUUGUAGUUUCAGGCUUGGUCAAGCGCGAUACAAACCAUGUAGUAGGAGUCCCCCAAGUCGCCGAGCUAGGGGAUUUGCUGAAAGAGGUGACAGACAAGGUAAGCAAUCAGAGCUCCGGCUGAUUGUUCACAUUCUCCCUAUCUUGCAGGCAGCAUGAAGGAUAAAGAGAAGAAAAAAUGAGAAGAGAUGAUAUGGGAUACUUUUGCUUUUGAAGAAGUAACUUUCCACAGGCUUAUUCUUGAACUGAAGCUGGAGGGUUUUCUGGUUUCCUCCAGAGUAUAAGGCCGACUGAAGAAUUUGAGGGUCAAAACAAGUCCAUCAAAUCUAGAGUACGUUCGACCCUGCUGAUAUGGGAUACUUUUGCUUUUGACAGAGUAAUGGAUGUAUCGGCACGUGUGCUGUUACGCUUGUCUCUCCACAUGCUUCCUUGUAUCCUUCUCACUUGCCCUAUCUGUUCCUCAAGGCAAGAUGCGGUAUCUUCCCUGGAAGCAUAAGAUGUUGAAGAUGAGUACUCGAGAGCAAUGCCAGGUAAGUAAUCAGGUAAGGGGUUCCAGGCAGUCAGUUCCUAGCUGGAAGCUUGAUUCCAAGUGCUGACUGAUUGCUCUCUUUCUCCUUGUCUUGCAGGUAAAGAACAAGGCCAAAGGAAAAGACAGGGAAAAAGCAUGAUAUGGGAUAUACUCUUGCUUUUUAACCCUGAUGAUAUGAGAUAUUCUUGCUCUAGUAUAGCUUGUUUGUAGAGGUAUUAUCGGGGGGAAAGAAAGCUGAAUAUUUCGAAAGGCUUCGUUGGGAGUGCCCUCUCAGAUAUGAGAAAGGGUUGAGCAUUUUUGCAGGUCUGCCUGUCCGUUGGGGAUGGAGGUCGACAUAUAUAGGAGUCUCCCUAAUAACAAGUAGUAAUGUUAUUCCUUUACCCUGCUUGGUCAUAGCACGAUAGUUGGAGCUGCCAGCUUCACAUGUUUUAACUCUGUCAGAGCACUUUGAAAAAGUGGUCUGUGGUAUCUGGAAAGCUGAUGUUGCGUGUGAAGAUUACAGACAAGCUUUACCCAAGGAGAUUUGGUUCUUGAAGUUGGGAAAAUGGUGCCUUUUCGGUUUUCGAACAAGCAAUCCUAUCGGGGAUCUGGCUCUCGAGAUUUGGAGAACGAUGCCUCUUCGAUUUUUGAGAAAGCAAUCAUGCUGGGGGUCUAGCUCUCGAGAUUCGGAGAGCGGUGUCUCUUCGAUUUUUGAGAAAGUAAUCAUGUUGGGAGUCUGGCUCUCGAGAUUCGGAGGACGGUGCCUCUUCGAUUUUGGAGCAAGCAAUCUUGUUGAGAAUGUUUUCUCGAAUGUGAGUAAAGGUUGGGCAUGUUUGCUAGUCUACCUUGCCACGAAGCACAGAGGUUGACACACAGGGACUUUCCAAUUAUCCAGCAAUGGUACUGUUCCUUUACCCUCUUUUCGAUUUUUGAGAAAGUAGGCAUGUUGGGAGUCUGGCUCUCGAGAUUCGGAGGACGGUGCCUCUUCGAUUUUGGAGCAAGCAAUCUUGUAAUCUUGUUGGGAGUGUUUUCUCGAAUGUGAGUAAAGGUUGGGCAUGUUUGCUAGUCUACCUUGCCACGAAGCACAGAGGUUGACACACAGGGACUUUCCAAUUAUCCAGCAGUGGUACUGUUCCUUUACCCUCGUGGGUAAUAAUAUGGUAGCUAGACCUUCAAAAUUUAUGUGUCUAAACUUUGUUAGUGUUGUUUCUUUGCUAUUCUUUUACCCUUCUUGGUCAGAGCGAUGUAGUGGGAGCUGCAAGCUUCACGUGCUCAACUUUGGCAGAGAACUUUGGUAAAGUUAUCUGUGGUACCCAUGAGCUACUGUUGCGUGUGGGAAGUGGGUGAUUGAACAGUAAGAUUCAUGUGCCUUCUACUUCACCAGAAGUCUUCGACAUAAUGCCCAUAAUUUCCGCAAAGCUGAGUGUGCGUGUGACAGGUGCUGACAAGGCUGGAAAAGUAGGUGCCUCUUUGAUUUCUGAGAUCGACCCUCAUGGUCUCUGAGCAGCCCAGCUUUUGAGAAAGCAAGCGCCUCUUCGAUUUCUGAGAUCGGCCUUCGUGGUCUUUGAGCAACCCAGCUUUUGAGAAAGCAAACGCCUCUUCGGUUUCUGAGAUCAACCCUCGUGGUCUCUGAGAGUAAAGGUUGGGCAUGUUUGCUAGUCUACCUUGCCAUGAAGCACAUAGGUUGACACAUUCGGAGAGCGGUGUCUCUUCGAUUUUUGAGAAAGUAGUCAUGUUGGGAGUCUGGCUCUCGAGAUUCGGAGGACGGUGCCUCUUCGAUUUUGGAGCAAGCAAUCUUAUUGGGAGUGUUUUCUCAAAUGUGAGUAAAGGUUGGGCAUGUUUGCUAGUCUACCUUGCCACGAAGCACAGAGGUUGACACACAGGGACUUUCCAAUUAUCCAGCAGUGGUACUGUUCCUUUACCCUUAUGGGUAAUAAUAUGGUAGCUAGACCUUCAAAAUUUAUGUGUCUAAACUUUGUUAGUACUAUUUCUUUGCUAUUCUUUUACCCUUCUUGGUCAGAGCGAUGUAGUGGGAGCUGCAAGCUUCACGUGCUCAACUUUGGCAGAGAACUUUGGCAAAGUUAUCUGUGGUACCCAUGAGCUACUGUUGCGUGUGGGAAAUGGGUGAUUGAACAGUAAGAUUCAUGUGCUUUCUACUUCACCAGAAGUCUUCGACAGAAUGCCCAUAAUUUUCGCAAAGCUGAGUGUGCAUGUGACAGGUGCUGACAAGGUUGGAAAGGUAGGUGCCUCUUCGAUUUCUGAGAUCGGCCCUCGUGGUCUCUGAGCAGCCCAGCUUUUGAGAAAGCAAGCGCCUCUUCGAUUUCUGAGAUCAGCCUUCGUGGUCUUUGAGCAGCCCAGCUUUUGAAAAAGCAAACGCCUCUUCGAUUUCUGAGAUCAACCCUCGUGGUCUCUGAGCAGCCCAGCUUUUGAGAAAGCAAACGCCUCUUCGAUUUUUGAAGCUCCGUCGAGUGUAUAUUUUUAUAGGGGCUGGCAUUAAGUUCCAAAGCACACUUGAAUCUCCACCAGUAGAAGCUCCAUUCUUGUACUUCUAAGAUCUUGAUUUGUCCGACUUCUUCUCUCUUCAACACCUUUGAAAAUGUCUGGCCCCUCCGACCGUCGUUUUGACUUGAACCUUGUUGAAGAUGCAGCCCCGCCUUCUCAAGACAACAUAUGGCGCCCAUCCUUCGUCUCCCCUACUGGUCCUCUUACCGUUGGGGAUUCCGUGAUGAAGAAUGAUAUGACCGUUGCGGUGGUGGCCAGGAACCUUCUCACUCCCAAAGAUAACAGACUACUUUCCAAACGGUCUGAUGAGUUAGCUGUUAAGGAUUCUCUGGCUCUCAGUGUUCAGUAUGCAAGUUCUGUGUCUAAUAUGGCCCAACACCUAUUUGCUCGAACCCGUCAAGUUGAAUCAUUGGCGGCUGAAGUGAUGAGUCUCAAACAGGAGAUUAGAGGGCUCAAGCAUGAGAAUAAACAGUUGCACCGGCUCGCACAUGACUAUGCUACAAACAUGAAGAUGAAGCUUGACCAGAUGAAGGAAUCUGAUGGUCAGGUUUUACUUGAUCAUCAGAGAUUUGUGGGUUUGUUCCAAAGGCAUUUAUUGCCUUCGUCUUCUGGGGCUGUAUCGCGUAAUGAAGCUCUAAAUGAUCAACCUCUGAUGCCUCCUCCUUCUAGGGUUCUGUCCAGUACUGAGGCUCCGAAUGAUCCCCCUCCGGUGCCUUCUCUUUCUGGGGCUCUACCGACUGCUGAGACUUCUCCUAAGCAACCUUUGUGAAGGCUCCCUCUUGUUUGUUUAUUUUGACUCAUGUAUAUGUAUGUGUAGCUUAUCGGGGAUAUCAAUAAAUAAGCUUUCCUUCAUUUCAACAUAUUGUGUUAAAUACACCAAAGCCUUCUUCGCUAAGUUCUUUGAAUUUUCUUUUGUUGAAGCUUGUAUGUUGAAACUUUGUGAGUGGAUCAUGUAGGUUAAGGUAGUGUUCCCUUAUUUUCAUCAAUAUUGAUAUUUUAAACAAUGACAAUUCUUAGAAUACUGGAAUUCAUGUCAUUUUCAUAAACAAAUAAAUGGUUAAGAAAUGUAUAUAUUAGAAAAUUAAGAGCCAGAUUUAACUAAUAUUAAAUCGAUUUUAAAUCGGGUAGUAAAACAAAAUUAGGAAUCUGUGUCCUUUUCAUAAAUAAAUAAAUGGUUACAAAAUUUAUAUAUCAUAAAUUUAAAAGCCAGAAUUGACUUAUAUAAAAUCGAUUUUUAAUUGGGUAGAUGUAAUUUGUAAAACAAAAAUGUUUAAAAAACAAUUCUCUUAAAAAUGGUAUUCUGGUGCCAGGAUUCGAACCUGGAUGAAAACUCUUAACCGUAAGACUUUUUGUAGUGAGCAACAUCAGAUGAGUUGAUAGAUUAUGUAACGCCCCGCGCCCGAAAUAUUUAUUUUCAUAAAAUAAUUCCAAUGAUAAGCCUAAAUUAAAUUUUUUAUUUACAUUACAACCAAUAAUCACGAUUCCUUAUUUAAUUUUCUUAAUCCCUCACAAAAACUAUAACCCAUAAUUAACUUACCAAAACAUACGAUUAAAUUUUCAUAAUUUGUCACCAACUUCUACUCUUAAAACAACUUCCCAACUAAAGAUUAAAUCUCAAUUAUUAAGGCUACAUCUAACUCUUGUUAGACUGCCUACAUACCCUUUAGCGGGAUCAAGGCUUUCGUAGUUCAUAAAUCCGUUUAAAUCCAUUCUUAUAGCCGUUUCUGAAAAUAUUCUAGAAUUGGAAAUAUUCAACAUUAGCUUUCACAAUCGAAUCACAUCAAAUGAUUACCAAUUAUGGAUUUAAAUUGUCUAAAUUAGUAUUAAAAGGCAGCGUCGGCCCACUGGCCACGCGCCACCACGGGUGGCGAUCUCCAGUGAUCGGAAACCCCAAUUUCCGACAAACUCUACAAAUUACCAAAUUUUAUAGGGUUGUAGAGUUCAAUUAUAGGAACAACUUUCAUACUUGGGACGAAGUCCAAUUCGGCCAAGAAAAGCCCCAAUUUCACUCAAUUCCGUCUGAACCCUAGAAUUUGGGUGUCCUCAAUUAGUCAUCUCCCGUGCCCCGCCGCCCCAAACAAGGCUUGGUAGAUGUUCCUGGGUUCACAAGGAGUCUAACCAUGGUGGUAGUCAAUGGUGGUGGCUUCACAAACGGGAGAUCGCAGAAACGGACCCAUCGCACCCACCAAUGUAGGUUUCACUAAAUUAAAGCAUAUUUCCAUCGAAAUUGGGAUGGAAUUGGUGAAGGUAUCAAUUGGUAUCGAAGGGAGGGUUAUUUUUGGCACCGUUCCCAUCAUCAACGAUGGUCGGAAUAAAAAACAAUGGUCAGGUCGGGUCGGCGGGUUGAAGGAAGGUCUGGUUCCCUUCUCUCCUUUCCCUCCCUACCUCCCCCUCUGGUUGGUCCGUGUCUCUCGCCUUCUCUCCUUCCCUUUCCAUCACAGCCACACACGUGGCUUCUCAGAUCCUUGCUCCAGCAAAUCUGGAGCCUUUUAGAUAUUGGUCAAAUGACCAUUUUACUCCUAACUUCAAUUGUUAAUAACUUCUUCGUUAUAACUCCGUUUCAUGAACGGUUUUCGUCUACAUGUUCGUAGGGCCAUCCUUUAUCCAAAUAUAUCAAGAAAUCCGAUAAAAUAUAUGAGGAUAAAAUACAUCCUUGUAUAAUUACGUCAAACUAGUUAGGGCAUUUUCUUCUUUUCUACUUAACGAUAAAUUUUACUACGUAAAUUAUAAAAUUUCCGGAAACAAAACUUUAAAAGUUCACAAUUUUUUUUUCUUUCAUAACCAUAAAUUGAUUUAUUGUCGAUUUUUCUUCACAUAUUCAUAUAUUUAAAUUUUCAGGGUAUUACAGAUUAUGACAAAAUAAACCAUUUAAAUGUUCUCCUUACGUUAUGCAUUGCGCAUAUUGGAUAAACAAUUAGUGCACAUAAUGUGGUUAUCUGAUUUGUGGGGAAAGGUGAUGCUCACCGCUGACUUUUGGUUUAGAGACAGGCUCUCAAACUUAAAUAUAUCAGAUUUUGUUUGACAUUCGUAACAUAUUUUAAUAUUUUCACCGUUAUUGAUAUUUUAAACAAUGACAAUUCUUAGAAUACUGGAAUUCAUGUCCUUUUCAAUUUUCAUAAACAAAUAAAUGGUUAAGAAAUGUAUAUAUUAGAAAAUUAAGAGCUAGAAUUGACUAAUAUUAAAUCGAUUUUAAAUCGGGUAGUAAAACAAAAUUAGGAAUCCAUGUCCUUUUCAUAAAUAAAUAAAUGGUUAAGAAAUUUAUAUAUCAGAAAUUUAAAAACCAAAAUUGACUUAUAUAAAAUCGAUUUUUAAAUGGGUAGAUGUAAUUUGUAAAACAAUUUUUUUUUUAAAUAAUUCUCUUAUAAAUGGUAUUCCGGUGCCACGAUUCAAACCUGGAUGAAAACUCUUAACCGUAAAACUUUUUGUAUUGAGCAACACCGAACGAGUUGAUAGAUUAUGACGAAAUAAAAACAUAAUAAUUUCUUUCAAACUUAGUGAAUAACCUUCAGAAAAUAAAAACACCGAACGAGUUCAUAGAUUAUGACAAAUUAGUGGAUAAACACCUUCAGAAAAUAAAAACACCGAACGAGUUCAGCGGUGAGCAUCACCAUUCCCCACAAAUCAGAUAACCACAUUAUGCGCACAAAGAAUCAAUCAAAACAUAAUAAUUGAAUGAACGAGGAUUUCUUUCAUUUUUUCCAAAUUUUCUGAAGGUUUUUUCUAUAAGAACUUUUCUCUGACCAAUGCUUUCUAACAUUUCAUCAUUUUUUUUUAAAUUACACAAAUUCUUUGCAUACAUUGUUGUUAAAAAGAAAAUUUCUAUUAUUAAGGAGAGAGUUCGAAACUAUUGAAUUAUGGAAGAUGGACUUUUGAACUCGAGACACGGGUAGAAACCUAACACCUAUCCACUAGGACAUUAGAUCACCAGAGGUGGUCCUGGUUUUUUGGUGCCGACUGCCCAUGAACACUCAAAAUGUGCUUUUUUCCAGUACAACAUAAAUUAAACUGAAAGAUUUAAAAAGGGCUGGAGCCAGUCGAAGCUGUUGGGACAUUCUUCCAAAGAGGGAGAUGAAAUCGUUGAGGCUCUUACAGAUCCCACGUCACUGUCUUCAUUCAGCAGUUUUCCUCCAUCUACAUCAACAACUGCACGUUGCUCAAGAAGGUACUUCUAAAAAUUGAAAGUCAAACGAUAAAUUAUUAAGAAACAUUGAAUAUAAGCAUGAAACAAAGAAAAUGUUACGGAAUGGUGAUCCUCAUCCUCAAAGAUGAUUAAAAGCAAUUUGAUUCAAAAAUGACAUAUCAACUCUGGAGAAAUGGAAGACAAACAUGUGGUACCAUAUUCGCAACAGAGGUUAUGAAAGCUGAAAUCGAUUGUUCCUGUGUGCAUUGAUAAGUAAGACUACCGUAGAGAUUCACAACUAAGUAAAGACAGGUAUUCCACAGAACAACCCUGACCUCUUUGGAAACACAGAUCUAACAAAAACUAAAACAUUUUGGAUUAAUAUUGACUAAUCAAGAAUAAUGCAAGGGAGCAAAAGAGAUACUCUUCCUUCUAAUAACAAGAAGGCAUAAAAAGUAUACAGAGUUCCAACAAUUAGAGAACUUAAAUCAAACUAAAAAAAUCACCAAAGUAGACAGAAUUUCACUUCGCCAAAAAUUUGAAAAUAUAUCCUUUUUAUCCACUGAGAAUCAUAAACUACUACUACUACAUCAUGCCAAUAAGCAAUGCGUAAGAGGUGCUACAAUUUACCAAUAUAUUUACCCUGAGAACAAGUUUUGAAAUCAUCUCUAGUGUUAACAGCACCUUGCGUCCUUGGGUAAGCUGAGUCCUAGUAUCAAGUAAAGAGACCAAUCAGUACAUAUCCAAAAGAUCUUAAAUGCUUGUAAUACCAAAUAAGAAAGAAACAUGAGUAUAUCUUGAGUUAACCAUGCAAAAAUGUAAUGUUAAGGCAUCUUGUCAUACAGACCUCUUCAAGGUACCAGAAAUUUUUGCACUAAAGAUGUCACAAGCGGCUGAUAUGAAGCUGCAUUUUCUGUGAGUUGAGAUUUUGUCAAUAUAAUCGAUCACCUGAAGAGAGAGAGAGAGAGAGAGAGAGAGAGAGAGAGAAAGACAGUGAUAUCCAGAGAUGUGAGCCUAAAGGCUGAGUGUGUAAAAAAUAAGAUUAAAUGGAUAGCAAGAAUAUACAACUUUAAUGCCGAAAAGAACAUUAUAUGAUGCUCAUUCAUCAUUGCCAUUGAACGUGUACCUUCUUCUUUUCCUCUUUCUCAAAAGGAAGUAGACCCUUGAAGACUUGCCUAUAUGAUCCAUCAUCACAACCAGGCAAAGUCAUUUUAAUCAUAGCAACAAUGGCUCUAACUACCUGCCAUAAGAAACAUGCUACAUCAACAAGAUCACAGAGUGUACCAGAAACCGUAAUGUAGCAAAAUCUUAGAUAGAAUAGCUGGCCAAAAGGGAAUGGAAAAGCAAGCACAAAAAACAAUGAAAAGGACCAGUGAUGCCAAAAUUCAGGUGUUUAUAACUUUAAGUUCUACGUAGCAAAAACCACCUUAUGCACAACAAUAUUGGAAAAAUUAGAUACAUACAACUGAGAAGAUAGGUUUUCAUAAUCUGGACAAGUGCUAACUACCUUCUUCCUAUAAACUGCCACUCCAUGAACAUUAAAUGGUAUUUUCGUUUCACGCAAGGCUGUCUGGAAGACUUUUCCUGAUACCUGUAGUAUAAAAUACAAAAGAAAAUGUGACCAAAAUGUCUUAUAUGAUUCACCUCAUUCACAUUAGCACUAGGGCAAGCAAGCUUGACCUGCCUCCGGUAAAGGAUUGCUAUAUUUCCAUAGGAGCACCCUGCUUCUGACAGUUAGAUGCAGUCUCCAGGAUCUUGUCGACAACAAAGGCGCAUUAUGCAUCCUCAUUGUGACUUUCCUUGAUAAUUACCUACAUUUUGCCAGUAAAACCAGUGUCACUAACUAAAAAGACUGAAAAAUGACAUCAAAUUGUACUUGUUGGAGCAAGGAAAGAUUAGGUACAUUAGACCCAGAAGAAUUGUCGGUGUCAACAUUCUUUAGUUGGCAUCACUUCUUAUUGUUUUUUAUAACAGAAGAUGCAGCUUCCACAAUAUAGCGUGUGGACCGAUAGUUUUUAUUAAGCCUAAUCUGAACCAUAAAGUUAUGUCAAAUCCCACAGAACCCCAUAAAAUAAAACUUACUUUCCUGUAAUUAUACAAUAUAUUUGUUCUAUACUAUAUAUAAUGAAAAAAGACACUGAAUGACAUAAGAUAAACAUAGCAGUUAAGUGCGAAGGAACCUCUUUGUAAUUUGAAAAAUCUUUACAAAAAGAAUCAAAUCCAGAACUGUCCGCCCCGUUGAAACUGAAAAUGGACUGCAGCAGGAUAUAUGUUAUUUGAUUUAGAACAGAUAAGGGCUGGAUUAGAAUGAGCUGAGAGAGAGAGAGAGGGAGAGAGGGAGCAAUAAGAUUGGAUUUCCAUAAUAAAUCAACAACAUGCCUGAUCAUCAUCACCAACAAUGGUUAUGUGGUUAUGAGAGGCGAGAAUCCGCAAAAGACUAUACUGCAUAGCACUUGUGUCUUGAAACUCGUCUAUUACAAUAGCUUUCCAUGACUCCUGGCACUCCUCCGACACUAAUUAAGAGAACACCAUGUAUCAACAUUUAGCAUUACUUGUAAAACUAGAUAAAUCAAUUUAAUAUACUUAGAUGAUAGAGACCUUCAGGAAAAUCACUUAGCAGCUAAUUAAGUCAUGGUAGUCCAAAGCGUUGCACGAUUCCUAAGAAUUUCACCCUGAUUCAGAUUGAGAUCUAAAACUCAUAAGCAAUAGUUUCAGAGAACUGAAAUGAUAACUGAAAUUCUAGAACUGAAAUGAUAACUGAACAACAACAAAAACAACAACAAAGCCUUUUCCCACUAAGUGGGGUCGGCUAUAUGAAUCCUAGAACGCCAUUGCGCUCGGUUUUGUGUCAUGUCCUCCGUUAGAUCCAAGUACUCUAAGUCUUUUCUUAGAGUCUCUUCCAAAGUUUUCCUAGGUCUUCCUCUACCCCUUCGGCCUUGAACCUCUGUCCCGUAGUCACAUCUUCGAACCGGAGCGUCAGUAGGCCUUCUUUGCACAUGUCCAAAUCACCGGAACCGAUUUUCUCUCAUCUUUCCUUCAAUUUCGGCUACUACUACUUUACCUCGGAUAUCCUCAUUCCCAAUCUUAUCCUUUCUCGUGUGCCCACACAUCCCACGAAGCAUCCUCAUCUCCGCUACACCCAUUUUGUGUACGUGUUGAUGCUUCACCGCCCAACAUUCUGUGCCAUACAACAUCGCUGGCCUUAUUGCCGUCCUAUAAAAUUUUCCCUUGAGCUUCAGUGGCCUACGACGGUCACACAACACGCCGGAUGCACUCUUACACUUCAUCCAUCCAGCUUGUACUCUAUGGUUGAGAUCUCCAUUUAAUUCUCCGUUCUCUUGCAAGAUAGAUCCUAGGUAGCGGAAACGGUCGCUUUUUGUGAUCUUCGCUAGAUUGCUCCGGUCAUUAGUGUGGAAUGGAUAGUGAUAGGAAAGCAAACACAAGAUGUACGUGGUUCACCCAGAUUGGCUACGUCCACGGAAUAGAGUUCUCAUUAAUUGUGGAGGGUUUACACAAGUACAUAGGUUCAAGCUCUCCUUUAGUGAGUACAAGUGAAUAAUUUAGUACAAAUGACAUUAGGAAAUAUUGUGGGAGAAUGAUCUCGUAAUCACGAAACUUCUAAGUAUCGGAGUGUGGUAUCGUCUUGACUCGCCUUAUCUGUCUCAUAGGUAGAUGUGGCAUCUUCUCUGGAAGUACUCUUCCUCCAUCCAGAGGUGGUAUCUUUAACUGGUGGAGAUGCAGAAGGUAAUGUAUCAAUUUCACUUGAAGCUUACUUGUAGUUUCAGGCUUGGUCAAGCGCGAUACAAACCAUGUAGUAGGAGUCCCCCAAGUCGCCGAGCUAGGGGAUCUGCUGAAAGAGGUGACAGACAAGGUAAGCAAUCAGAGCUCCGGCUGAUUGUUCACAUUCUCCCUAUCUUGCAGGCAGCAUGAAGGAUAAAGAGAAGAAAAAUGAGAAAAGAUGAUAUGGGAUACUUUUGCUUUUGAAGAAGUAACUUUCCACAGGCUUAUUCUUGAACUGAGCUGGAGGGUUUUCUGGUUUCCUCCAGAGUAUAAGGCCGACUGAAGAAUUUGAGGGUCAAAACAAGUCCAUCAAAUCUAGAGUACGUUCGACCCUGCUGAUAUAGGAUACUUUUGCUUUUGACAGAGUAAUGGAUGUAUCGGCACGUGUGCUGUUACGCUUGUCUCCACAUGCUUCCUUGUAUCCUUCUCACUUGCCCUAUCUGUUCCUCAGGCAGAUGCGAUAUCUUCCCUGGAAGCAUAAGAUGUUGAAGAUGAGUACUCGAGAGCAAUGCCAGGUAAGUAAUCAGGUAAGGGGUUCCAGGCAAUCAGUUCCUAGCUGGAAGCUUGAUUCCAAGUGCUGAUUGAUUGCUCUCUUUCUCCUUGUCUUGCAGGUAAGAACAAGGUCAAAGGAAAAGACAGGGAAAAAGCAUGAUAUGGGAUACUCUUGCUUUUUAACCCUGAUGAUAUGAGAUAUUCUUGCUCUAGUAUAGCUUGUUUGCAGAGGUAUUAUCGGGGGGAAAGAAAGCUGAAUAUUUCGAAAGGCUUCGUUGGGAAUGCCCUCUCAGAUAUGAGGAAGGGUUGAGCAUUUUUGCAGGUCUGCCUGUCCGUUGGGGAUGGAGGUCGACAUAUAUAGGAGUCUCCCUAACAACAAGUAGUAAUGCUAUUCCUUUAACCUGCUUGGUCAUAGCACGGUAGUUGGAGCUGCCAGCUUCACAUGUUUUAACUUUGUCAGAGCACUUUGAAAAAGUUGUCUGUGGUAUCUGGAAAGCUGAUGUUGCAUGUGAAGAUUACAGACAAGCUUUAUCCAAGGAGAUCCGGCUCUUGAAGUUGGGAAAAUUGUGCCUCUUCGGUUUUCGAACAAGCAAUCCUAUCGGGGAUCUGGCUCUCGAGAUUCGGAGAACGAUGUCACUUCGAUUUUUGAGAAAGCAAUCAUGCUGGGGGUCUGGCUCUCGAGAUUCGAAGAGCGGUCUCUUCGAUUUUUGAGAAAGUAAUCAUGUUGGGAGUCUGGCUCUCGAGAUUCGGAGGACGGUGCCUCUUCGAUUUUGGAGCAAGCAAUCUUGUUGGGAGUGUUUUCUCGAAUGUGAGUAAAGGUUGGGCAUGUUUGUUAGUCUACCUUGCCACGAAGCAUAGAGGUUGACACACAGGGACUUUCCAAUUAUCCAGCAAUGGUACUGUUCCUUUACCCUCUCUUCGAUUUUUGAGAAAGUAGUCAUGUUGGGAGUCUGGCUCUCGAGAUUCGGAAGACGGUGCCUGUUCGAUUUUGGAGCAAGCAAUCUUGUAAUCUUGUUGGGAGUGUUUUCUCGAAUGUGAGUAAAGGUUGGGCAUGUUUGCUAGUCUACCUUGCCACGAAGCACAGAGGUUGACACACAGGGACUUUCCAAUUAUCCAGCAGUGGUACUAUUCCUUUACCCUUGUGGGUAAUAAUAUGGUAGCUAGACCUUCAAAAUUUAUGCGUCUAAACUUUUAGUUGUGUUUUCUUUGCUAUUCUUUUACCCUUCUUGGUCAAAGCGAUGUAGUGGGAGCUGCAAGCUUCACGUGCUCAACUUUGGCAGAGAACUUUGGCAAAGUUAUCUGUGGUACCCAUGAGCUACUGUUGCGUGUGGGAAGUGGGUGAUUGAACAGUAAGAUUCAUGUGCUUUCUACUUCACCAGAAUGCCCAUAAUUUCCGCAAAGCUGAGUGUGCGUGUGACAGGUGCUGACAAGGCUGGAAAAGUAGGUGCCUCUUCGAUUUCUGAGAUCGGCCCUCAUGGUCUCUGAGCAGCCCAGCUUUUGAGAAAGCAAGUGCCUCUUCGAUUUCUGAGAUCGGCCUUCGUGGUCUUUGAGCAUCCCAACUUUUGAGAAAGAAAACGCCUCUUCGAUUUCUGAGAUCAACCCUCGUGGUCUCUGAGAGUAAAGGUUGGACAAGUUUGCUAGUCUACCUUGCCAUGAAGCACAGAGGUUGACACACAGGGAAUUUCCAAUUAUCCAGCAAUGGUACUGUUCCUUUACCCUUAUGGGUAAUAAUAUGGUAGCUAGACCUUCAAAAUUUAUGUGUCUAAACUUUGUUAGUGCUGUUUCUUUGCUAUUCUUUUACCCUUCUUGGUCAGAACGAUGUAGUGGGAGCUGCAAGCUUCACGUGCUCAACUUUGGCAGAGAACUUUGGCAAAGUUAUCUGUGGUACCCAUGCGCUACUGUUGCGUGUGGGAAGUGGGUGAUUGAACAGUAAGAUUCAUGUGCUUUCUACUUCACCAGAAGUCUUCGACAAAAUGCCCAUAAUUUCCACAAAGCUGAGUGUGCGUGUAAUAGGUGCUGACAAGGCUGGAAAAGUAGGUGCCUCUUCGAUUUCUGAGAUCGGCCCUCGUGGUCUCUGAGCAGCCCAUCUUUUGAGAAAGCAAGCGUCUCUUUGAUUUCUGAGAUCGGCCUUCGUGGUCUUUGAACAGCCCAGCUUUUGAGAAAGCAAACUUCUCUUCGAUUUCUGAGAUCAACCCUCGUGGUCUCUGAGCAGCUCAGCUUUUGAGAAAGCAAACGCCUCUUCGAUUUUUGAGCAGACGCCUCUUCGAUUUCUGAAGCUCCGUCGAGUGCAGAUUUUUAUAGGGGCUGACAUUAAGUUCCAAAGCACACUUGAAUCUCCACCAGUAGAAGCUCCAUUCUUGCACUUCUAAGAUCUUGAUUUGUCCGACCUCUUCUCUCUUCAACACCUUUGAAAAUGUCUAGCCCCUCCGACCGUCGUUUUGACUUGAACCUUGUUGAAGAGGCAGCCCCGCCUUCUCCAGACAACAUAUGGCGCCCAUCCUUCGUCUCCCCUACUGGUCCUCUUACCGUUGGGGAUUCCGUGAUAAAGAAUAAUAUGACCGCUGCGGUGGUGGCCAGGAACCUUCUCACUCCCAAAGAUAACAGACUACUUUCCAAACGAUCUGAUGAGUUAGCUGUUAAGGAUUCUCUGGCUCUCAGUGUUCAGUGUGCAGGUUCUGUGUCUAAUAUGGCCCAACGCCUAUUUGCUCGAACCCGUUAAGUUGAAUCAUUGGCGGCUGAAGUGAUGAGUCUCAAACAGGAGAUUAGAGGGCUCAAGCAUGAGAAUAAACAGUUGCACCGGCUCGCACAUGACUAUGCUACAAACAUGAAGAGGAAGCUUGACCAGAUGAAGGAAUCUGAUGGUCAGGUUUUACUUGAUCAUCAAAGAUUUGUGGGUUUGUUCCAAAGGCAUUUAUUGCCUUCGUCUUCUGGGGCGGUACCGCGUAAUGAAGCUCCAAAUGAUCAACCUCUGAUGCCUCCUCCUUCUAGGGUUCUAUCCAGUACUGAGGCUCCGAAUGAUCCCCCUCCGGUGCCUUCUCUUUCUGGGGCUCUACCGACUGCGAGACUUGUCCUAAGCAACCUUUGUGAAGGCUCCCUCUAGUUUGUUUAUUUUGACUCAUGUAUAUGUACAUAUUUGUAGCCUAUCAGGGAUAUCAAUAAAUAAGUUUUCCUUCAUUUCAACAUAUUGUGUUAAAUACACCAAAGCCUUCUUCGCUAAGUUCUUUGAAUUUUCUUUUGUUGAAGCUUGUAUGUUGAAGCUUUGUGAGUGGAGCAUGUAGGUUGAGGUAGUGUUCCUUUAAUUUCCCGAGUGAGGAAAACUUCUCGGUUGGAGACUUGAAAAAUCCAAGUCACUGAGUGGGAUCGGCUAUAUGAAUCUUAGAACGCCAUUGUGCUCGGUCCCGUGUCAUGUCCUUCGUUAGAUCCAAGUACUCUUAAGUCUUUUCUUAGAGUCUCUUCCAAAGUUUUCCUAGGUCUUCCUCUACCACUUCGGCCCUGAACCUCUGUCCCAUAGUCGCAUCUUCUAAUCGGAGCGUCAGUAGGCCUUCUUUGCACAUGUCCAAACCACCAUAACCGAUUUUCUCUCAUCUUUCCUUCAAUUUCGGCUACUCCUACUUUACCCCGGAUAUCCUCAUUCCUAAUCUUAUCCUUUCUCGUGUGCUCACACAUCCAACGAAGCAUCCUCAUCUCCGCUACACCCAUUUUGUGUACGUGUUGAUGUUUCACCGCCCAACAUUCUGUGCCAUACAGCAUCGCCGGCCUUAUUGCAGUCCUAUAAAAUUUUCCCUUGAGCUUCAGUGGCAUACGGCGGUCACAUAACACGCCGAAUGCACUCUUCCACUUCAUCCAUCCAGCUUGUAUUCUAUGGUUGAUAUCUCCAUCUAAUUCUCCGUUCUUUUGCAAGAUAGAUCCUAGGUAACGAAAACGAUCGCUCUUUGGUAUUUCUUGAUCUCCGAUCCUCACCCCUAACUCGUUUUGGCCUCCAUUUGCACUGAACUUGCACUCCAUAUAUUCUGUCUUUGAUCGGCUUAGGCGAAGACCUUUAGAUUCCAACGCUUCUCUCCAAAGGUUAAGCUUUGCAUUUACCCCUUCCUGAGUUUCAUCUAUCAACACUAUAUCGUCUGCGAAAAGCAUACACCAAAGAAUAUCAUCUUGAAUAUGUCCUGUUAACUCAUCCAUUACCAACGCAAAAAGGUAAGGACUUAAGGAUGAGCCUUGAUGUAAUCCUACAGUUAUGGGAAAGCUUUCGGUUUGUCUUUCAUGAGUUCUUACAGCAGUCUUUGCUCCUUCAUACAUAUCUUUUAUAGCUUGGAUAUAUGCUACUCGUACUCCUUUCUUCUCUAAAAUCCUCCAAAGAAUGUCUCUUGGGACCCUAUCAUACGCUUUUUCCAAAUCUAUAAAGACCAUGUGUAAAUCCUUUUUCCCAUCUCUAUAUCUUUCCAUCAAUCUUCGUAAGAGAUAGAUUGCCUCCAUGGUUGAGCGCCCUGGCAUGAACCCGAAUUGGUUGUCCGAAACCCGUGUCUCUUGCCUCAAUCUAUGCUCAAUGACUCUCUCUCAGAGCUUCAUUGUAUGACUCAUUAACUUAAUACCCCUAUAGUUCAUGUAAUUUUGUACGUCGCCCUUAUUCUUGUAGAUAGGCACCAAAAUGCUCGUUCGCCACUCAUUUGGCAUCUUCUUCGUUUUCAAAAUCCUAUUGAAAAGGUCAGUGAGCCAUGUUAUACCUGUCUCUUCCAAAACUUUCCACACUUCGAUUGGUAUAUCGUUUGGGCCUAUUGCUUUUCUAUGUUUCAUCUUCUUCAAAGCUACAACUACUUGGAAAAAGCGUAUCAUACGCUCCCAAACAACUUUGAGUGGAAUCGUUCGAAAAGAAGUUUCUAUGGCCCCCUUGCUCAUUUAACACUGCAUCCGGAUGCUGAUGGAGAUACAGCGACCCUUGCUCACUUAUCACUGUGCUCGGGCCACACAGCGCGCCACUUACGGGUGACGCCCUAGAUUUAGCGCGAUUUCGUUCUGGAUUCAUUUUCAUAAGGAUUCGACGUGAUCAUGGAGUGCCGGCUGUCGACUACCUGACGCCCUCCCCCUCCUCCUUUAUCCGGGCUUGGGACCGGCAAUGUAAGAACAUAGGCGGAGUUAACUGAAAUGAUAACUGAAACAUAAAUAAAUUUAGAAUUCAAGACUAACCUGUGUAGCUAAUAUAUUCUAGCUUGAUUGUAGCUAAUAUUUUUUAAAUCGAAUGAAUGUUGUUCUUAAUCCACUAUAAUCUGAACAUUAAAUUUGGUAUUCAUGACUAACCUGUGUCACGAACUUUAGCCAUUUCUUUGAUGGAUCCUUAAAAUGAUGUGGAGAUGUUACGCCAUUACUCUUCCCCAUCUAUAGCAACAUUAAGAUUCGUUUUACUCUUUUCAUCUUCUGAUAACCGCACAGCUUCAAUGACUGCUCUUCUCUGUUGCCCAUGUCCAUAUAUAAAAAAUUCUGGUGUGCGCUCAAGUCUAAAACACAAGCCAACAUAACAGACUCAGCUAUACCACCAUAGGUAUGGUGUUCAAAAUCAAGGGAGGUGAAUCAAUAGCUUACUUCUCAGCAUGUGAUCGGCAAAGUUGCAAUGAAAAUGAAUGAAAUGUACUGAUUGUUAGUAGUUUUGCCGUUCCUUUCCCAGUCACAGAUCCAAUUCGAUCUCUCAUCUCGGAAGCUGCUGCUGUAGUGAAAGUCAUUGCUAGAAUGUUAGACGCGCUCAUGCCCUAAGAACACAAAAAAAAAAGGAAUAAGAUUUCGAUCAUAAACAAGAAAUGUAGAGAAACAGACAAUUAAGAAAGAAAAAGUUAGAGGGAAAGUGGCAACACCUCAUUGAGCAGCAUUAGAACCCGCCCAACCAUCGUUGAAGUCUUUCCACUUCCAGGGCCGGCAACAAUCAUCAAAGGUACUGAAAUAUCGCUGCAAGCUGCCUCCCGCUGCCUUUCGUUGAGAGAAAGCAAAUACUUCGAAUACUCAUCCGGCAUGUUAGGCAAUCCAUGGUUAACAGAAUCUGUUUGGUUUUCACUACUCAGAGGUGGCGCUGAUGCGGCAUUAACAUCGCUACCACAACUCCCAAUAUCAUCACGCUGAAUGUCCCCACUCGGUUUCUGCUCAAUUAAAGCGUCAAUUUCCUGCAAAAUACUCUCAUCGAAAUCAUCAUCCUCGAGAAUUCCAGACGCAGAGAAAGAAUCGAAUGAAGUCGGAAACUGCGGUUGUUUGAUUGGAAUUGUGAAAGAAUCCGAUUUUGACACGCUUGAUUCAGUCCGGCUAGCGCUUAAGCUCCCGGAACACGACGCACUGCCAUAUUCAGUCCGGCUUGUAGAAAUCGGAGGCGGUGUGUUCAUCGGUAGCUCGGCAAGAGGAGUUCUGUGAACUCUAUUGAGCUGAGCUGGCGUUUGGAUUCCAUUUCCGCCACAAAUUCUGGAAUUUGAAAAACACAAUUGAAUUGAUUUAAAUUGAAUCAAGAAAACAGCCGAGUACCAAAAAAGUAGUAAGAAGAUGAAAUCUUUGAUUCCUGAACGACUUACUUGGUAUGAGGGAGGUGAUGAUCAGUCAAAACGGCGUCGUUGCGGGGGCGUUUGCGAUCAAUGAGGGCCUUGGCGGCUCUGAAAUUCCCAGAGAUGCGGUUUCUUUUGAUAGGAUCACAGAUCUCAGGACCCUAUUCAACCUACAAGCAGCAAUAGAAAUGACAAAUGGAGAAGACGAAGUAGAAGGGAGCAGGGCUCCAAUAUAUUUUUUUGGUUUUGUAUUUCUGUUUGUAAAAUCUGAUCUGCUACAUUUGAGGGAGCUGGACUCCUUUUAUACAAACUCUACUUCUUAAAAUGCCAGCUGGCAUAUUUAACAAUUCUUAACAAAUCAAUUAAAGCAUAAAACCUCAGUAAUAAUUUGGGUCAUAACAAUACUUCCCCCUUGAAGAACAACCUUGUCCUCAAGGUUGAAAGUUGAAAAACUUAUUUGAACGAGUAGAAACUAGGAGUCUUGCAACAGAAGGGAAGCUGCAGGGACUGCAAAUACAAUCUGCAUGUAGCUCUCAACUUUUGGAGAUGAGCCUGACAGCACCCCUGUACUUGUUAUGGCAGCUCCCCACAACUUGGUAAGUGAGCACUUGUUACCCGUAGCCUCUUCAUAAAUUUCAACCCACGAUAUCAUUUCAACUUCCAUGCUAGUUGCCAAAAAGCAUGCAGCAUCAAAUGGAGAAAAUGGGCCAACUCCCAGGGAACCUGCCAGAGGAUCAUUCUCAACGAAUGCAGCUACUAAAGCAAUUGGACCCUUGCCAAGAAUUAUAACCUUAGAGAUGGUUAUGAGCCUGAUAUCCUCAAAAGCAAGACGAGCGGUCUGAUUGAUAAGAGACUGCCUAAGAUUAACUAUCCUCUUCUUAGGUCCAACACACCAUUCCUUGCUCCGAAUGUAGCCAUCCUUCAUCACACCAAACCGAGGGAAGCCACCCAUGGGAGUGAUGUCUUUCUCAGUCAUCUUCCCCUCAUGGAGGCACAUUUCAUAGUUUUUUUCAGUGAAACUAGGACCACCUAAUGUCGGAUUGUCAAAAAACUCCUGAAAUAAGCUGAUGGAUGGGAGCAGUCUAUAUUGGAUAUUGAAACUUGCAAUUCUUUCUGAAUCAUUGAAAUCACUGUACUUUAAACUGUCAUUAGCAACACCGAUAUUAUGCAUGGAAGAUUUAAAGGACCUGAGCAAACCCAAAGCUUCAACCAUGUCCUUCAUCACCUCUGUUAAGGUGUACAAUUGGCAUUUGAAUUCAUAUGAUGGCUCAAUAGUAUCAAGUUCCAAAAAUUUAAACAACUCAUUUUGCCAACUUACACUCACGGUAAGACAAACAUGCAAAAACCAUGCAAAGACAAAUAUGUUGGACAUCCUUUCUGAAGAACAGGCAAAGAAAUAACACCAACAGCAACCAAAUGAAAUAACACCAGCAGCAACCAAUACAUUGAUGUGUACCAUAUUGUCUAACAAAAUUACUUUAAGCUGAUGACUGACUUUGCAGAUACGUCCAUAAUCGUACAACCAUGCAUAAACACUAGCACCAUCAAAUCUUAGAUUUGGCCUGAAUACUAUUACCUCUUCACUACCAAAAGUGAGCAUCUGAAUACGUCUGCCGGUUUUCUUAUGAUGCAACUCCAGCUCUACCAACAUCCAUCUUUUACCAAUCACAUAAGAGAAAACAUAAUGACUUACACAAUGUUGCUCAGGUACAGUCAUAUAUGGUGUUGUCCGAGAUUUCCAUUGCUCCUUGAAAUGCAUUCCAUAAACCAAGAAAAAUAAGAUUGAAGUAGUAGUUGUUCCAUCCUCCUUGAAAGAGAUGAGAAUGCAGGGCCUCUCCAUCAACCAUAUUGUAUAAUUCCUCUGAUUGAAGACAACCCUUUGAGAAGAUAUAUUGUCACAAGGAUUAGUGAGAGUGUGACACCAACCCGGUUGCUGGAAAAUCUGGUCAUUCGCUACGCAAUUAGGAAAGAAAACAGUAUCGAGGUGUACAUCAACACUAUUACAUAAUUCCGGAUUCAAUUUCGAUAACAAGCUGGUGAGAAUAGAAUAGUCAAGCUGGGAAAUGGCCAUGACUGUUAAUGCACAUCUGUGUAACAGUGAUAAGCAGAGGAACUGCUUGAUAGCAUUGAUAUAACCCAAAGUCCCAUUCUCCUCAGUCAAACUAGCUGCAAGAUCUUUAGGCAAAGAACGACAAACAAGUACAACAAUAUCCAAAGCUUCCAGGUUGCUACUCAAUGACAUAUUCUCCAUAUUAUGCCUCUUAGACAUUUCAUCAAAUAGAUGCAAUGCAUAGAAAUUCUUCUUCACAAAUUUACCCACAAGGUACCAAUUAACCCAGCCAUACUUAGCAUUCAAAAAAACAUGAUAUACAAUCGCAUUAUGACCAGUAUAGCAUGCAAUUACACCAUACAAAAGCAAUACCUCAUGUCCACGUACCAUUCCUAACUCCCAUAGCCCACUAGGUAGCUGAUACCAAACAUGAAGUUUCUUCUUGAUGAAAUAUCCAAUGUUGUCAUCGUAAACCGACUGUGUAAUCUUCUCUCCCAGUCUCAUUCGACAAUCUUCCAGUGGCCUAAUUUUGGAGCCUCCACCCUUAUCCCGAAUGCCAUUGCAGUAGCACAUGUCACGAUUGAGAACAACAUAGCCACUUGAGUCUGGAAUUUCAUCAAACAGGUUCCAUGCACAAAAAUCCUCAGGUCCAUUUUUCGUAGUAUCAGAGAACGAGUGCUUAUGGAGUAGCCGCGGAGCAGAGGUCAUCGUCUUCGAUCCCGGAAGCAAAAUUGUAGCUGCAUCAGAGUUGUUCGAGUGUGGCUUCACGGGCGGAGUUGCCAGUGCUUGCAACAACGGUGAAGAUGAGAGUAACGGCGGAACGGAAUGGACUUCAAUUGGCGAUGGAAUUCUCGGUGGAUUGUCGUCUCCUUGAAGUCCGGGAUGAUCGAGAUUGAUUGAUUGAAUCGUUGGGGUAGGAUCGGAAACUUCCCCGACACCAAGAGUCAAGUGAUGGCGGAACAGAGCAAGGUCACGGCGGACUGCGGCGGCUAUUGAAUCUAUAGCCUUGUGGAAAGCCUCCUCCGUACGCCUGAAUGUUUUCCUUGGACAUUGCUUCGAAGAUUCCGACGGAAGAUUUGGCCUGACAGCCUGACCAGGCAACCCUAGAAAGAAGAAGGAGCGAAGAAGACCAAAUGUGUCCGUUUUUCCUUUGGUUUUUUUCCCUCCUAAUCGAGUUGUUCGAAAUAAUUGGGCCUGGGCCUAGUGGGCCCAAUUGUCAGGCCCAUUAUCUCCUGUCUUCUAGUUCUACUUCCAAUUUCCCAAGUUAACAACGUACUGGUUCGCUUUUAGCGCGAGAGAGAAAUGGAGGCCCUGAUUGCCUCGUACGGAGACUCGUCGUCGGACUCAGACUCCGAGUCGCCGGCUCCACCUCCACCGCCACCUCCGGAGCUCAAAAACUCUCAAGAAUCGACCACUGCGCUGCCUCCACCUCCUCUGUCACUUCUCGACAGCCCAAUUCCUUCGGUAACCUCUGAUUCCCAUAAAUAUUCUAUCUUUUAACUUUCUGUUGUGAUGGCUUUUUCCGAGUUGCCCACCAAGUGUUUGAUGUUUUGCCUCUAAAGGAUUUCUGGACUUCUCCCCAAGCGCCCAGCCGAGCAGAGUUCGGAACUUUCCUCACGUCGAAGGGAACUACGCAGUACAUGUAUACAUCCCAGGUAAUCAAAAUUCUCGAAAUUUUCAGCUCCAUUAGCAAAUGCGAUCCCUUUGCACUUAGAUUUUGCUUGUUUAAUUGUGUGGUUCCAGUUUAUAUACCACCAGCACCAAGGAAAGAGAUGGCCUUGUUUUUGAACAAGCUUGCUUCUCUGGUGCCUGGUCUCCACGCCGUUGACGUUGACGUCCCGCUUGACAUUCUGCGUAAGGACGAGCAUAAGCUUGAACAAGUUGCUUUAGGCAGAGAGUUCCAUAUAAGUCUCGGAAGAACUGUUCCGAUUCGGGUGCACCAGAUUAAUUCCUUGGUGACAAUGCUGCGGCAGAAGCUUCAGAUUCAGAGGCGGUAUGGUUGCAUUUACCUUCUCUUGUGUGCAUUGCGUGAAUUUAGUUCUGUUAUUUAACAUAAUUGUUUAAGCCUGCAGAUAUUUUGUCCAUUUUUGGUUUUUAACACAUUUGGUUAUUGUGGAACAGGUAUUGGAUUGAUUUUUGCAAGUAGGAGGUUUUUGUUAACGAUGAUCAGACCCGGACCUUUGUGUCGAUCGAAGUCAUUGCUGCUGGGUUAGCUGAGGUAUGAUUGCUAGCUUUCUCUCUUGGUGCAAUUCAAAAUGUUUUGAGUUGUUUAUGGACUUAAGAUUUAGCAAGUACUUGCCGAAGGUCAUGGGAUUUUGAAAUAUCGAUAUCUUGCUUAUAGAUUGUUUGGUCUUCGAUGCACUUGUUACCUGAAAAGUAAAAAUGUAAAAGAUCAUGAAAAGUCCAAACGAAACAUAAUGGAUGUAUGAUAUGCUCAUGCUUCUAACAUGUGUUGUCCUGGCAUAAAUUAUGUUCCAAAUACCGUCAUUUGCGUGUAAGCCUAUGAACUUAGAGCACGUUUGGUAUGCCGGGUAAGAUUGGAUUUGGUAUUUCAGACUGCUUAGGUUAGGAUUGGAUUGGGUAGGUUAGGUUUUUUGUCUAAUGUUUGGUGUAGACUGUCGCAACAACGCUCGUGAGCCUCCACAUCCAUUGCAAUCUUGCACCACUCUGAUGUCCUGGAGGAGCGAAACAUGGUUACUUGAAGCAUACCUGUUUUCGUAUUAAUACAUGGUUGAAUCAGCUUUCAUUGUCAAUCAGUCUGUAAUAUUUCAACUUCCAUUGAUUUCAGAUAACAAAGCAGAUUCAAGCUGUCAAUGAGGUGUAUAUGCUUCACAAUCUUCCUGAAUUUUACAAGGUUAGCAUUUCGUGUUUUUCAAACUUGAAUCACUUCCUGAACAUAUGACAAUAUAUUGGAGCAAAUGGUUGUGCAUGAAUACUACUCAUUGCUCAGAGGGUGUUGCUGAUCACAGGAUCCGCGUCCUCAUAUUUCGGUAGCUUAGGCAUUGGGUGACAUCAGCAAUUCCCUGAAGAAAGUGGUUGAAGAAGAAAGACGAAGAUCUACCAUCGGAGGAUCGUUACAGAAAUGUAUUUUUACCAGUAAAUUCAAUGGUAUCGAAUGUAGGAUUGGUAAUAAAACACACAAAAUAUGUAAAUUUUCUGAAGAAUAAUGUAGCCAUUUAACUAUAUUGUGAAAUUCCGAGAAUAUAUCGCUGAGCAUUGGAUGAGAAGACAUUUCUUCGUUGGUGUCGAACUUCAUGUUGAAGGUAUUGACACCAGUGUAAACGCCAUCAUCCAUGUUGAUGGUAAUUACUUCCCAGCUACUAAGGGUGUCGGAACAACCUUGCACGCAGCCUCCUGUGCAUUACUUAGUAUUGUCUCAGUUUCUCCAAACUUGAAUGCUCCUGUAAACCCACUUUUGACCUUUCCGUCAUCUGUGAUUACCGGAAUGCUGGCUAGGAUGUUGCCGUUGACCUCCCAAACUUAAAAUACCGGAAAGCCGGCUCCAAUGUAUGCGAGAGCUCCACCUCUAUUGUUGUAACAGCAUCUGAUGCGUACUAGUCCUUUAUUCCCGUUACUCUUUGCCAUCUCCACUUGGAACUUGGCGUAAUGGCUCCCGGCCUCCUCUCCGGUGAAAUUGAGCAACCCCGGAGCUGGCGUGCCAUCAAGAUUUCCGUCAUGUCUGUAGCGAAAGUAUUCGCUGUUGUGGUUUGGUUUCACCACUAUAAAUCUUGGCAGAGUUGGCAUUUUCAUUUCUGUUGUCUGUAUAUCUUGAUAUUACAAGUAUUUGUUGUGCAAUAUGCAUGCUAUGUUCAUGUUAUGCGUAUAUACAUAUAUAAGUGUUUUAACACUUUGCAAACGUUUUCUCCAAAAUUUUGAUUUUGGUGGUGUUCUAACUUUUGUGAAUGCUAAUAACAAUUCCCUCAUUAACUGUUAGGACGAGCAACAAAACAGUUUUGAUUCUGUGCACAAAGGCGAUCCCUCGUAAGAAAUUGAUUCUUCAACAGAAAGAUGUUUUAAAACAAAUUUGAAGGGAAGGAAAUAUUUGAAUCGCAUUCAGAUGUCUGGUCAAAUUCUUGAACAGUUGAUAUACACAGAAGUUCCUUGUUUAUGUCACUACUUAUGAGAGGAUGUACGCAUUGCAUUCGCAUCAAAAGAGAGAGAGAGAGAGAGAGAGAGAGAGAGAGAGAGAGAGAGAGAGAGAGAGAGAGAGAGAGAGAGAGAAGGUUGUCAGUGGUAAGGGAACGAAUAACGAUGGCGUUGCGCUUCUAAUCAAAGGGGUCGAUCCGAGGGUCGUGUUCACUUGCCAUCGCCAUUCCAGUGCAAAGGCAUGUAGGGCACAUUACCUGCCACAUUAAAAACGCGAUGUUAGAUAUACUCGCCAUUUGGAAGUCAACCCUCAAAAUUUGCUACUAAAUUAUCUUAAACUCCAUUUCCAGUCAAUUUUUUUUCUUCCGAAAUGUCUUUCACGUGCUUAGGGAUAGGCAAAUACCCAUUGGUUAUAGGUAAUCGCGGUUACUCGCCCAUUUAAAUUAAACAGUUACGGUUAUGGCUAACUGUUUAGAUAAAUAAACGGUUAUGGGUAUAACCGUUUACCCGUAAAAUUUAAAUGGAUGGUUAUGAGUAUUAACCAUGGUUAUAAACGAGUAACCGUUUACCCAUUUAUUUUAUAUAUGUAAAGCUAACACAAAUCAUGUUCUCCAUCCAAUAAUACUUAGCACCCAAUAAAUUAGCAAGGAAUUCAUCGAUCAUUCUCUCAAUAACACUACUACAUGAAUGAUGAUUCCCAUCAUCAAGGAAUUUGCCAAAUUAAUUUAAAUUCCUUGUGGGUAACCGUGAAAUUGACAGAAAUACUUUAACAAAAAUGUCUUCUAAACAAUUUUUGUAACCCAAUAAUACUUAGCAAAUAUUAUAUUUACCUUCAUUGGUAACAGUUAAAAAUAUCGUCCGUAAACUAUUAUUUCAAUUAUUGGAAUGGUAUAAAGACUUAAAAAAUUAAAAUAUAAAAAUGUAUGACGAAUGUACCUAUAACGGUGUUUAAUUGUCAAAAAAAAAAUUAUGACAAUUUUUUUUAAUUUUCAAGUUGUUAAAAAACAUGUAGACUGGUGAAAAAAAGGUAAUGGUAAAAAGAAAAGAUAAACGGAUUAAAAAUGAUAAAUGGUAUACGGGUAUUAAAUUGUUACGGUUAAAUGGCUAUGCGGUUAUGGGUAUGGUUAACCGUUUAUAAAUGGUUAUGAGUAUGAGUAUAACCAUUUAGGCAAUUACCCAACGGGUAAACGGUUAUGUAGGUAUGAGCAUAAACGGUUAUGGGUAAAUUAACCGCGGUUACCCGCCCGCAUAACCAUCCCUACACGUGCUCGACAAACACAACAGUCACCAAUCAUGUGAAUCAGCUAUUCCUCAAUGUAUAUGAUGAAACAAGUGCAUCCCAGAGGCAGGCACGAAGAGGAAUUUACUAUGCAAUAAACAUUCAAUGGGUACAAUUUUAUGUCUAACCUUUCCCGCUCCUGAGCAAUUUGAACAUCUUUCAGUUUUUGGCAGUGAAAGGGGCUGGUUUCCGCCAUCAACUGUUGAAAUUGGUUCGGUAAGAACAAGGGUUCCAGUGCUGGAGCAACGAGCACAAGCAAGAUAUCCUGCAUAAGUAUCAAAUACACCGGUUAGUUGACAUAUGAAGGAUUGGUUUGGUAUUGCUGUGCUUUGAAAAAAAAACUGCUGUGAGAAUAAGCGGCUGUGCUGUGAAAAUAAGCGGCUGUGAAAUAAAUCAGCAGAGUGUUUGGUAAACUUUUUUGUAAAAGUGUUUUUGGAAAAAAAAAAGUCUAAUAGUGGGUCUUUUCAUUAAAGAAACACUGUAGCUCCAUGUGCUUUGAAAAAAACCAGUUUUCCAAAGCUACAAAUAGCAGCUUCAGCUUUUUCCUUUGAUUUCAGCUUAUUCUCACAGCAGCUUCCAAAAUAAGCCUUUUUUUUUUCAGUUUACCAAACACCUAAAACCCUCACAGCUUUUUUUCAUGGGUGCUUUUUUUUUAAGCACCUCACUCCCAAACUUGGUUUGGUAUUGCUGUGCUUUGAAAAAAAGCUGCUGUGAGAAUAAGCGGCUGUGAAAUAAAUCAGCUAAGUGUUUGGUAAAUUUUUUUGUAAAAGUGUUUUUGGAAAAAAACAGUCUGAUAGUGGGUCUUUUCAUUAAAGAAGCACUGUAACUCCGUGUGCUUUGAAAAAAAACCAAUUUUCCAAAGCUACAAAUAGCAGCAUCAGCUUUUUCCUUUGAUUUCAGCUUAUUCUCACAGCAGCUUCUAAAAUAAGCCUUUUUUUUUUCAGUUUACCAAACACCUAAAACUCUCAUAGUUUUUUUUCAUGAGUGCUUUUUUUUUAAGCACCUCACUCCCAAACUAGGUCAACCAAUCCAAACAUCUCCAUCGUAUAUAUUUAAAGCUACGGUACAUAUGACUAAAAGUGAGAAACAUAGGACAUUAUCACACCAGUUCCAAGACAAUAUUUGCAUCGCUUAUGCUCCUGCUGUUUCACAUUGCUUAUUUCAACUACCAUCAAUGCUGAGAUCACUCCGACUGCUCCUCCAGAGAACGAUGCCACUAUGGGAUCAACUUGACUGCAGAUUGAAAGUAUAUGAGAUCAAUAAACGAAACUGAUAACAAUGUAGUAUUAACAUUAUUUAGCUCCAUGUCAAGAUAGACAACACAUCCUAGAUUUUUCUAAUGUGUAAAAUUUGAGGACCCUCGUAAAAUUUGACCACAUCGGUUCCCAAAGUAAAAUUUAGUACCUUUGGUUCCUACAUUACAGACCGAAAAUAGUAACUACCGAAUUUAAAGUUCAUAUCAAGAUAGAGGAUACAAAAUUUCGAAACGAUAAUUGCUAGAGAACAGGAGGGUUAAUAGCCCGAGAUAUGAGCCAUACCUCAACUGCAACGGCAGAUGCAUAUUUACUAUAAAAUCUUUAUACGAUGUGCCUCCUAUUCCCAGCUUCAACUCCAACUGAAAGAUGUAAACGUAAUUGUCGGCAGAGAGUUAGAAACAUAACCGAAUCCAUGUUUUAUAAGCAGAAAGUACACUUAUUUGACAUGCUUCCUCAUUUUUUUACUUGCAAAUUCAAAACCGUAUUGUCAGACCAGUAAAAUAAAAUAAUGUUUACUAAUAACUGUUAAAACUAAUCACAACAAGUUAAUGCAUAAAGAACUUACGGAGGGUGCUAUGAGGCCACCGAAAAGGAUAAACCCCGCAAUAAUUGAAUAACAUACAGCAUAAUACUGCUUAAGGUUGUCUGAACUCUGCAAGCAAUGCAUUCACCUUGUGAUUAAUACUUUUGCACAAACACUAGUUUUCGCAAUUUUUUAUGAACCGACAAAAGGCUACAACAAAAUAUGGCUAAAACAUGUCGGGGAUAUGAAAAUACAUGUCUUCACAGGGGCAGCAGCUUACCAGGGGAGGCAAAAAUGGAAUGAAUGAUGGAAAACUUGAUCUUCAUUUACCGCUCCAAGCUCUGCGCGUUUAAUCCGUUUAAUCCGCUGUUGUAUCCUCAGCCUGCGAACCUACGCAUAUCGAAGCUCAUUCUUAAAGAACACAUUUCUAAGGGCAAUUGGAGAGUAAUUUGAAACAUGCUAAACUGAGAAAGUGGCAGCAACUAGCAAUUGCUCUCACCUCCUCCGUAUGCAAGAAAAUUUUGUUGCGCCGACUCCGAAUAUUAUCUUGAAUUUCCUGCAGCUCCAUUGUCGCAAAGUCCUGCACUGUUUCAGGCCCCUCUAUGAUACAAAAUCUGCACAAUUAAGCAUGUAACAACUAAAACUUACAGGCUACAAAGCAAUUUCCGUAUCAUUUUUGGGUUAAUUAACAUCAACAGCAGAUAAAUCACAUGAGUUUUUCACAUGAAGUUACAAACCUUCAGAGACCAGUAAGCUCUCUGCAAUCUCAUAAAUUUCACUGUGCAAAGUAACAAUCCAAAGCUUGGAACUUUAAAUUUCCAUUUUCUGUUAUUUUCCUAGAGAGAGAGGGGGGAGUACCCGGCGGGGUUUGUAUCGGCGGCGGGUUUAGGAUCAGAAUCGACAGACGGAGCGAACGAGGAGGAGUCGGGCUCCGAAGCCAUGGCCAGGGAUCGCCAUCUGGAGCUGCUUGUUGAUAUGGGGCUUCUUGCGUAGCUGAAUUUGGAGCAGCGGAAGCUAUGCAGUUUGUACGGACCGCACCGAUUUACGGGGAAAGAAACGGCCAAAAGUCUGCCGGAGCAGAGCAUCUCUCUCUCUCUCUCUCUCAAACCAGAAGGCAGAGCUUUCUGUUUCUCUUGAGGUUUCUUUCACUGGUAAAUUCCAGACAAGCAGAGAAGGCGGCUCUCUGAGAAAUGGCGAUGGUGCAAGUGGAGACAAAACAAAUGUAAAUCUUGAAGCACCGAACAUGUGCAGAACACUUGUCAACUACCGAACUCUAGGAUUAGGAGAGAGAGAGAGAGAGCGAGUGACCGGCCAAAAAAAAAUGGAGGGAAGUGGCUGAUUCUUCUUUUUAGUGGACCUGGUGUCCUUCGAUUCGAGUACUAUGUCAUAUUUAAAAUUUAGGGUUAAUUUUGUUUAAGUUUCUUAGUUUUCAACAUUUAGUACAUAAAGUUUUUUUCAUCUCAGAGUGGUACAUAAAGUCAUAAUUUUGAGACAGUCUAAUACAUCCGUUAAGGUUGCUGUUAAAUCAACCGUUAAAUAGUGACGUGGCGUCUAGGUGGAUAUUGACUGGACGACACGUAUCAUUAUGGGUCCAUGUGGAUAUUAAAAAAUUAAAAAAAAAAAAUUAAUGGGCCGUUCAACCCCUCCUCCCUCGACCCCCUCCCUUCUCUCCUCUGCACCCACCCUCCCCACGUCUGCAACCCAUCCCCACGUCGUCAUCUUCUUCUUUGCCCAGAUCCCGCAAGAAUCUUCUUCGUCGCCGACAACUCAGCCACCAUCUCCAUCUCCGCCUUCCCCUCCUCCGAACCCGACUCCUACCCACUUCCAGUUCCAAUUCACCCUCUCCCAAUUUGCCCACUUCUUGUCCGAUUUUCGCGCCACUAUUGAACCCGAGCCCGACCCACAAAGAUGCUUAGAUUCUGAAAAAGAGAUGACACAAAUGCAAGAAAUGGAAAGCAGUGUGGUUUAGAGGUUAGAAACUGAGCAAUUUUUGGAUUGCUUUUUGGUUUGAUCAAUUUAAAGAAAUGAAAUUCUGAGUCGAAUUUCUUGUUCGUUAUAUUCGAUCUCCGCUUGAGAAUUUUAAACUUAAUAAUUGCAAAUCAAGAUACAAAAUUGACAUGAAUUUCGAAUUGGGGUUUUGGGAAAUUUGAGAAGUUCUUGGCGAUUCAUAAGAAACUUCAACUCCCAAUCGUUUCUUCUCGCUCACAACCCGAGAUUAAUAAUUUUAAAGUUUGAGCUUGAAUGUUCUUUGUAAUUAAAGAACAGAUGUGCAUCCCUCUGAAUGGCAAGAGGGUGAAUAGGAAGCGAAAAUCGGUGUGUGGCAAAUCGGAGAGGGUUAGGGAAAAAGUUUAGAGUCGGGUUCGGAUGAGGGGAGGGCGGGGUUAUAUUUUUUGUCGAGGCGAAGAAGAUUCUGCGGGAUCUGGGCGAAGGAAGAUUGACAUGGAGGGUGGGUGCACAGGAGAUAAGGGAGGGGGUCAAGGGAGGAGGGUGAACGGCCCAAUUUUUUUUUUUUUUUGGGUCAUUUGGACCAUCUCACUCAUCACCUAAGACGCCACGAUCUAAUAUUAAUUCCGGUUGACUUUGUAAAUUGGAUGUAUUAAUUAACAAACAUAGAUUAGGACAUUGAUGAUUUAAAAUUUGGGGUUUUGUUCUUCAGAAAUUUGGUCGAAAUAAGAAAUUCCCUAAAAGUUCAAUUCAGAAGAGUUACUUGCCUUACAAACAUUUUUUAAAUACUUACUAAGAAAAAGAUUUUUGUGGGUGGGUACAGUAUGGGGUUUAACUCAUUGUGUUUUAGUUUAAAUCUUUUUCUCUCUUCUUUAAUAAUAUUUAGUAUAUUAUCAAUUCGUAAUAAAAAAAUUUUGAUUAAAAACUCUCAUCUAUAUUCUAGCCAAUGGAAAAAAAUGAAUAGUGAUUUUGAUGUUGCUUUAACAAAAUAUUUUUUAAAAACAAUGGACGGCUUUCAACAAAAAAUUUGAGUAAGAGGGGUUUUGCCUUAAGUAAUUUUUGAAAUUGAAUUCAUGGUGGUUUUUUGAUUUUAUUAAAUUAGUCCCUCCCAGCAAAAAUGUGAUCAAUUUCUCUAUAAAAGAAAUAUAAGAUAUAAAUGAGAUAAUAAAGGGGUCAUUAAUAAAGAGUUGAUGAUUGUUUUUUUUUUUUUACAAUUCACACUAAGGGGGAAUAAUUGAUUUCUUUGUUGGUGUUCAAAAGCUUUUAAAUUUAUCUCUUUAAAAUAGUUUUAAUAAUCUUUUAAUGUGUUUAGUUGCCAAAAUUUUAUUUUUUUAGCAAUGAUAUUAUCUCAAUUUGAUUGGGCUUAAAUUUCUCUUAUUUUUCAUUAAUUUUCAUAUUCAAAACAUCUUAAAUGUCGUAAAUGCCGAUCAAAUAACUCUUUUCUUUUUAAUUAAUUAAUCUAAAAUUAAGUAAAAAUGAAAUUAUUACAGAGAUUUUCGAAAACCAAAUUUACAUUAUUGAUUUUUUUAACCUUUUUACAAACAAUAUAUCUAGUCUUUUUGUUUUACAAAGUAAUAUUGAAUUUUUUCACAAGAAGGCUAACAUAUCACAUUCAUUGAUUCAUGAUCAAUAUUUAAAAGUCAAAAAAAUAUUAGUAACCAUUCUCUAUUUUAACACAAUGUUCCAAGAAACAAUCUAGGGAUUAUCGGAUUUAAUGACCAAGAGGUUGGAAUUUUCCCCGUAAAUAAAUGAAUUGUUAACAACAAACAUAAAAAACAAAGCAAUAAAGAAUUCAGAUAGUGAAUACCUACUAAACCAUGUGAACACAAGCAAAAUACUUCAGAAUCACAUGUUGUCGAAAAAAUACGACUAUUUCUAAUCAGAAUUACAAUAUACCACGUUUUGCCCAUCACAUAAAAUCCAAAAACUAGUUAGGGAGCUCAAAAAGGGAGCGGGUUUGGAAACCACUGAUACACGAAGUAAAGAGGUGGUACUGUUUUGGUAAAACACAAAAGGUGCGAAACAAAGUAAACAAAACGGAAGGAAGAUGUUAUAGUCAUUCUCAGCAACAAAAUUCGAGCUUGUUGUCGAAAUCACAACAGGAGACAAUUUCGAUUAACAGCCUUUCCUGCCAAACUCAAUUUCCAAAAUCCUACAUCACAUCAUAAAUCCAUUGUUUCAUUCCCACGCACAAUCCCUACCCACUGCACAGGAGAACAAUUGUUUCUGCAAAGAAAAAACAGUUAACAAAAAACGGCAUGCAUAUCGCAAAAUCGGGAUAGGAAGCAGAAGCUUUCCUUGUUUUCCUUAAACACCAAGCUCUACAUUCCAAAAAGAACAUGAAAAAAUAAAAUUAAAUAAAGAGCCUUUCCUGCUUAUUUUGAAUUAAGGCGGGGAGGUCGAGACACGGCUGGUGUAUUUUUGUUUUUUUAAUUGUCAAACUGCCCAGGACACGCUGGGCAUUUUUUUUUUUGUUUAAACCUGGGCCCAAAACGACGCGUUUGCCAUUUAAAAAAAAAUUCCUUGGGUCAUUUACCAAUUCCUUUUUUCAAAAAAAAAUAACUGGCCCAGCGCCUUCGUCUUCUACAAAGGCACAAAAGCCCAAAAACCCCGACGAACCUUCCGUUUCACAGUUGGUGUGAGCGAACGGUGGUCGCACCAGGGGUCGCACCACCAGUCCAAGGGUCUUAAAGUUGCUUCAUGCUCUCCAAGGUCCGCGACGUGGUUGCGCACCCCAAUUGAACCGCACAGGAUCCGAAUGGCUUCUUCCCAUACAUGCCAUCGAAAUUCAGCAAAAGCAAUAACCAGCGAUUUCUUCUGGAGAAUUUAAGCCACCCCAUUGGACCAACAAUUCAAUCAAAAGAAACCAGUAACCAAGUUCAAUUGAGUUUAGAAGCAUUUACAAUGUUCCCACGGAUGUUCAUCACUUUACCCAAUAGUUCGUUUCAAGAAGGAAAUUCCAGCAGAACUGAAACUUCAAAACUUCAGAAGGCACCAAAUUUUUGAAGUAAAUUCAUUUCAAGUUGAAAUAAUCAACUUAGGUGAGGACCCAUAAAAUUAGGAGGAACAUGAAAGAAAGCUUUAUCUUUUUCCUCUAAACUCAGGCGUUACUAAACAAACGGACAUUCACAUCCCCACCAGAUGCAUUUCCUUUCACAUCUUCCCAAGUAAAUCAGUACCUUCUUUCGUCUGAAUCUUAAGUCUGAAUUCUGGAAGUGAAAAUACUGGAAAAAAGUGGGCCUUUAUAAAAGAAUACCUCACGUUUUAGUCAAUGUAUCAGCGCACUAAGAGGACCAGAGGCAGGAGUGAACGACAGCAAACAAUUCAUGUAAUAUUCAGUCGAGUUUUGGGUGAUUUCUGCAGCGAUUUCGGAGGCCAAGAGCCUGAUAAGAAAGCUGGGACGGAAGGGCAGUGGUCUGGAAGAAAAGGCUCGGGUCACACUGUCGCGAUUCGCGAAGGAGAAGUGGCCCAAUACAAUUUCGGCCUGUUUGCACUGGACUGUUUUGCACAGGGCCAAGGCCGACCCUGAACCAGAUAAAGCUUCUCCAAACAGUAUAUAUCAGGUGCUAGAAAUUCUAUAGAACCAUUCAAUCUUAGAGCAACAGCUUAGCAUUAGUUGGUACAAAAAGAUUUCCGAUUAUCGCUUUUAUUUAUUCCUCCUCUGAUGUGUCCUUUUAGACUGCAACAGACGAUUUAAAGAAAUGAAAGUUAGCAGAAUAAAUGGCGCACAAAGGGAUUUAAAAUCCUGACAUGUGUAUUUUUGGCAGAUUUAUGUGAGCAUGCAACUAAAACUGGCAUCACUAUCAAUGGUGCACGAAGAUUGGCGGAAAAACGUAAAGGGAAGCAAUCACAACACAAAAUGUACGACGUAAUCUGUCCACAUGUUGGAAGGAGCUAUGAAAGUAUGGCUUUUCACUAAUCAGGCGUCCAGAGAAUCAAUAUUUUACUCACGGAUCAGUUACGGAGAACAAUCCCCACCAAAGCAAUCUCAAUAGUCCUCCACAUCUCAAACCAAACAGAAAUCGCACUAACAAACACGACUUCUAUACUAUUAGUCCUUCCCAUCUCAAAUCUAGUAAGUAACCCAUCUUUCGUCUGAAUCUGGAAAACAAGCAGCAGUGGAUUUAAAAAUCUGGGUAUCUCAAAGUUACUCACUUUAAUCACAAAUUUAACAAUUAAACAUAUAAAUGGGCAUUUUUAGUGAAAUAUUAGUGUAGUACUCACUGUGUGCUAGGAGCAAGAGUACCCAGAAAGCUCAAUGAGCUGCGCACAGAGGACUGCAGCGGUGAACGAUAGCGACCAAUUCUGUAAAAUUCAGUCGAGUUUUGGGCAAUUUCUGCAGCAAUUUCGGAGGUCAAGAGGCUGAUAAGGAAAGCUGCGACCAAAGGGCACUGGUCUGGAAGAAAGGCUCUGGUCACCGCUGUCGCGAUUCGCAAAGGAAGAAGUGCCCCAAAACAAUUUUGGCCCUGGGCAGGUGCACUGUUUGCACUGGGACAGGGCCGGCCCUGAAUCGCGAUAACGUCCUUCUCCAAACAGUAUAUAUACAGAUGCUAGAAAUAUCUACCAGAACCAUUCAAUUCUAGCGUCUACAGCUUUAGCAUCAGCUGGUACAAGGGACAUUCUUCCAUAGAGGGAGAUGAAAUCGUUGAGGCUCUUAUUUAUUCCUCCUCUUGAUGUGCCCUUUUAGACUGCUAAUUCCAGACGAUACAAUCUCAUGCAUCUUCCCUGAAAAAGGGUUGCCACACAUCGAGAUCAAAUUUUUCCAAUAAAAUUAACUUAAAAAUCAAACUCGUUAGCAGAAUAAAUGGUGCACAAAGGGAUUUAAAAUCUAGACAUAUGUGUAUUUUUGGCAGAUUUUAAGUGAGCAUGCAACUAAAACUGGCAUCACUAUAAAUGGUGGACAAAGAUUGGCGGAAAAACAUAAAGGGAAGCAAUCACAAAGCAAAAUGUACUAAGUAAUCUGUCCACAUAUUGGGAAAAAUUUUUAACAGUUUGAUUUGUAACUUCUCCAUUGUAUUAGUUAAAGACAAGACGGUGUCAACCAUGCAAUUUGCUGAUGAUUUUACUGAUGAAUGCAGAGUUAGCUGAUGAUACGACAAGCAAUUGAAAAUCCCAUCAUUAUACCCCACAUAUACCAAAAAAGCAAGUCAUUUGCACAAAUUCAGAAGGUUCAUCCACUGCAAUUUGCAGAUAUAGAAAUGUUAAGAUAAAUGGAAAUACAAAGUACCUUUCACCCAAAUUGGAGGAACACCGGUGGCAUUAGCAAGUUAGCAUCGGGAAUUGACAUUACCAGUAUCUUCACAGUUUCUGCGGUGGAGUUAUGUACCUCUCCUUGGAAAAUGCCACCAAAGCCGCCGCAACGCGGUGUAGUGUCCGAUUGAUUGCUUCAAAACAAAGCUUCGUAUCCAUGUGUUUAAUCAGCACAGAGUACCCAAAACCCCUGAAAAUUAUUUCUUUAUUCAGACAAUAAAAUUUCCCAAAUUUCGAAUUUUAAUUCCAAAUCAAAAAUAGGGUUUGAAUUUUGAUUACCUAGAAAUUGGGGGGUUGGGGUGGAGAGGGACCCGGGCCAGGACGGAGCUAUGUGUAUAUGCUAAGGCGUGCCAAAUUACAUAGAGUGUCAGGAAUGUGUACAAGUCUUUUGCAAUUUAUCAGACUUAAAACCUGAAGCCCCGUAAGGCGUUCAAUCCAGGGGGAAAGCUCUUUGAUAGAUGUUCCACCCAAGAAAAGCAUUCUUAAUCCUUCCAUAUUUUCUUCAAUGCUUGGAAACACCUCAAAUUUUGUACAAUUGUAAAGAGAGAGACGGUAAAAGGAUUUGAGUUGACAAAUGCUGCUUGGAAGACUCUCAAGUUCCUUGCAAUUCAUCAUAAGCAAACACCUCAAUCCCGUGAGAUUAUUAAUUGACAGGGGUAGUUCUUUAAUUUUUGACCCAGAUAAAUCAAGCUCUUCUAACCCCUCAAUAACUUCUGAAAUCUCUGGAAACAUCACAAGACUCGAGCAACCAGAAAGAUCAAGGGUUUUGAGAGAUUUCAUACGAAUGCUGCUUGGAAGACUCUCAAGUUCCUUGCAAUUGUUUAGGUCCAAAUAACUCAACCUCGUGAGAUUAUUAAUUGACAGGGGUAGUUCUUUAAUUUUUGACCUGGAUAAAUCAAGCGCUUCUAACCCCUCAAUCACUUCUGAAAUCUCUGGAAACAUCUCAAGACUGGAGCAGCCAGAAAGAUCAAAGGUUUUGAGAGAUCUCAUACAAACUUUGCUGGGUAGAAUCUUAAGUUCCAUGCAUUUUGAUAGGUUCAAAUGACUCAACCCCGUGAGAUUAUUAAUUGACAGGGGCAGUUCUUUAAUUCUUGACCCGGAUAAAUCAAGCUUUUCUAACCCCUCAAUCACUUCUGAAAUCUCCGGAAACAUCUCAAGACUCCGGCAGCCAAAAAGACCAAAGGUUUUGAGAGAUCUCAUACAAACUUUGCUGGGUAGAAUCUUAAGUUGCCCGCACAAACUCAGAUCCAAUAAAACAAUUUUUGUAAGAGCCAAAAUCGACCCGUGAACCUCAACUAAGCGUGUACAACCUUGAACAAUUAGCCUCUCAAGAUUUGGCACAUUUGUGAAGUCAGGGGUUAUCUCAAGGUUAUGACAAUGACUUAAAUUGAUGAAUUUCAACUUUUCCUGCGUCUGUUAAAACAUUCAGGAAAACAUGCAUUACUUAAUAAGACAUCUCACUCAAAGCCCAAACAUUUAAAAGAAACAAAUACAUGUAAAUGAUUGUACAUACCUGGGUUCCUUCCCAAAGUCGGUCAAUGAGGCUAUAUUGCAUGUCAAGUCCAACAAGAUUUUCGAAUUGAAAGUUGGAUGGCAAAGACUUGAGAGGGUAUCCAGACCAGGAAAGACACCUCAACUCACUAGAAACAAACUUUAAGGGCCCAGUCAGGUGUUGUAUGCCGUGAGCACUGAUCUUGAGAAGUCUUAGUUUAGUCAUCCUAUCAAAAGCUUCAACCAUUAAGCAUCCCUCAUCUGAGUUCCACGAAUCGAGGAUUAUGCUUUCGACUGUUUCUGUACCCUGUGCAAAUCAAAGGGAAGGAAAAAGCAGAGAACCUUAGUUUAGAUUAUGAAGUUAAUGCUUGUUUCUUAAGGAGUUGUUUGAUAAUAAUUUUGUUUUCACUUUUCACUUUUGUUUUGAUUAUUUAUUUAGAAAUCUGAAAAUUGAAAACAUAUAACUUGUUUGUAAUUGUUUUCAAUUUUCAAUUUUCAAUUAUUAAAAAAAUGAAAAUUAAAAAUUAAAAAUGGAAACAAAAGUGGUUAUCAAACGAGCUUAAGAAAUUGAUUUUGGUCAAAAGUUGAAGCUUUCUACUAAACAUUGCAUAAGAAAAGAAAUUAUCACCGUAUUUUUAGUUAUCACAUGAAAAACAUCUUCAUAACUCCACAACCUACUUCGUCUCCCAGGCUCUUUGAUAGAUUCUUGGUAGACGAUUUUCUGACCCAUUUCCUCUAGUAAAUCAUGCAUCUCCAGUUCCCCCUUCGUUGAGACAGUUACUAGAGCUCGAUCGAUUAGAACUUUUAUUCCAAUAUCAGGAUAGAAACCACAGCUGUGCAGAACUUCGGUUGCACAGUCUUCUCUCAUUCCUUUAAAGUAACAUGCAAUAUCUAGAAAGAUAUCCUUCUCCAUGUCAUCUAGUCCAUCGAAGCUUGUUUUAAGCACAUCAUGAAUUCCCUUUUGCGGGAUUUUCUUUAUUUUUUCUAACUCAUUUUCCCACUGGCGUACAUUUUUGUUAUAAAGAAAAGCUCCCAAGACUUUGAGUGCUAAAGGCAGACCUCGAGCAUAUUUUACGGCACGACGGGAGAGAUCAUCAUAAUCUCUGGUGGGUUGGUUUUUUCUGAAGGCGUACCGCCUAAAGAGUUCCAGAGCUCCAGAAUCACUCAAAAUCUGGGGAUUAUAUAUCUCACCAGCUAUGCUUAGUAAUUGCGAAUCUCUGGUUGUUAUAAUAAUUCUGCUUCCACCACCAAAGGAAUGUGGCUCUCCAAGUAAAGCUUCAAUAUGUUCUAAUUCUUCCACAUCAUCAACAACAAUAAGAACUUUUCUCCGACCUAGACUAUUUAACAUCACCUGGAAACCUUUAUUCGAAACGUCGGAACUCCCCACCCUGUUGUUCGAGAUACUCGAUAGAAGUUCUGCCUGCAUAUGUAGUUUGCCAUGCUUCAUGAAACCUUCCUUGAAAUUUUCAAGAAAGCAACAAGCUUUAAAUCCACCAGAGAUUUCAUUAUAAACAGCUCUCUAGCGAUGGAUGUGUUUUUUGCCUAAACCCACACCCAUACCCCCAUAUUCCAACAAUGCGAACAUCAUAUUAGUUUCAACUCCAGGAGGAUGCAGUAAUGAAUGCAUGUUAUGCAUAUGAGAGUCCAUUUCAACCAAGCCAUUAUAUUUGCUUGAUGAUGAUGAGAUGUAUCGCCGACCCCACUUAGUGGGAAAAGGCUUUGUUGUUGUUGUUGUUGUUGAUGAUGAUGAGAUGUGGAUCAAUUUCUUAAAAACAUCUUCUACAAUUUUCUCAAUAAGCUCUGCAUCAUCCCUGUCAAAUUUAAAACACAAUAUAAUUACAACACCAAAUGAUACUUAAUGGGUCGUUUUGAUUACAAUUUCGUUUGCAAUUUUUUUUAAAUCUAGAUUUUAAGUUUGCAGAUUUUGUUUUCAGUUUUUAGUUUCAAUGAAAGUAGUUAUUAAACAAGUUUUCCAAUUUUUCUUUCAUGGUAUACAGUACGUAGUCCCAAAUAUCAGUAGUUAGAUCUUGCAUUUAGAUCUAAUGGGUAUUUACAACCUUUUUUCCUGAGAAUUUUGUACCAUUGUAGCCAGAUCACAUGUUUUCAUCCGUUAGUUUUAUAAAAAUGGAAACUACAAAAAAAAAAAAAAAAAAAUAUAUAUAUAUAUAUAUAUAUAUCAAAUGGCCCCUAAAUGCUAUUAAAAAUCUCAAAAAUUAACAGGAAACUAAAACAAAUUAGAAUUUAUUCAUGGUUUCGCAAAUCCCAGCCGGAUAAACUGGUGGCCGUUGUAAGAGAGAGGACCUCCAGCCGGAUAAACAUUUUCGAGUUAUUUGAUAUUUGUAUAGUAAAAAUACUUUAAUAGCAAGUGCGCGUGAGUGAAGAAAUUGAACUUACUUAUAUAUUCUUCGAAUCCCAACCGGAAAAAUUGCAGGCUCUGGGAAGAGCGGACCUCCAGCUCUGCACCUCCUUCACGUCACGUUACGAAGAACGACUUCAUGUUUAGCAAAAGCUUCUGCAAAACUUCCCUCGAGUUUACGUUUUACGAAUAUUGGACGGAUCGACUUGGUAGAAAAUGGGGAAUACAAUCUGGUUCUUGGAAUGGUUGCAUUCCAAGAUUUCCACGAGAGUUCUUUCAAGCACCAUGUGGAUGAAGCAUAGUUUUGAGAGAAACUACACUACAAUCGAAAUCCUUGACUCUCUCGAAUCGCUGUCAGGAGCUCGAAAAGGCGGUCGCCUUUUUCUGAGGUCUUCAAUGAUGGCAUCAAUGAAGGUGUUUCUGAUUGUUUCUAGAUUUGUAGAGAUGCUCUUUGUAGAGAUGGCCUGACGAGAACCGCGAGUGUCUUUCCCCUCUAAAAAAACUGAUGAACACAUCUCGUCCCAACCAAGGCAAGAAGAAGAAGAAGAAGCAAGCCAUUAAUCGAUCUCACCUGGGCAGCGAUGAUCUCAGAGCAGCUAAGACUAAGCAAGAAUUGUAAGUACAGAACACUCAAUAGAUCUACAAAUUGGAUCCAGAAAUUAGUCAAUGAGUCAAUGCAAAAGGGAAAAGGGCAAUUAUGCUUUUUGCGUUUUCACAUCUUUCUUCAGGAAAUUUCGGUGUGAAAGGAAUCCGCAUACUUUUGAUUUUUCAACCCAAGAAAAUGCGAAGAAGAAGGGUACAAAGUAGUAAAUUUAAUCUACAGUUGCCUACCCAACACAACUCUCUUGAUUAAUAAUAUAUAUUUAAUUGGGAAAAGUAGUUUAGAGGAAGGAUGUUUUAUCUCCUUUUUCUUCUCUCUCGAACAGUCAAUCUUCCGUUCCCGUGCGAUUUAAUCAUGAUUAAAGCUAAGCUUAAUCUUAGGUCGUAUUAUUUAGGUCUAAUUGGAUUCUUAAUUCUUGUUGUGAUAUAGUAGUUCGAAGAUUAAAAAAAAUUAUGAUUUAAACGUUUGUGGUGAAAUCUGUUACGAUUUAGAUUCAAAAUUGAAAAUUUCGUUAACUCCAUUAAUUGUUAGCACAUGAAGAAACACUCACAAAUGAAACUAAAAAUAAUAAAGUUAGCCCUCACAUGUAAUCUUCACGUGCUAACAAUGAAAAGAAAGUUCCGUUUUAGCUUAAUAUAUGUGACUCACGUGUUAAUAAUUAACGGAAUAUUAACAAAAAAAUUUAUUUUAAGCAUAAAUUCAAAUAAACUUCACCACAUAAGCUUAAAUUCUAAUUUAGAUAUCUUCUAACUAUCUUAUCACCAUAAAAAUUAUAAUCAAAUUAAACUUAUUAUUUAUUUAUAAAUGCGUAACUAAAUCACAAAGUGUUGAAUGAAAGGGAGCACUCCAAAUGAUGAAAGGGGUAUGAUAUCCACACAUCUUUUUUUUUACUUCUUACACAUCGUUUUAAUUUUCGACCGUCGGAUCAAAUUAAUUGAAGAAUAUCAAAGGAUAAAAAUCAACAAAGGGUGUGUAAGAAGUAAAAAUGAGUGUGUGGAUAGCCAUCCAUGAUGCCAAAAUGAAGCAAAAAGCGGGAGCAUCGAAAGCUAUCUCCGUUUUGUUGUUCUAGCUUUGUCUUCUUUUGGCAGAUAGCUCCUAGGGACCGGCCUAUUUUCCACAGCUGGUUAUAGACUCAGUUGUGCUAUAUAGAAGGGAGUGUUUUGUUGUAAUUCCAAUAUCGAUGGAAAUCCAACAGCCAAAAUCUUUUCAAAUUUUUGUGAGGAUUUUGGGGUGUACGUAAAUUGAUUAUGUUUAUCGUAUAUUGUGUGAUCAUUUUUUAUCAAAUAUUAUUUGUGUUUCAUUUUAAAUAAAAUAAUUUAAAAUAAUUUUUAACUACAAGAUGUACGAUGAACAGAUAUAAUUCACAAAUCUCCAAAAUCCUUACAAAAAAAUCCGAAAAAGAUCCAAAUUCAAUGGAAAUAAGCUAAUUUUGAAUCAAAUUACAUUACUUUAUUUUGUAAAUAAAUUUAAUUUUGAAUUGAACAACACAUUCAUUUAUUAUGUAAGUAAUUCAUUUUGUAUGUAUCAUCAUAUAUAUUAGGCACAUUUUAUCAUAGGUGAUUUUGUGAAAAAUUAAUAAAAAGUUACAAUAUUAACAAUAGAUCAAUAAUAUUUAUGUUAAUUAUAAAUAGGUUAACCAUGUAUUGUGAUACUUAAAUACAUUUAAAAUAAAUAAAAAUUACAAAAUCUACUACUACAGCUAGCAUUCACUUCAACUAAAACUCUCUUCCACGUAGUUUUUAUAUUUGGAAUAAGUCAUACGAAUCAGAGACAUGAAGAGGUGUAAGAACUGUGAAUGUCCAACAACAAAGACUUCGGAGUUUGUUGUCGAAUAUCUGCAGCGCAUCAUUUCUGAUAGAUCAAAUCGAGCCAAUUCCCGCAAACUCCAAUCCCACCACCACCUUUCAAGCCGGCCUCAGCCCUCCGGGCGGCAUUUGGCAGGACAGCACUGGAUCAAACAAGAAUGGGACUGGCAGUGGGAGCAAUGAACGAGUACACUCAGCAGGGAAGUCCAUCAUGCGUUAAGGCAAAUGGUUCUCAAACACAAAGCAAUAGUUCGCUACCGAAAACAACCAAAGUCUGACAAAGGGAACCGUCUUACACCUAACCUGUUUUUCCCUCAUCAAAUGAGCGCGUUGAUCUGCAGAUAUUUUCUGCCAUCUCAAAACCUGUUACAAAGAAAUAUAACGUUGAUGUCGAGCUGGAUAGCAUAUUAUACCAAUUAUGUGUACAAACCUAUUGAAAUAAAGUAGCUGUAGUUGCAUAUUACGACAGAUAUUAACGAAAACAAAAGAAGGCUCGCCUAUUCAAGAUCCUAAAUCCCAUGAUUCUUUUGUUUUUAGUUUCAGAAAUUUUCAGAGCACAAACUGGAAAGUACCAAGAUACUUACAUAUUGGGCAUAAUGAAAUGCAUCUUCAUCUUUCAAGCAAGAUUUGAGUGAGCGCAAACCGUCCUGAGAGUUACAUAGAGUCAAUCGGUAAUAUAAAAACGUAGAUGCAUCACACCCAAACACAAGUAUUCAAACACCGACAACUUCUUCAUGCGGUGAGGCAUGUUAAAAAAUAGGGAAGAACAGUUAUUGAAUAGGAAGUUAAAGGACUAAAUUUAUGACCUUGUGUUUGUAGUUCUUGGCUCGUAUGCGUUCAUCUAUUACAAAACCAAUCUGUAACAGGUACAACAGAAAAUAUAAGCAGUAGUCAGAACAUUAAGCAUCGGCAUUCACAUUGCCGCCAAUCCAAAGUUAAAAGUCUAAAGGCAAAACAGUAUGAUUCUUAUCUCUCAAACAAAAAUGAAACUAUACCCCAGACAUAAAUGAAAUAAGUUCUACUGCCUCAACUGAGUACUGUGAUUAUAUAUAAAUCCAAUUCACCUUGUCAAGUAAUCUCUUAGGAUCUUGAAAUGCUUGCUUCUUAGCCCAGUCAUUAAAUACAUGCGAGAUAAUCGAUCUCUCAUCCACACUGAAUCUAUUGUACAGUGACAGAAUAAUAAAGUUAAACAUGAACAUAACCAACCAAAAAUGCUAGUUAUAAUAGUACACCCAUAAUUGCAAGCAAAACCUUUUUAAGAAGCCAUUUCCAUGGUUUUCCUCCCCAAAUUCCAUCAAUUCUGCAGAGGCAACGUCAAAUUUACUAUGAUGGAGAUCAUUUUGAACCAUAACAACUUCAGAAGGUAGGAGAUUUGGUUUGAGAUCAUCUGUUGACGGAGUAGUUUCUUUUGAAGGGUCAUGAUGCUUUGAUUGCAAGCCUUCUGUACUUACGUCAGCCUACAAAACAAAAAUUGCAUUCAACCCACACUAGACUUAAUAAGAUUAGAAACACUUCAGAUUCUUCAUUAUUUGUAAGUUUGACUAAACAGCAGAACAACUGAGGAUAAUGAACAGUAAUACACACCUGGACUUCUCGUAGAGAUUUGGAAUUUCUUUCAGAAAUCGCGAAGGUUGAAGCAUCUGAAGGAGUCACCUUCUCAGUCAGAGCAACAACAACAAAUAAGGAGGACAGGAAUUCAAGCUAAAACGUACCUGCCAACUGGAAUCCAUCGUAACAUAAAGAAUGAAAAGCUUUUUUCGAGCACGAGUCAUUGCAACAUAUAAUAGGCGUCUUUCCUCCUAUGAUUAGAGUGGGAUUAUUGAGUUAUUGACCAAAAGAAAAAAGAGUGGGAUUAUUGUGAAAAACACUUCAAAGCUCUGCAUAUAACUGAAAAAUGUUGAACAAUUUACCCCACACCUCAAUGGAGGUCCCAUUUUCUUUUGCAACGCCAUUGAAUUCAUGCAACAACGGGAUCUCAGAUUCAUUUACCUGUGUUAUUGGCAUGAGCAUUAAAGCAAGCUAAGAUGAUUUGAAGAGGUUGAUAUCGUCAUGAUUAUAGUAGAACAGAAUACCAAUUUCAAGUCAUCAAUUAGGUAUAGCAUUGGCAUGUUUAAUCAGUAAAUCUAAUGACAGAACACCUCAACUCUACACAUAAAUAAAUAAACGGUCGUACCCAGUGCACAAGGCUCCCGCUUUACGCAGGGUCUGGGAGAGGUGAAUGUCGGCUAGCCUUACCCCCAUUUAUGGAGAGGCUGCUCCCAAGUCUCGAACCCGAGACCUACCGCUCAUGGGCGAAGGCACUUGCCAUCGCACCAAGUGCGACCUCUACACAUAAAUAAAUAAACAACCUGAAAAAUAUUACAGCCACUUGUUAAGGCAAAUACCUUAAUUAUGAAAACUAUAUCCCACUCUAAACCUUUUGACUGCAAGAGAAUGAAAAAGAAAGACAGUAAGCCAAGAAUGUUUUGUAGAACUCCAAAGGAAGUCCAAUAGGGAAAUCAUCGCAAGUACAAGAGUUAGCGAGGUUCGCAUAAGAGGAUAUCAAAAAGAUCUAUAACCUGAUGAAUAGUAGUCAAAGUGACAGAACUUUGGUUGUCAUGUCUUCGGGAGUGAAAAUUUUCACUCUCCCGCUCAGAUAUGUAGUCGAUGAAUGCUUUGAGUAAAUUAACGCAGCCUUUUUCUUCUGCUACGACUUCUCUCUCCCCUUUUCCCGCAACAAAAUGAGUUGAUAAGAAAUCAGAUACGUCGUCUAGUAGGUACUGAAGAACCUGCAAUGAGAAUAAUCGCAUCACAACAACAGAGUUGGACCAAGAUUUAAGUGACAACAAUGAUUAACUAACUAAAACAGAGAAAUUAUUCAUUUAAGACCUUGUUGACUGAAAAAAGGGUUUUCCAAGCAGCGGGUCAUUUAAGCUUAUUGUAUAAAUGACAAUCAUCACAAACGGCAAACUUACAGAUCUCACGUCAUUGUCUUCAUUCAGCAGUUUUCCUCCCUCUAUAUCAACGACUGCACGUUGCUCAAGACGGUACUUCUAAAAAUUGAAAGUCAAACGAUAAAUGAUUAAGAAGUAUUGAAUAUAAGCAUGAAACGAAGAAAAUGUUAUGGAAUGGUGAUCCUCAUCCUCAAAGAUGAUUAAAAGCAAUUUGAUUCAAAAAUGACAUAUCAACUCUGGAGAAAUGGAAGACAAACCUGUGGUACCAUAUUCGCAACUGAGGUUAUGACAGCUGAAAUCGAUUGUUCCUGUGUGCAUUAAUAAGUGAGACUACCAUAGAGAUUCACAACUAAAUAAAGACAGGUAUUCCACAGAACAACCUUUACCUCUUUGGAAACACAGAUCUAACAAAAACUAUAACAUUUUGGAUUAAUAUUGACGAAUCAAGAAUAAUGCAAGGGAGCAAGAGAUACUCUUCCUUCUAAUAACAAGGAGGUGUGAAAAGUAUACAGAGUUCCAACAAUUAGAGAACUAAAAUCAAACUAAAAAAAUCACCAAAGUAGACAGAAUCUCACUUCGCCAAAAAUUUGAAAAUAUAUCCUUUUUAUCCAUUGAGAUUCAUGAACUACUACUACUACAUCAUGCCAAUAAGCAAUGCGUAAGAGGUGCUACAAUUUACCGAAUAUAUUUACCCUGAGAACAAGUUUUGAAAUCAUCUCUAGUGUUAACAGCACCUUGCGUCCUUGGGUAAGCUGAGUCCUAUUAUCAAGUAAAGAGACCAAUCAGUACAUAUCCAAAAAGAUCUUAAAUGCUUGUAAUACCAAAUAAGAAAGAAACAUGAGUAUAUCUUGAAUUAACCAUGCAAAAAUGUAAUGUUAAAGCAUCUUGUCAUACAGACCUCUUCAAGGUACCAGAAAUUUUUGCACUAAAGAUGUCACAAGCAGCUGAUAUGAAGCUGCAUUUUCUGUGAGUUGAAAUUUUGUCAAUAUAAUCGAUCACCUGAAGAGAGAGAGAGAGAAAAAGACAGUGAUAUCCAGAGAUGUGAGCCUAAAUGCUGAGUGUGUGUAAAAAAAAGAAGAUUAAAUGGAUAGCAAGAAUAUACAACUUUAAUGCUGAAAAGAACAUUGAAUAUGAUGUUCAUUCAUCAUUCCCAUUGAACGUGUACCUUCUUCUUUUCCUCUUUCUCAAAAGCAAGUAGAGCCUUGAAGACUUGCCUAUAUGAUCCAUCAUCACAACCAGGCAAAGUUGUUUUAAUCAUAGCAACAAUGGCUCUAACUACCUGCCAUAAGAAACAUGCUACAUCAACAAGAUCACAGAGUGUACCAGAAACCGUAAUGUAGCAAAAUCUUGGAUAAAAUAGCUGGCCAAAAGGGAAUGGAAAAGCAAGCACGAAAAACAAUGAAAAGGACCAGUGAUGCCAAAAUUCUGGUGGAAAAGGUGAAAAGCUUAUGUCUAUUACAGUUCUUGUAUGCAUUCUUUAUAACUUAAGUUCUACGUAGCAAAAACCACCUUAUGCACAACAAUAUUGGAAAAAUUAGAUACAUACAACUGAGAAGAUAGGUUUUCAUAAUCUGGACAAGUGCUAACUACCUUCUUCCUAUAAACUGCCACUCCAUGAACAUUAAAUGGUAUUUUCCUUUCACGCAAGGCUGUCUGGAAGACUUUUCCUGAUACCUGUAGCAUAAAAUACAAAAGAAAAUGUGACCAAAAUGUCUUAUAUGAUUCACCUCAUUCACAUUAGCACUAAGGCAAGUAAGCUUGACCUGCCUCCGGUAAAGGAUUGCUAUAUUUCCAUAGAAGCACCCUGCUUCUGACCGUUUAGAUGCAGUCUCCAGGAUCUUGUCGACAACAAAGGCACAUUGUGCAUCCUCAUUGUGACUUUCCUUGAUAAUUACCUACAUUUUGCCAGUAAAACCAGUGUCACUAACUAAAAGGACUGAAAAAUGACAUCAAAUUGUACUUGUUGGAGCAAGGAAAGAUUAAGUACCUUAGACCCAGAAGAAUUGUCCGUGUCAACAUUCUUUAGUUGGCAUCGCUUCUUAUUGUUUUUUAUAACAGAAGAUGCAGCUUCCACAAUAUAGCGUGUGGACCGAAAGUUUUUAUUAAGCCUAAUCUGAACCAUAAAGUUAUGUCAAAUCCCACAGAACCCCAUAAAAUAAAACUUACUUUCCUGUAAUUGUACAAUAUAUUUGUUCUAUACUAUAUAUAAUGAAAAAAGACACUGUGAAUGACAUAAGAUAACAUAGCAGUCAAGUGCGAAGCGAACCUCUUUGUAAUUUGAAAAAUCUUUACGAAAAGAAUCAAAUCCAGAAAUGUCCGCCCCAUUGAAACUGAAAAUGGACUGCAGCAGGAUAUAUGUUAUUUGAUUUAGAACAGAUAAGGGCUGGAUUAGAAUGAGCUGAGAGAGAGAGAGAGAGAGAGAGAGGGAGAGAGGGAGAGAGGGAGCAAUAACAUUGGAUUUCCAUAAUAAAUCAACAACAUGCCUGAUCAUCAUCACCAACAAUGGUUAUGUGGUUAUGAGAGGCGAGAAUCCGCAAAAGACUAUAUUGCAUAGCACUUGUGUCUUGAAACUCGUCUAUUACAAUAGCUUUCCAUGACUCCUGGCACUCCUUCAACACUAAUUAAGAGAACACCAUGUAUCAACAUUUAGCAUUACUUGUAAAACUAGAUAAAUCAAUGAAAUAUACUUAGAUGAUAGAGACCUUCAGGAAAAUCACUUAGCUUAGCAGCUUCACAGAGCAGCUAAUUAAGUCGUGGUAGUCCAAAGCGUUGCACGAUUUCAAGAUAUCAUUGUAAUUCCUAAGAAUUUCACCCUGAUUCAGAUUGAGAGCUAAAACUCAUAAGCAAUAGUUUCAAAGAACUGAAAUGAUAUCUGAAAUUCUAGUUCUGAGCGUACUCCUGUCACAUCACCCAUUCUUCGGCAUUCAGCGGGAGUCUUUCCAGAAGCUUUUGCCUGAAACAUAAAUAAAUUUAUUGCCUAAUGCCACAUAUUGUAAGACACACCAUUGUAUUGGUCAUUCUAGCUUGAUUGUAGCUAAUAUUUUUUAAAUCGAAUGAUUAGAGUUCUUAAUCCACAAUAAUCUGAACAUUAAAUUUCGUAUUCAAGACUAACCUGUGUCACAAACUUCAGCCAUUUCUUUGAUGCAUCCUUAAAAUGAUGUGGAGAUGUUACGCCGUUAGACUCUUCCCCAUCUAUAGCAACAUUAAGAUUCGUUUUACUCUUUUCAUCUUCUGAUAACCGCACAGCUUCAAUGAUUGCUCUUCUCUGUUGCCCAUGUCCAUAUAUCAAAAAUUCUGGUCUGCGCUCGAGUCUAAAACACAAGCCAACAUAACAGACUCAGCUGUACCACCAUAUGUAUGGUGUUCAAAAUCAAGGGAGGUGAAUCAAUAGCUUACUUCUCAGCAUGUGAUCGGCAAAGUUGCAAUGAAAAUGAAUGCAAUGUACUGAUUGUUAGUAGUUUUGCCGUUGCUUUCCCAGUCACAGAUCCAAUUCGAUCUCUCAUCUCGGAAGCUGCUGCUGUAGUGAAAGUCAUUGCUAGAAUGUUCGACGUGCUGAUGCCCUAAGAACACAAAAAAAAAAAAAACGAAUAAGAUUUCGAUCAUAAACAAGAAAUGUAGAGAAACACACAAUUAUGAAAGAAAAAGUUAGGGGGAAGUAGCAACACCUCAUUGAGCAGCAUUAGAACGCGCCCAACAAUCAUCAAAGGUACUGAAAUAUCGCUGCAAGCUGCCUCGCGCUGCCUUUCGUUGAGAGAAAGCUAAUACUUCAAAUACUCAUCCGGCAUGUUAGGCAAUCCAUGGUUAACGGAAUCCGUUUGGUUUUCACUACUCAAAGGCGGCGCUGAUGCGGCACGAACGUCACUACCACAACUCCCAAUAUCAUCACGCUGAAUGUCCACACUUGGUUUCUGCUCAAUUAAAGCGUCAAUUUCCUGCAAAAUACUCUCAUCGAAAUCAUCAUCGUUAAGAAUUCCAGAUGCAGAGAAAGAAUCAAAUGAAGUCAGAAACUGAUGUCUGAUUGGAGUUGUGAAAGAAUCCGAUUUUGACACGCUUGAUUCUGUCCGGCUAACGCUUAAGCUCCCGGAACACGAAGCACUGCCAUAUUCACCACGCGCUGAAUUGUACCGGCUUGCGGAAAUCGGAGGCGGUGUUCUUUGAACUCUAUUGAGCUGAGUUGGCGUUUGGAUUCCAUUUCCGCCACAGAUUCUGGAAUUUGAAAAACACAAUUGAAUUGAUUUAAAUUGAAGCAAGAAAACAGCCGAGUAGCCAAAAAAUAGUAAGAAGAUGAAACCUUUGAUUCCUGAACGACUUACUUGGUAUGAGGGAGGUGAUGAUCAGGUGAAACGGCGUCGUUGCGGGGGCGUUUGCGAUCAAUGAGGGCCUUGGCGGCUCUGAAAUUCCGAGAGAUGCGGUUUCUUUGUUCCGCCGUGAGCCCUCCGCCGUACGCCUGAACGUUUUCCUUGGACAUUGCUUCGAAGAUUCCAACGGAGGAUUUGGCCUGACGGCCUGACCAGGCUGAUAACAGUGUAAAACCUUAGGAGCUAAGGAAAAACUAAGAGAGAGAUCGUAGAGAGGGAAAGUUUUUUCUUUUUGGAAACCAGUAGAGAGGAAAAGUUUGUUAAACCUGAAUAAUAUUCUUUUGGCCUAAUCGGAUAAAUGGUCCCGUGGUCAUAAGGUAUUCGGAUGAUAGGCCUGUGGUAAAAAAAUUCAGAUUUAAACCCCUGUGGUCUAAAUCUGUUAGGAUUUAUGCCCUUUUGUUAAAUAAUGCUGACGUGGCUGCCACAUAUAUGCCACGUGGCUGCCAAAUGUCUGCCAUGUGGCAAAAAUAAUAAUUUUUAAUUUUUUUUUUUAAAACCUGAAUUUUUACAAAAAAAUAAAAAAUAAAAAACCCAGUCCGGCGAGGGGGGGAGCUGGUCUCUGGCGGGAGGAAGAAGAAGAAGAAGAAGAAGAAGAAGAAGAAGAAGAAGAAGAAGAAGAAGAAGAAGAAGAAGAAGAAGAAGAAGAAGAAGAAGAAGAAGAAGAAGAAGAAGAAGAAAGAAGAAGAAGAAGAAAAGAAGAAGAAGAAGAAGAAGAAGAAGAAGAAGAAGAAGAAGAAGAAGAAGUCGCGCGGGGAGACCGGCGGGAAGAAGAAGAAGGAAGAAGGAGAGGGAGGAGGGUCGCGCGGGGAGAGGGCUCCGGCGGGGGGGGGGGGGGAGCUGGUCUCCGGCAAGAAGAAGAAGAAGAAGAAGUCCAGCGGGGGGGGAAGGGCGAAGGGCGGGGGGAGCUUCUGGGUUUUUUUUUUUUUUUAAAUUCAGGUUUUUUAAAAAAAAAAUUAAAAAUUAUUAUUUUUGCCACGUGGCAUAUAUGUGGCAGGCACGUCAACAUUAUUUAACAGAAGGGCAUAAAUCCUAACAGACUUAGACCACAGGGGUUUAAAUCCGAAAUUUUUUACCACAGGGGCUAUCAUCCGAAUACCUUAUGACCACGAAAACCAUUUAUCCGAUUAGGCCUAUUCUUUUCAUUCAACUUGUCUACAAUAAUUACUAUUGGAUAAGUAUAUAGGCUGUGUCAUUACUACUACACGUGCAAAACAUGUGCACAUAUGGCUUACUAGAUAGAAUAGUAUAAAUACCUUUUCCUUUCCUUUAUUUUGUAAGAGGUUGUAAUACCUAAAACAGUUAGAGAAAUAUAUUGUAAUUCUUUCUGACUUCUCCUCUAAGCUUCCUUCUUCAGUGUAUUUCUUAAUUUCUAUGGAAUUCAUCUCUACUGUUAAGAUGGUAUCCAGAGUCGUUCUUGCUUGCGCAAUGGUACUGGUUCAUCGUUUCCAUUGCUUCGACUGGUAAGAAGGUGAUAUUGCUUAUGGGCUUUGUCUCUGGAUAUUUGUUCUUUGCGUUGGAAACCCUAAAAGAGUUUAGUGUUCUUCUUCUGAAAUUUCGUUUGAAUUGAAGUGUAAUUGAAGGCCGAUGCCAUAGUUUUUUGGUUAAUUGAAGAGUUAUAUGUUGAUUUGAUGAAAGGCCGAUGCCAAAAUUUGUUGAGAAUUUUCAAUUUCUUGAAGUGAUUUGAGUUGAUUGAAGGCCGAUGCCAUAGUUUUUUGGUUAAUUGAAGAGUUAUAUGUUGAUUUGAUGAAAGGCCGAUGCCAAAAUUUGUUGAGAAUUUAGUUUCUUGAAGUAAUUGAAUAGAUUCAAGGACGAUUGCCAUUGUUGGAGUAUAUAUGUGAUUCUUGCUUCUCUGCGAUCGUAGAGUGAUUGUCUUCGUAGUUGGAAAUCAGAUUUGCAAUUCUUGUUCAUCUGGAGUUAUCCACCGAUAUCAUUAACAUAUAAUAAGAGAACAAUAAUUGAUGAACCAUCACACUUGACAAAUAAAGAAGGAUCUGCAUAUGAUGACUUGAACCCAAGCUUAGGCAAAUAACCUGAAAACAUGUCAUGCUAGGCUCUGGGAGCUUGCUUGAGACCAUAUAAAGACCUCUCCAGUUUGCACACAUAAUCUGGAUAGGUAGAAUCCACAAACCCUUAGGGCUGAGACAUAAAAACUUAUUCCUCAAGAAAGCCAUGCAAAAAAGCGUUAUUGACAUCUAACUGUAUGAGUUUCCAAUUAUGAGAUGCAGCCAACGAUAGAACCAAUCGAACUAUGGUUGGUUUGAUCACAUGGCUAAAGGUUUCAUAAUAGUUAAUACCAACUUCUUGAGAAUACCCCUUAGCUACAAGUCUAGCCUUGUACCUAGCCACUGAACCAUCUGGAUUUCUUUUAAUCUUGUAGAUCCAUUUACAACCAACAAGAUUUUUGUCAGAUGGUAAGGGCACAAGCUUCCAAGUACGUUGUUGAAUCAAAGCAUCCAUCUCUUAUUUCAUGGCAUUUUGCCAUUGAACACACUUGAUUGCACUAGAAAAAGACUUAGGUUCCUUGAUUUCAGAAGCCUGAUCCACCUUAGCAGAAAACACCUUCUUUUUCAUAAUCCUAGACUUAGACUGGGUUUGCAUGGGAUGACAAUUUUGAGCAUUGAUACACACUAGUUGGAGAUCAUCCACUUGAGACAUUGUAGUAUUUGGAUGAUCUUUUGAAUACACAGUAGGCAAAACCUCUGAAGAAGGCACACCACUUGUGGAAUAAGAGACAAGAUCACCAGAACUAGUGGGUUGAGAGGAUGAUGACUGAGUAACAUGCCGUGAUUUAGAGGUAAGAGAAGUGGGACCAAUAAAUGGAAAUGUGGAAGAAACACUAGGUGGAUGAAUGAAUGUGUUUGAAUGCACAACAGACACUGGUGAGGAAGAAUGACCAGAAGUAACUUGAGGAUUGAAACCCAAAGCAUUAGAGUCUGUAGGAAACUUGGAUUCAUAAAAAAUAACAUGUCUAGAUACUAACAGUUUCUGAUCUUUGAGAGAGAAGCAAAUAUACCCUUUGUAUUGUGUAGCAUACCCCAGAAAAAUACACUUAGUAGUUUUAGGUUCAAGUUUAGUGCUUCUAUAGGGUUUCAAUGAAGCAUAACAUAAACACCCAAAAAUUCUCAAAUGAUCAAGCUUAGGUGGAGAUUUAUAUAGCAUUUCAAAAGGAGACUGCAUAUGUAGGGUAGGUGUGGGCAUUCUGUUUAUAAGAAAAGUAGCAGUGGCACAGGCAUGGAACUAGAAUUUUGAAGGUAAUGAAACUUGUUGUAAAAAGGUAAUAGCUGUUUCAACAAUAUGUUGAUUUUUUCUCUCAGCUAACCCAUUAUGGUAUAGGGUAUAAAGACAAUAUUUUUGAUGAACAAUGCCUUUGGUAAGAAGAAAUUGCUUAAACUGAGUACUAACAUAUUCCCCACCCCUAUCACUUUGCAAAAUUUUUACAUGAGCAUCAAAAUAAAUCGAGACAAAAGUAAGAAAGUUGACAAAAACAGUGAACACUGCAAUUUUAUUAUUUAAUGGAAAAAUCCAAGUAUAUCUUGUACAUUCAUCAAUGAAGGAAACAUAAUACUUGUAACCUUCUAUAGACAGACUAGGUGAGGGACCCAAACAUCUAUGUGAAUUACUUUAAAUGGAGUAAGUAACUUCGAAGCAAUUACAGGAAAAGGGAACUUGGUAAACUUGCCUUGCAAACAAGCUUUACAAGUAUGAGAUUGAGAGUUACAAGGAAAAGAUAUACAAGACUUAUCAAGUGUUGCAGUGACAAUGGAAUGUGCAGGAUGACCUAAUCGACAAUGUCACAAUGUAGAAGAAAUCUUUUAUCCCACAAAUGCAACUGGAUUAAAAACAGGAGAAAUAGACCUCUGUGGUUUGAUUAUGGGAAGUGGAUAGACAACAUUAUUACUCAGCCCUUGGAAUAGCACUCUCCCGGUGACCUUGUCCUGUAGAUAGAGAGAAACAUCAUUAAUGAUACAACGACACUGAUUAUCUUUGCACAACUGAUUCAUAGAUAAUAAGUGUUGUGACAGUUUUGGAACAUGUAACAUAGAGUUUAACUUGAAAUUAUGUGACUUAGUGAGAAGAGAAGAGGAACCAAUAUGUUUGAUAGCUAAACCUUCACCACUAGCACUGGUCACAAUAUCAUUUGAUGGAUAAAUUUGUUGCCAUGUGCAAGUUUGACAAAUCUGAGGUCAUAUGGUCCAAGUCAAGAAACCAGAAAUCUUGUUGAAGAGUUGAGGAUGAUGCACCAGCUCGUGCUUGCAUAGCAAGAUGAAGAUUUUGUGAGGAUGUAGUUGAGAGAUAUGGUAUGACAAGAUACUAAAACUGGGAGCUAUUAGACUGUGGAAUCAUGCCUUGUGAAGGACCACAUGGAUUCUAGCUAGGUGCUUCACCAUAUAACCCAGUAGGCAUUGGAGUUGGCAUAGAUGAGGAUAAACCCUGAGAGAAAUGCUCUGAUGUGCCUGUAAAAUUCUUAUUCCAAUCAAAGCAAGUAGCAGCAACAUGGUGACAAAUUUGACAUCCAUGUUGAAAACAAUUCAAUGCAGAAUGACCUUUGCGAUCACAUAUUUGCAGAAUGACCUUUGCAACCCUAGAAAGAAGAAGGAGUGAAGAAGACCAAAUGUGUACGUUUCUCUUUGAUUGUUUUUCCCUCCUAAUCGCGCAGUUCGAAAUCACGGACCUCGGGCCUCGGCCUAGUGGGCCCAAUUAUGAGGCCCAUUAUCUCCGGUCUUCUCGUUCUACUUCUAGUUACCCAAAUUAAGAACGUACUGGUUCGCUUUUAGCGCGAGAGAGAAAUGGAGGCCCUGAUUGCCUCGUACGGAGACUCGUCGUCGGGCUCAGACUCCGAGUCGCCGGCUCCACCUUCACCACCACCUCCGGAGCUCAACAACCCUCAAGAACCGACCCCUGCGCUGCCUCCACCUCCUCUUUCACUUCUCGACAGCCCCAAUUCCUUCGGUAACCUCUGAUUCCCAUCAAUUUCAUCUUUUAGCUUUCUGCUGUGAUGGCUUUUUCCGAGUUGCCCACCAAGUGUUUGAUGUUUUGCCUCUGAAGGAUUUCUGGACUUAUCGGCAAGCGCCCAGCCGAGCAGAGUUCGGAACUUUCCUCACGUCGAAGGGAACUACGCAGUACAUGUAUACAUCCCAGGUUAUCAAAAUUCUCGAAAUUUUCAGCUCCAUUAGCAAAUGCGAUCGCUUUGCACUUAGUUUUUGCUUGUUUAAUUGUGUGGUUCCAGUUUAUAUACCACCAGCACCAAGGAAAGAGAUGGCCUUGUUUUUGAACAAGCUAGCUUCUCUGGUGCCUGGUCUCCAUGCGGUUGACGUUGACUUCCCGCUUGACAUUCUGCGUAAGGACGAGCACAAGCUUGAACAAGUUGCUUUAGGCAGAGAGUUCCAUAUAAGUCUCGGAAGAACUGUUCCGAUUCGGGUGCACCAGAUUGAUUCCUUGGUGACAAUGCUGCGGCAGAAGCUUCAGAUUCAGAGGCGGUAUGGUUACAUUUACAUUCUCUUGUCCGCAUUGCGUGAAGUUAGUUCUGUUAUUUAACAUAAUUCUGUAAGCCUGCAAAUUUUUUGUCCAUUUUCGGUUUAACACAUUUUGUUAUUGUGAAACAGGUAUUGGAUUGAUUUUAGCAAGUGGGAGGUUUUUGUUAAUGAUGAUCAGACCCGGACCUUUGUGUCUAUCGAAAUCAUUGCUGCUGGGUUAGCUGAGGUAUGAUUGCUAGCUUUCUCUCUUGGUGCAAUUCUAAAUGUUUUCAGUUGUUAUAUGGGCUUAAGAUUUAGUAAGUACUUGCCGAAGGUCAUGGGAUUUUGAAAUAUUGAUAUCUUGCUUGCUUAUUAGCUUAGAUUUGGUCUUCGAUGCACUUGUAACAUGAAAAACACAAACGAAAACUAAUGCAUGAUAUGCUCAUGGUUUUAACAUGUGUUGUCCUGGCGUAAAUCAUGUUCCUAAUCCUGUCAUGUGAGUAUAAGCCUAUGAUACUUAGGGCAUGUUUGGCGGGCCGGACAAGAUUGGAAUUGGUAUUUCAGACUAGUUAGGUUAGGAUUGAACUGGAUAGGAUAGGUUUUUGGUCUAAAGAUUGGUGUAGACUGUCUUAACGAUGGGAUUUAAAACGUGAAACAGAUCUGCGACAUCCCAACGAUGACCCGCCCACCCAACAACUCUGCUCGUGACUUGCAACACCUCUCGUACCCUCCACGCCCCUUGAGGCCCGUCAGACCACUCUGAUAUCCUGGAGAGGUGAAACGUGGUUACUAGAAGCAUACCUGUUUUCGUAUUAAUGCACGGUUGAAGCAGCUUUCAUUGUCUACAAGUCUGAAAUAUUUCAACUUCCAUUGAUUUCAGAUAACAAAGCAGAUUCAAGCUGUGAAUGAGGUGUAUAAGCUUUUUCGUGUUUUUCAAACUCGAAAAACAAGAUUGUGCCUGAAUACUACUCAUUGCUCAAAAAACUAAAUCACUUCAUGGGGUGUUGGUGAUCACAGGAUCCGCGCCCUCACAUCUCGGUAGCUUGGGCAUUGGGUGACAUCAGCAAUUCCCUGAAGAAAGUGGUUGAAGAAGAAAGACGAAGAUCUACCAUCGGAGGAUCGUUACAGAAAUGUAUUUUUACCAGUAAAUUCAAUGGUAUCGAAUGUAGGAUUGGUAAUAAGACACAAAAUAUGUAAAUUUUCUGAACAAUAAUGUAGCCAUUUAACUGUAUCGUGAAAUUCCGAGAAUAUAUCGCUGAGCAUUGGAUGAGAAGACAUUUCUUUGUUGGUGUCGAACUUCUUGUCGAAGGUAUUGGCACCAGUGUAAACGUCAUCAUCCAUGUUGAUGGUAAUUACUUCCCAGCUACCAAGGGUGUCGGAACAACCUUGCACGCAGCCUCCUGUGCAUUACUUAAUAUUGUCUCAGUUUCUCCAAACUUGAAUGCUCCUGUAAACCCACUCUUGACCUUUCCGUCAUCUGCAAUUACAGGAAAGCUGGCUAGGAUGUUGCCGUUAACCUACCUAACUGGCUAGGAUGUAGCCGUCAUCUCCAAACUUAAAAGACCGGAAAGCCGGCUCCAAACCUCAAUGUGCUACUAGUUUUUGUAUGCGAGAGCUCCACCUCCAUUGUUGUAACAGCAUCUGAUGCGGACUAGUCCUUCAUUCCCGUUACUCUUUGCUAUCUCCACUUCAAACUUGGCGUAAUGGCUCCCGGCCGCCUCUCCGGUGAAAUUGAGAAACCCUGGGAAACCCUGGAGCUAGGCGUUUUCAUUCUGUUGUCCGUAUAUCUUGAUAUUACAAGUAUUUGUUGUGCAAAAUGCAAGCUAAGUUCAAGUUAUGUUUAUGUAUGUGUGUGUGUGUGUUGUCACUUCGCCACUUUUCCAACGUUUUCUCCAAAAUUGUGAUUUUGGUGUUGUUCUAACUUUGGUGAAUGCUAAUAACAAUUCCCUCGUUAACCAUUGGGACGAGCAACAAGGCAGUUUUGAUUCCGUGCACAACGGCGAUACCUCGAAAGAAAUUGAUUCUUCACCAGAAAGAUGUUUUAAAACAAAGUUGAACAGUUGAUGUAUACAGACGUUCCUUGCUUAUGACACGACUUAUGAGAGGAUGUAUGUAUUGCAUUUGCAUCAAAAGAAAGAAAGAAGGUUGUAAGUGGUAAGGGAACGACUACCGAUGCCGCUCCACUUCUAAUCAAAGGGAUCGAUCCGAGGGUCGUGUUCACUUGCCAUCGCUAUUCCAGUGCAAAGGCAUGUCGGGCACAUUACCUGCCACAUUUACGGACGCAAUGUUAGAUAUAGCUGCCAUUUGGAAGUCAUCUCUCAAAAUUUUGCUACUAAAUUAAUCUUAAACGUCAUUUCCAGUGCAAUUUUUUUCUUCUGAAUUGUCUUUCACAUGCCCGACAAAUAAAAGUAUCACCAAACAUGUGAAUAUAGUGCAUCUAAGCGGCAGGCACUAAAAGGAAUUUAGUAUGCAAUAAACAUUCAACGGACAUAAUUAUAUGUCUAACCUUUCCCGCUCCUGAGCAAUUUGAACAUCGUUCAGUUUUUGGCAGAGAUAGGGGUUGGUUUCCGCCAUCAGCUGUCGAUAAUGGUUCAGUAAGAACAAGGGUUCCAGUGCUGGAGCAACGAGCACAAGCAAGAUAUCCUGCGUAAGUAUCAAAUACACAGGUAAGUUGACAUAUGAAACCAAUCCGAACAUCUCCAUCGUAUAUAUUUAAAGCUACAGUACAUAAAACUAAAAGUCAGAAAUAGAGGACAUUAUCACACCAGUUCCAAGACAAUAUUUGCAUCGUUUAUGCUCCUGCUGUUUCGCAUUGUUUAUUUCAACUACCAUCAAUGCUGAGAUCACUCCAACUGCUCCUCCAGAAAACGACGCCACUAUGGGAUCAACUUGACUGCAGUUUGAAAGUAUAGGAGAUCAAUAAACGAAACUGGUAACAACAUGGUAUCAACAUUAUUUAGCUUCGUUUCAAGAUAGCUGACAUCCUGGGUUUUUCUAAUGUGUAAAAAUUGAGGAUCCUUGUAAAAUUUGACUAUAUCAGUUCCCAAAGUAUUUGAUUCCUAUGUUACAGACCGAAAACAGUAACAAUUGAAUUUUUAGAUUCAUAACACGAUAGAUGGUACAAAAUUUCAAAACGAUAAUUACUAGAGAACAGGAGGGCUAAUAGCCUGAGAUAUGAGCCAUACCUCAACUGCAACGGCAGAUGCAUAUUUACUAUAAAAUCUUUAUACGAUGUGCCUCCUAUUCCAAGCUUCAACUCCAACUGAAAGAUGUAAACGUAAUUGUCGGCAGAGAGUUAGAAACAUAACCGAAUCCAUGUUUUAUAAGCAGAAACUACACUUAUUUGACAUGUUUCCUCGUUUUUUUACUUGCAAAUUCAAAACCGUAUUGUCGGACCAGUAAAAUAAAAUAAUGUUUACUAAUAACUGUUAAAACUAAUCACAACAAGUUAAUGCAUAAAGAACUUACGGAGGGUGCUAUGAGGCCACCGAAAAGGAUAAACCCCGCAAUAAUUGAAUAACAUACAGCAUAAUACUGCUUAAGGUUGUCUGAACUCUGCAACCAAUGCAUUCACCUUGUGAUUAAUACUUUGCACAAACACUAGUUUUCGCAGUUUUUUAUGAACCGACAAAAGGCUACAACAAAAUAUGGCUAAAACAAGUCCGGGAUAUGAAAAUACAUGUCUUCACAGGGUCAGCAGCUUACCAGGGGAGGCAAAAAUGGAAUGAAUGAUGGAAAACUAGGAAGUUCGUUUUCUUGAUCUUCAUUUACCGCUCCAAGCUCUGCGCGUUUAAUCCGCUGUUGUAUCCUCAGCCUGCGAACCUUCGCAUAUCGAAGCUCAUUCUUAAAGAACACAUUUCUAAUGGCAAUUGGAGAGUAAUUUAAAACAUGCUAAACUGAGAAAGUGGCAGCAACUAGCAAUUGCUCUCACCUCCUCCAUAUGCAAGAAAAUUUUGUUGCGCCGACUCCGAAUAUUAUCUUGAAUUUCUUGCAGCUCCAUUGUGGCAAAGUCCUGCACUGUUUCAGGCCCCUCUAUGAUACAAAAUCUGCACAAUUAAGCAUGUAAAAACUAAAAAUUACAGGCUAAAAAAGCAAUUUCCGUAUCAUUGCUCGGUUAAUUAACAUCAACAGCAGAUAAAUCACAUGGGUUUUUCAAAUGAAGUUACAAACUUUCAAAGACCAGUAAGCUGUCUGCAAUCUCAUAAAUUUCACAGUGCAAAGUAAAAAUCCAAAGCUUGGAACUUUAAAUUUCCAUUUUCUGUUAAUUUCCUAGAGAGAGGGGGGGUGGUACCCGGCGGGGUUUGUAUCGGCGGCGGGAUUGGGAUCAGAAUCGACAGACGGAGCGAAAGAGGAGGAGUCGGGCUCCGAAGCCAUGGCCAGGGAUCGCCAUCUGGAGCUGCUUGUUGAUAUGGGGCUUCUUGGGUAGCUGAAUUUGGAGCAGCCGGCGCUAUGCAGUUUGUACGGACUGCACCGAUUUACGGGGAAAGACACGGCCAAAAGUCUGCCGCAGCAGAGCAUCUCUCUCUCUCUCUCAAACCAGAAGGCAGAGCUUUCUGUUUCUCUUGAGGUUUCUUUCACUGGUAAAUUCCAGAGAAGCAGAGAAGAAGGCUCUCUGAGAAAUGGAGGCAAAACAAAUGUAAAUCUUGAAGCACCGACCAUGUGCAGAACACUUAUCAACUACCGAACUCUAGGAUUUUUAUUUUUUGGUAAACUACCGAACUCUACGAUUAGGAGAGAAACAAGGGGAGAGAGAGUGAGUGACCGGAAAAAAAUAAAAAAUAAAAAAAAUAUGGAGGGAAGUGGCUGAUUCUUCUCUCAUUUUUUCCUAUUGUUUUUCAGAAAAAAAAAAAUAAUAAUAGUAAUUAGUCGUUAGAUUCGAGUAGUCGUUCGGUAUGUCACAUUUAAAAUUUUAUUAUAGGAAGCAUAAGGUUAGGCCAUCUCCAAUCGAAUUAGGUCUGAAAGAUCAUGUUUAUCCUUAUAGUUUUGCAAGAAAUUAUAUUUUAAUAAACAAUGCAUGUCAUAUUUUAUACCAUCUCUAACCGGGGGGCCAAAGAAUCAUGGGCCAAACAUAGCCCUUUGACAAUAAACGCAUCUCCAACCGAGAGGGCCAAAAUGUCAUAGACCAAAAAUAAUCCCCUAAAGAAUUUAUUAUUUUAAUUGAAUUAAUAUAGUUAAUUAAAUUAAACUACCGUAUUAAAAUAAGGUUUUCUGACAUAUUUUGAGUGCCACUUGCCACAAUAACGAAGAAAGCGUGGUAUUGUUGCACUUGCUAUAAAGUCAAGCUUGACAUUCUGCCGCUGGAGAACUGGUUGGCUGACUGGAAAUGGCCAACCCGUUGGCUUGAUUUGGGGGUUUUGGCCAGAUGGGGCCCAACAAGCCAUUUGGCCUAGCCUUGCUUGAAGACGGUUUUCUUGUCAUUCCAAGCUAUUUUUAGCCCUAUGACCAUUUGAUUUGAUCGGUUGGAGAUGACUUUAGGUGCGGUGAUUGUCCUUGAGAUAUCGAAGGUUCUGUGUGAUCGAAUACUUCGUCCUCCUCCAAAGCCGCCACUGUUGAGAAGGUUACUUGCCUUAUGCAAACAUUAUGAAUUGCAAGUGAUGAAUUGUUCUGAUGAUAAGGUUUAUUUUUUAACUCAUUAUGUUUCGAGUUUAAACAUUUUUCCCUCUCUUUAAUGUAUAUAUUAAUGAAAUAUUGUUCGUAAUAAAAAAAUAAAAAAAUGAUACAUUCUCAUUCAUAUAUAAGAUGAUCAAGUCUGAAAUUAUUACUUUUAAUGAGUGACUUAGUUAACCAUUUUCAUUUCUUAUGCGUUCAAAAUUAGACAAAUUCUUUGCAAACAUUAAAAAAAAAAAAAGAUAUUAAGGAGACUUUGAAACUAUUACAUUAUGGGAGGGGGAAUUUCGAACUCGGGACUUCUGAGUAGAACCCAAAUGCUUCUCCACUAGGAUAUUAGACUAGUGCCGGUCCUGAAUUUUUUGGUGCCUGGAGCGAAUAAUGUGCCCUUUUCCAGUACAACAACAUAAAUUAAAAAGAAAUAUUUAAAGAGGGCUGGAACCCAGUCGAAGCUGGGGGGCUAGGCCCUCACGCCCAUAUUAUAUUACUUUUAAGAAUAAACAUACAACUGGGGGAACAUAGUAUCGAAAUCCCGACGAUCAAAAGCAAAAUAUAUACAACCACUCCAAGCAGUCAACAUGGCCAUCACAUAUUGAAUCCAAAAUGUCAACGCCCCAUUGGCUGCAUAUAAAGUACAAACGAGCGGCAACUUCAGCCAGUUCUGCGAUAUCCGGCUGGAUGAGAGCAGCUAAAGACAUGAUUGUUCCCUAAUAACAUGAAUAAAUUGAGUAAACACCAAAAGUAGCAGCAAGGGAAGGAGAUGUGAAGUAGAUGAAGAGAUGUAAGAACUGUGAAUGUCCAGCAACAAAGACUUCGGAGCUUGUUGUCGAAUACCUGCAGCGCAUCAUUUCUGGUAGAUCAAAUACAACCAAGUCCUGCCAACUCCAAUUCCAAAAAUCCUACAGUAUAGCAUAAAUCUUAUUCUCUUCUGAUAAAGAUGUGUGUCCCUACCCAUAAAUCGAAACCUUCAUCUGCAAGGACGAAUCCCAUUUAUUCUUCUGAAGAAUUUAAGAACCAUGAACCACCUGGUCAAGAUCAAGAAAAGCCAGUAACCAAUUACAAUUGAGUUUGAAGCAAAUUAGAGCCAAAUUUAAAAUGUAUCCGAUGGAUGUUCAUCAAUUUACACAAUAGUUAGUUUCAAGAAAGGAAAUUUCAACAGAACCUGAAAACUUCAGAUCAGGGGGCACCAAAUAGUGAGCUACACAUUCAGAAUUUGAAAUAUUUCAAAUCAACUUGGUGGGGCCAAUAUGUUGAAAAAAUUGGAAGGAGCUAUGAAAGUAAGGCUUUUCGCUAAUCAGGCGUCUAGAGAAUCAAUAUUUUACUCACGUAUCAGUUACGGGGAACACUCCCCACCAGAGCAAUCUCAUUAGUCCUUCACAUCUCAAACGGCACAGAAAUUGCACUAACAAACACGACUCCUAUUAGUCCUUCACAUCUAAAAUCCAGGAAGUACCCAUCUUUCGUCUGAAUCUGGAAAAUAAGCAGAGCACUCAAUUUAACAAUCUGGGUAUCUCAAAGUUACUCACUUUAAUCACAAAUUUAACAAUUAAACAUAUAAAUGGGCAUUUUUUUAGUGAAAUAUUAGUAUCUUACUCACUGUGUGCUCGGAGCAAGAGUACCCGGAAAGCUCAAUGAGCUGUGCACAGAGGACUGCAGCGGUGAACGACAGCGACCGAUUCUGUAAAAUUCAGUCAAGUUUUCGGCAAUUUCUGCAGCGAUUUCGGAGUUCAAGAGGCUGAUAAGGAAAGCUGCGACUGAAGGACACUGGUCUGGAAGAAAGGCUCUGGUCACCGCUGUCGCAAUUUGUGAAGGAAGAAGUGCCCCAAAACAAUUUCGGCCCUGAACAGAUGCACUGUUUGCACUGGACCAGGGCCGGCACUGGCGAUAACGUCCCCCAAACAGUACAUAUACAGAUGCUAGAAAUAAUAAAUGUCACCUGAAACUACUAGAACCAUUCAAUUCUAGCGUCUACAGCUUUAGCAUUAGUUGGUACAAGGGACAUUCUUCUAAAGAGGGAGAUGAACUCGUUGAGGCUCUUAUUUAUUCCUCCUCUUGAGGUGUCCUUUUAGGCUGCUAAUUCCAGACGAUCCAAUCUCAUACAUCUUCCCUGCAAAAGCAUGUGUGCCAGACUUCAAGAUCAAAAUUUUCCAACAAAAGAAACUUAAAGAUCAAACUCGCCUGCGGAAUAAAUGGUGCACAAGGGUGUUAAAAAUGGUGCACAAGGGUGUUAAAAUCUUGACAUAUGUAUAUUUUUGGCAGAUUUUAUGUGAGCAUGCAACUAAAACUGGCAUAACAGUUUGAGUUGUAACUUCUCCAUUGUAUUUGUUAAGGCAAGACGGAUGUCAUCUAUGCAUUUUUCUGUAAAACUUAGAAGGCUGCAUAGCAGCUCUUGUUCGUUGUAUUGAAUACCGUGGUUUAACCGAUGAAUGCAGAGUUUGCUGAUGAUUCAUACGACAAGCAAUUGAAAAUCCCCAUCAUUUACACAAAUUCAGAGCAUUCAUCCACUGUAAUUUGCAGAUAUAGAAACGUCAAGAUAAAAGGAAAUGCAAAGUACCUUUCACCCAAAUUGGAAGAGCACCGGUGGCAUUAGCAAGUUAGCAACGGGAAUUGACAUACCAAUAUCUUCACAGUUUCUGCACAAGCACAAAUCAAAAGAAUUGUGGAUUUCAAAAUAUGCGGCCGUGGCUAGCCGUCUGACCACGCCAAUUCCACCAAAGCCGCCGCAACGCGGCGUAGUGUCCGAUUGAUUGCUUCAAAACAGAGCUUCGUAUCCAUGUGUUUAUCAGCAGAGAGUACCCAAAACCCCUGAAAAUUAUUUCUUUAUUCAGAUAAUAAAAUUUCCCAAAUUUCAAAUUUUAAUUCCGAACCAAAAAUAGGAUUUGAAUUUUGAUUACCUAGAAAUGGGGGGGGGGGGGGUUGGGGUGGAGAGGGACUCAGGCCAAGACAGAGCUAUGUGUCUGUGAUAAGGUGUGCCAAAUUACAGAGUGUGUCGGGAAGAUGUACAAGGCUUUUGCAGUUUCUCAGAUUUAAAUACCGAAGCCCCGUAAGCUGUUCAAUCCAGGGGGAAAGCUCUUUGAUAGAUGUUCCAUCCAAGAAAAGAUAUCUUAAUCCUUCCAUAUUUUCUUCAAUGCUUGGAAACACCUCAAAUUUUGUAGAACCGGAAAGAGAGAGAGAGACAAGGGACUUGAGCUGAGAAAUGCUGCUCGGAAGACUCUUAAGUUCCACGCAAUAUUUCAGGCUUAAAUAACUCAACCCCGUGAGAUUAUUAAUUGACAGCGGUAGUUCUUUAAUUUUUGACCCGGAUAAAUCAAGCUCUUCUAACUCCUCAAUACCUUCUAAAAUCUCUGGAAACAUCUCAAGAUUGGAGCAGUCAUAAAGAUUAAGGGUUUUGAGAGAUUUCAUACGAAUGCUGCUUGGAAGACUCUUAAGUUCCACGCAAUGUUUUAGGUUCAAAUGACUCAACCCCGUGAGAUUAUUAAUUGACAGGGGCAGUUCUUUAAUUUUGGACCCGGAUAAAUUAAGCUCUUUUAAUCCCUCAAUAACUUCUGAAAUCUCUGGAAACAUCUCAAGAUUGGUGCAGCCAUAAAGCUUAAAGGUUUUGAGAGAUUUCAUACGAAUGCUGCUUGGAAGACUCUUAAGUUCCACGCAAUGUUCUAGGUUCAAAUGACUCAAUCCCGUGAGAUUAUUAAUUGACAGGGGCAAUUCUUUAAUUUUGGACCCAGAUAAAUUAAGCUCUUCUAACUCCUCCAUACCUUUUGAAAUCUCUGGAAACAUCUCAAGACUGGAGCAACCAAAAAGAUUAAAGGUUUUGAGAGAUCUCAUACGAAUCUUGCUGGGUAGACUCUUAAGUUGCUUGCAAUGUUUUAGGUUGAAAUGACUCAACCCCGUGAGAUUAUUAAUUGACGGGGGUAGUUCUUCAAUUUUUGCCCCGGAUAAAUCAAGCUUUUCUAACCCCUCAAUACCUUCUGAAAUCGAUGGAAACAUCUCAAGACUAGAGCAGCCAUAAAGAUUAAAGGUUUUUAGACAUUUCACAUGAAUGCAGCUUGGAAGACUCUUAAGUUCCUCGCAAUGUUUUAGUUUGAAAUGACUCAACCCCGUGAGAUUAUUAAUUGACAGGGGCAGUUCUUUAAUUUUGGACCCGGAUAAAUUAAGCUCCUCUAACUCCUCCAUACCUUCUGAAAUCUCUGGAAACAUCUCAAGACUCGUGCAACCAUAAAGGUUAAAGGUUUUGAGAGAUUUCAUACGAAUGCUGCUUGGAAGACUCUUAAGUUCCUUGCAAAGUAUUAGGUUCAAACGAAUCAACCCCGUGAGAUUAUUAAUUGACGAAGGGAGUUCUUUAAUUUUUGACCCGGAUAAAUCAAGCUCUUCUAACUUCUCCAUACCUUCUAAAAUCUCUGGAAACAUCUCAAGAUUGGAGCAGCCAUAAAGAUUAAAGGUUUUAAGAGAUUUCAUACGAAUGCUGCUUGGAAGACUCUUAAGUUCCUCGCAAUGUUCUAGGUUCAAAUGACUCAAUCCCGUGAGAUUAUUAAUUGACGAGGGCAGUUCUUUAAUUUUUGACCAGGUUAAAUUAAGCUCUUCCAACUUCUCCAUACCUUCUAAAAUCUCUGGAAACAUCUCAAGACUAGAGCAGCCAGAAAGAUUAAAGAUUUUGAGAGAUCUCAUACGAAUUUUGCUGGGUAGACUCUUAAGUUCCUUGCAAUCUUUUAGGUUGAAAUGACUCAACCCCGUGAGAUUAUUAAUUGACGGGGGCAAUUCUUUAAUUCUUGACCUGGAUAAAUCAAGCUCUUCUAACCCCUUAAUCACUUCUGAAAUCUCUGGAAAC